rnacentral:lncRNA from 1 species
CUGUAGUUGCCGAAGUAGGGGUUACUAUGUGUGUAGAUGUGAAUAUUUUUAUGAAGACUAUUCCCCGGCAUGCAAAAUCAUGUAAAGGGAAAGUUCAGAAGACCGAUGGUUUGAGUCAACGUCCACCAUCAACCGUUGGAUUCGAAUCCAGUGGUCAUGAUGGGCCUUUGUGUUGUUCUGUUUGUAAUAUCAGCCCUUUUGUGAUGAUGCACGACUUUGUGCCUAGCUAGUAUGUUCAAGUCAAUGACCACAGUUUUUCCAUUGUUGAUGGCUUCUUCCAUGUUUGGCUUCAAGUCAAAGUUACAAUUAUUGCAAAUAAAAGCAAAAGGUUUUAUUUUCCAAGGUGACGGUGAUGGUGAUGGUGAUGGUGAUGGUGCUGGUGCUGGUGCGUGCACCUCCGUUUCUUUCACUUUCAAUUGCUUUCUUCAAUCCUUGAUCGUUUGAUUGCUUCUGUGGUGUAAACGUGAGCUCAGCCAAGCCUCAUGAUCCAUACGAGAUGAUGAAAUUUGGAUUAUUAUAUAUUCUAUAAAGUAGGAUUGUACGUACUUGGAGAGAAGAAUUUAUAAUCCCUUUAUCAACUUCCUUUUCAUGAUGUAUACAUAGUUUUAUAUGAAGCCAUGUAAGGCUCUCUUAAUCUGGAGAUAUAUUAUCAUUGGUUGACUUUGUUUGACUCGUUUCUUUUCUAUCCUCCUUUACACAUUAAUUAAUUGGCGGGGAUGACAGAAGAAGAAUGCUGCCAUGGGAUAGGUUAGCGAGCUGUCAAUGAAAAUGCAAGGAAGCGAUGGAAAUCUCCAUUGACUUGUACAGUAGUAAUAGCCCUGUUGGUUGAUUCAUAAAAUUUGAGACCUAAAAGGUUAACCCGGAUUAAGUUUCAAGUUGAAAAAUAAAAAAAUGAUAGGACUAAACUUGAUUUCAGAUUAAAUUUUAAAUUAUUUGAUUUACUUGUAAAUUUCUAUCAAAAGUUAACCGGGUUAACAUCAUUGUUUUAAUAAUAAAACGACAGGCUUUAAUAAUAAUAAAAAAUCAACCGCAAUUAAAUUACUUAUUUAGUUUUUAGUUGGUUUUUAAUGAUAAUAUUUUUAUAUAUAAUUUAUGCAACCCUAUAUCAAUUUUAUUUAUUAUUUUAUUCAAUCAUUUUAAUGUGUGUUAAUUUCUAUUAUUAUUUAACUAAAUAGAAGAUUAAGUCUAAUGAACAAAGUUAUAAACACAACCAGGUAUAUGUUUCAUUCUACUAGAUUAAAUAUUUUAAUUUACAUCUAUCUCUUAAAUUUUCAAGUCUAGUCUUUGGUUAUUGUUAAUGAUUUUUUUUAUUGGUACAAAUAAUUCUCAAUUUAUUUAAUUAAAUGUAUACAUAGUUUUAUUUAUUUAUUUAUAAUCAGAAUUUCUUACAUUAAAAAAUAUAAUAAAAAACCUAUAUAUUUAUUUUUUGUACUAAAAAAAAUAAUAUCUACCCACGACAAAGUGGUAGCUGGAAUAAACUGCAUAAGGUACCUUACUUGCAGCCCUGUUUUAGCCUCUGGGCUUUGAGGCAGUCGUGGUCUAGCCAUGGAAGAGAUGGGCUAAGCUCAAUAUUAAUGAAACCCAGCAUAGAUAAUGGAUCGGUCCAUGGCUUUCCUUGGAUUCUCUAAUUUCAUGACCUGUAGAGUCAUCGCCCAACAUCAACCGUUGGAUGCAAAUCCAGUGGUCAUGAUGGACCUUAGUACUGUUUCUGUGUUUAUAAUAUCAUCCCUUUUGUGAUGAUGCUGCUGCUGUUUUGACCUCUUUCGUCUAGACUCUAGAUGAUGCACGCCUUAAUUUGUUUAGUCAAUGUUGAUGGCUUGUUUGGUCGACAAAUACGGGGAGUUUUACUACCUCCUCUUGUUUUUUAUGCUCAAAGUCCUCGGAUUUUGUCCUUUUGAAUGUUUUCUUCCAAAGUGCUAGAGCUUCGGCAAUGGUGGUUUUUUUAUAAUACUUUUUUAAAAUAUAUUUAAGUAAUAAAUUUCUUUAAAAUAUAUAUAUUUUUUUAACAACAAACAUAAAAAAGAAACUAUAUUGUUGAAAUAUAUUAGAAUAAAUUUUUUAUUUUUUUAUUUUUUAAAUUUUAUUUUUUACUCGUAAAUAUCAAAAUAAUUUAAAAAUAUAUAAAAUAAAAUUUUAAAUUUAAUUUUUUUAAAAUACAGUUUAAGAUAAUGUAAAAUUUGAAGGGGUGUAGCUUAUUUGGUAGUCUCUAGUUUUUUUUUAUAAAUUAUUACAAAUUUUAAAAUUAUUAAAAAUUUAUUUAAUUAUUAAUUUUAAGAUCGGUAAAUGAAAUGAAUAGUGAGUGCACACCGACAUUAAUUAUUUGAACUAGAAGAAGAAGAAAGUUGGCGGACGCAACUUCAGGACCCCCAAUUUGUCAGCUUUCUUCUCGAUGUCCACACAUAGGGAUGAGGAGGUAGCCAUCCCUAAUGUAUCAUUAGAGAACGUGAAUCAUUGGCUUUCUUUCUCAUUUUCAUAUCUUUAUAAAUAUAUAGAUGUUUGUCGUUUGGGGUGAUGAUAGGAAUUGGUAAUAUUUUAUUAGUUAUUUUAUAAGAUUUAAUUUUUUAAAAAAUAUAAAUAAAAAAGAGAAUAAUAAAAAUAUCUCAACUUAUUAUUUCCCUUGUAUUAUCUUUUUUUUAUAUAUAUAAAGUAAAUCAACUAAUUACUUUGCUCUAUAAAUUCAAGUUUUGAAACAGAGGAGUUCGUUAGAAUUAGGACACUUAAAAUUAUGUGUUAGUGUAGGGCGGAGGAUAAAAAUAAGAAUAUAGAAUAAAAAGUUUUUUUGUAAUAAUUUUAAAAUAAUUUUAUAUACUUUUAAAAUAAUAAAUACAAUGAUCCAAGUUUUCUAUGCCUCCUCAGUGUAUUUUUAUUAUCUUUACUCUUUUAUUUUUAUCAGGAAACAACGAUCAAACACCGGCUAAAUUCCUUUAAACAUGAGACAUGGAAAUAUUAAUUGAAGAUUUUUAAUUUUAUGUGGGGAAUUUUUUGGGGACACGUGUACGGUUGUCAUGGGGGUUGCAUGGCUCAUUUAUGGACUUGACUAAACUAAUGCACCGUCGGAUGCACUACAACCUUCGACAUGAUUAACAAAAUUGAAGGUGAGAUGUGUCCAUCAAGGCCAGCACAUGCAUGUGCAGGUUUGGACUUUGGAGGGUCAGCAAUAAAAAAUGCAACGACAAUAUUACGGCAGGCUACACACCUAAUGCCACGUGUUCUCUUCUUAUUGACCUCUAGAUGCACGGUAUUUAAACCAUGGUCUCACACUUCUUCCACUUAAGCUGUGACUUGUGAUCACUCUUAACUUCAUAAGCCUCCAUUUUGGCAUCUCAAUCUCCCUCUCACCCUCCGGUCUGUUCCUUCACCCUGCCCACAAUUCUAUAAUCGCAUCAGGUCCAGAUCAAAGCUUCGACAAAACCAUGGCUGAAAAGGUAUGUGCAUUGAUGGAUGUGGGGAUUAUGAUAUAUUUCCUUCUUCUUCUUUUCUUGGUUUCGAUUUGUCUUUUAUUUAGCCCAUUCAUUUGGGUUUUCCUUCUUUUUAUGUGGCGGUCCUUGUUUUUGGCCCUAUGGACCUCAUCUUCUUGUUCACUCUCUUUACUGAUCAAUAUCCUUCCAUGUCAGAAAGUGUUCCGGUCCUUUCAAUAUUCUUCAUGGCUUAGAAAUUAUGUCCUUGUUUUUAUGUGCUCCUUUUGCAGAAAGUCACAACAAUGGUGAUCAAGGUUGACCUUGAAUGUGAGAAAUGCCACAAGAAAAUCAAGAAAGUACUGUGUAGAAUCCCUCGUGAGUGCCUCCUUCUCCAUGUACUAUAUCUUAGUUUGAGCUGAUUAAUUUAAGAUGAAAGGAAAGUGGCUAAGUUGUUUUUGUGGAUUGUGAACAAGAGAAAUUCAGAACCAGAUAUAUGACAAGAAGGCAGGCACAGUGACCAUCACUGUGGUAUGUUGCAGUCCUGAAAAGAUCAUGGAAAAGAUUAUCUGUAAGGGAGGUGAAGCUGUCAAGAGCAUUGAGAUCAAGGUUCCAGAGAAACCCAAACCAGCACCGGAGAAACCCAAAGCAGCACCAGAGAAACCCAAACAACCGGAGAAGCCAAAAGAACCUGAGAAGCCUAAGGCACCAAGCAGACAACCGGACGAUCCUUCAGACACAGUUGAUGGCGAUGGCAGGCCCAAAGGACCACUCAAGCCCCAAGGACUUAUUGUUGAACCAGUCCACCCAAGGACAUGUUGUGUUGAACACUACCGAGGUAUUAGUGGGGGCCCAUGUUAUCAUGACUAUGGCAGGCCAGCACCCCCAUGUUAUGAAGCUUACGGACGGCCAGUGUAUGAUAGUUGGUCUGGCGGCGGCGGCGGCUAUGGUUGCCAAAGAAGCGGUUACUAUGCGUGCAGAGGUGAAUAUGUCUGUGAAGAUAAUCCCUCGUCAUGCACAAUCAUGUGAAAGCAUCAAGAAUGUCGAUGCUUUAAGCCGAUCUCCACCAAAAAUCACUGGAUUUGGACAUUAGUAUGGUGUCGAUAUGAUCAAACUAAACAAUAGCAUUACUCAUGCGCAUGUCAUAACCUUGUCUAGCUAGCUCUAGUUGUCUAUGUUGAAAUGUUGGGGUCAGUUUUGGCUGCAUAUUGGGUCUUCGAUCUUUCAUCGUUAUUAGGAUUUUAUGUGAUACAUGUGGGAACAAUCUUUUAUUUUAUAUUAAUGGUGCGUCUCAGCAUCUCCUUUCCAUUUGCUUUCUUUAAUUUCUGACAGUAACUGGUCGAUGGUUUGUUUUUGAGCUUCGCUGUCAGAAAUUUAGGUCAUGCAUGAUCCAUCUAGAUAAUGGAAUGUGGACUGUCAUGAUCCUAUCAUUGUCCUUGGCGAUAAGAAUUCUCCCUUGAAUUUAUCACAGAAUCAUGCAUUGAAUUGAGCAGUUCCCUUCCAAUGUAUAGAUCAUUGGGUCAAUUCAGAUAUAUCAUAAAAUUUAUAUUGUUUCUGUUAAAAAAAAUUGGAAAGGAUAUUGUUUUGAAUAAUUUUUUUAAAAAAUCCAAGUAAUUUACUAGUUGAGUCUCAUCAUCUAGAUUAAUCGUGCCAACAUCCACUGCAAUUAAUUAGAGUUAGAUUCUAUAUCAACUAUGAUUAUAUAAUAAGAUUCUUAAAGAUAUUUUUUGCAUUUGUUUCUACUAGAAUAAAAAAAAUAUAAUCAGAUUUAUUUACAUUAAUAUGAUUAUUAUUUUUUUGCAUUUAUGGGUACAAGUAAGUCUACUACAAAUAAUUCUCAAUUUAUUUAAUUGAAUGAAUACAUGAUUUUUUUUAUUUAUAAUCAAAUUUUUUUACAUUAAAAAAUAUAAUGAAAAAAUAUGUUUAUUCAUUUUUUUUUCUACUAGAAAGAAUAAUAUUUGAUCCAAAGCAAAGCAAUUCAAUGUGAUUCAGAAAGCAUAUUUUGAAACAUGGGCUAAGCUCAAUACUAAUGAAACCCAGCUUGUCAUUCAGAAAGCAUAGAUAAUGGACUCAUGACACGUAGAGUAGAGGCACAAAUUUCAAAUUAGAUUCAUGUGAUUAUUACGUUCCUUCUUAUGAAAUUUUGACGUAAAUAUUACUUUUAAAAAUAUUAUUUUACUUAAAACUAUAUUAAAAUAAAAUAUAUAAUUUUUAUUUUUAAGAUUUAUUAUUGAUAUCAGUAUUUGAAAACAAUAAAAAAUAUACAUUGUUGUUACUUAUUUUUGGACCUCACGUGCUGGAGAUGGAAUGUAUCCCUCUUGAACCAUAUGCAGGAGUUCAGUUCGUGAUUGUUGAAAAAUCAACAAAAACAGAGAAAAAUAUAAGAAGAGAGAAGCAGGGUUUGCCUUUCGGUCUUUCCUCCCUACAAAUAAAAUCUACAGAACAAGGGAGAAGAGAGUACAAGAACCAGUAGAUAGAGAGGGAUGAAGACCUAGAGGGAAAAAAAGAGACGAUCGCAAACACAAAAUAGAAGGAAAAGGGCUGAAAUAGAUGAACACAGACAGAUUAGCCACGCCUUUAACUUCGCUGCAGCUUCUUCGUUUCCGCCUCCAGGUUUGUCAUUCCUAGCAUCUGCAUGAAUCCUAGUGCAUUUGUUUCUGUUUAAGUGAAAUUUAAUACACUUGAACAGUGAUCGGCCAAGGCACACCUGAGGAAACUCACACAUGCCUUUUUGCCCAACCAGGUCAUUGAUUUGGGUCAGUGAUCGGCUAGGCCUGCUGGGUUCAGCCUAGCCACAUGGGUCGAGCUCGACCCAGCCCCUAAAAAAACAAUAAUAUCAUUGGUUUGUGUGUGUGUAAAAAAAAAAUAUUUUCUUGUAUGUUGCAUACAGUCAAUACCCUAAUAUAUUUUGAAUUUCCUUUAAAAAAAACAAAACAAAUAUUCAAAGUUUGAAAGAAAAUGUGUUUUGGCAUGGAUUUCUUAAACAAAAAACAUAUUUUCUUGCAUUCUGGAUUUUACAACAUAUUUGUAAAAAUCAAAAGGGUGUUGGAUAAUAUUCCAAAAAAAAAAUACAAAAAUCUUAUUUUUUGAGGAAUUCAUGUAUUAUUCACAGUUAAUAUUUGGAUAAAAAAAUCCCAAAGGGAUAAAUAUCCAAAAUAUUAUUGGAACUAACUUGUUGUUAUUCGAUGUUAAUGUUUAGAUAAAGAAAUCCCAGAUAGUUACUAUCCAAAAUAUUUUUCUAGGAAUAAUAAGUCAUCACACAUCCUUGAAAAAAGCCUUGAUUAUAAUUGAGGACAUUUCAAUUUUUUUUGACUCUACGGUUUACGAGCCAUGAGAGUAUGAAACACUAAGAAAAAAAUAGGCUUUUAAAGUACCCUGAAUUUCUUUAGAUUUCUAAAUGUUUUUCCCUUUUCCUUGUGAUUUACGAGUCGCGAACACUUGAAAUACUAAGAGAAAAAUGAGCUUUUAAAUCAAAUUGAAUCUCCUUAGAUUUCUAUCUUACAUAUCUUUUAAUUCAGAGGUUAUAAAUUUAUUUUAAAUCAAACACAGAUUUUAAAAGAUCUGCAUCGGUUCUUCUUAGGACUCUGUAGACAUAUCUAAAUGCAUGAUCUAUAUUGACUAAGGGUUUUUACUUUUAGACUUUGAACUCAAGCCCAUUCAUCAGAGCAAACCUUUCAUAGGAAAAUUGAUUAGAGAACACCAACACUAUAGCAAGGCAAACCAAACACCAAGUAACUUACUUUAAGUAGGGCGUAUUAGGAGUGUUAAUACCUUUUCUUUACGCAACUAGUCCAUUGCCUUAGAAUCUCUGAAAAACCAGUUAGGUUUUCUAGUAACCAUAAUAUUAAGUGACGACUUUUUUUUUUCACAAAACAAAGACCCCGACAUGAAAUCUCCGCUCCUGGGAAGGGUUGCCAUGAUGUCGAGCUCUCGCGAGGUUGUGAUAGUAUAUGUGUGUGUGUAUAAAAAUUAAAAAAUUAAUUUUUUUUUAAAAUUGCAGUUGAACGCAAUUUCAAAUGAUUAGUUGAGAAUAAUAUUUGAUCCAAAGCAAAGCAAUAUGUGUUGCUUGCAGCCCUGUUUUACCCUCUAGGCUUCUAGCCAGUCCUGGUAUAGCCAUGGAAGUGGUGGGCUAAAUAAUGCGCCCUGUAAAACAUGGGCUAAGCUCAAUACUAAUGAAACCCAGCUUGUCAUUCAGAAAGCAUAAAUAAUGGACUCAUGACAUGUAGAGUAGAGGCAUAAAUUUCAAAUUAGAUUCAUGUGAUUAUUACGUUCCCUUCUUAUGAAAUUUUGACGUAAAUAUUACUUUUAAAAAUAUUUUUUACUUAAAACUAUAUAAAAAUAAAAUAUAUAAUUUUUAUUUUUAAGAUUUAUUCUUGAUACCAGCAUUUAAAAACAAUAAAAAAUAUACAUUAUUGCUAUUUAUUUUUGGAUCUCACGCACGUGCUGGAGAUGGAAUGUAUCUCUUUUGAAUCAUAUGCAGAAGUUUAGUUCGUGAUUGUUGAAAAAUUAACAAAAACAAAGAAAACAAAAAAAAAAAGAUAAGAGAAACAAGAGAGAAGCAGGGAUUGCCUUUCGGUCUUUCCUCCCUGCAAAUAAAAUCUGCAGAACAAGGGAGAAGAGAGUACAAGAACCAGUAGAUAGAGAGGGAUGAAGACGUAGAGGAAAAAAAAAGAGACGAACGCAAACACAGAACAGAAGAAAAAGGGCUAAAACAGACAAACACAGACAGAUUAGCCAUGGCGCCUUUAGCUUCGCUGCAGCUUCUUCAUUUCCGCCUCCAAGUUUGUCAUUCCCAGCAUCUGCAUGAAUCCUAGUGCAUUUGUUUUUUCUUAAGUGAAAUUUAAUUCACUUGAACAGUGAUAAGCCAAGGCACGCCUGAGGAAACUCACGCAUGCCUUUUUGCCCAACUAGGUCACUGGUUUGGGCUAGUGACCGGCUAGGCCUGCAGGUUUCAGCCAAGCCAUAUGGGCCAAGCUCGAUCCAGCCUCUAAAAAAAACUAAUAUCAUUGGUUUGUGUGCGAGCCCCUAAAAAAAUUAAAAAAAUCUAUUUUUUGAGGAAUUCAUGAAUUAUUCACAGUUAAUGUUUGGAUAAAAAAUUCUCAAAGGGAUAAAUAUCCAAAAUAUUAUUGGAACUAACUUGUUAUUAUUCGAUGUUAAUGUUUAGAUAAAGAAAUCCCAAGUGGUUACUAUCCAAAAUAUUUUCCUAGGAAUAAUAAAUCAUCACACAUCCUUGAAAAAAACCUCGAUUAUAAUGGAGGACAUUUUAAUUUUUUUUUACUCUACGGUUUACGAGCUGUGAGAGUAUGAAACACUAAGAAAAAAAUAGACUUUUAAAGCACUUUGAAUUUCUUUAGAUUUCUAAAUGUUUUUCUUUUUUCUUUGUAAUUUACGAGUCGCGAAUACUUGAAAUACUAAGAGAAAAAUGAGUUUUUAAAGCAAAUUGAAUCUCCUUAGAUUUCUAUCUUAUAUAUCUUUUAAUUCAGAGGUUAUAAAUUUAUUUUAAAUCAAACAUAGAUUUUAAAAAAAUCUACGUCGGUUCUUCUUGGGACUCUACAGACAUAUCCAAAGGCAUGAUCUAUAUUGGCUAAGGGUUCUUUCUUAUAAACUUUGAACUCAAGCCCAUUCAUCACAGCAAACCUUUCAUAGGAAAAUUGAUUAGAGAACACUACCACUAUAGCAAGGCAAACCAAACAUCAAGUAACCAAACCAAGCAAAGAACCGGACGACCCAACAGAUAAAGUUGAUGGCAAUGACAAGCCCAAAGGACUACACAAGCCGAAAGCGCUUAUUGUUGAACCAUCAAAACCAAACGAACCAGAGAAGCUGAAAGUGGUUAUUGUUGAACCAGUCCACCCAAGGACAUAUUGUGCUGACUGCUACCGAGAGGGAUUAGUGGAGGACCAUGUUAUCAUGACUAUGGCAGGCCAGCACCCCCAUGUUAUGAAGCUUACGGACGGCCAGUGUAUGAUAGUUGGUCUGGCGGCGGCGGCGGCUAUGGUUGCCAAAGAAGCGGUUACUAUGCGUGCAGAGGUGAAUAUGUCUGUGAAGAUAAUCCCUCGUCAUGCACAAUCAUGUGAAAGCAUCAAGAAUGUCGAUGCUUUAGUAUGGUGUCGAUAUGAUCAAAUUAAACAACAGCAUUACUCAUGCUCAUGUCAUAACCUUGUCUAGCUAGCUCUAGUUGUCUAUGUUGAAAUGUUGGGGUCAGUUUUGGCUGCAUAUUGGGUCUUCUUUCUUUGUUAUAAAGGUUUUAUGUGAUACAAUAAGGUUGGUGAUCAUGUGGGAACAAUCUUUUAUUACAAGAGCUGUUAAGAUUUUUAAUAAAUUAAUAUAAGUGAUUUUAAAAGCUCCAUAAUCAUUGCUAUUUGUAUAUUGAUGGUGCGUCUCAGCAUCUCCUUUCCAUUCACUUUCCAUUUGCUUUCUUAAAUUUCUGACAGUAACUGGUCGAUGGCUUUUGUUUGUAAACGUUACCAAGCUUCGCUGUCAGAAAUUUAGGUGAUGCAUGAUCCAUUUAGAUAAUGGAAUGUGGACUGUCAUGAUCCUAUCAUUGUUCUUGGCGAUAUAUAAGAAUUCUCCCUUGAAUUUAUCACAGAAUCAUUGAAUUGAGCAGUUCCCUCCCUUCUCGUGAUUUGUUGACAUGGGAUUAUGUAAAGUUGUCGACUACGAAAUUUAUACGAGUUGCUCUCUAAACACUAAUAUUAUUGAUUAAAAGAGUGAAAUUCUUGUGCAAUUCACAAUAAAAAUUAAGGGAUUCCUAUUCUCACACGUUUUAAAUAAAUGUUUAAUGGGUUAGAAAAUUUAUCAUGUAAAUUCAAAGAUCCAGAUAUAUAUAUAUAUGAUAAAAUGAUAAUGUUUUGGUUAAAAAAAGUCUAUAAAAAUAUUAUUUUGAAUAAAAUUUUAAAAAAUUCAAGUAAUUUAUCAAGGUAUUAUUUAGGUUUAUCGAGCCAACAUCCACUCCAAUAAUAUAAAACCUGGUUCGAGCUAAAUUCUAGAUCAACUAUAUAUGGUUAUAUAAUCACAUUCUUAACGAUUUGUUUUGUAUUUAUUAGUAUAAAAAUUUUCAAUUUAUUUAAUUGGAUGAAUAAAUAUAAUAUAAAAACAUAUUUAUUAAUUUUUUCUACUAGAAAGAAUAAUAUUUGACCCGCAGAAAGCAAUAUGUGUUGCUUGCACAGCCCUGUUUUAGCCUCUGGGCUUCUUAGCCAGUCCUUGUAUAGCCAUGGAAAUGUUGGGCUAAUUAAUAUGCCCUUUAACACAUGGGCUAAGCUCUGUUAAUGAAACCCAGCAGAAAACAUAGAUAAUGGACUGGUCCAUGGCUUUCCUUGGAUUCUCUACUUUCAUGACGAGGCAACAAUUUCAAAUUAGAUUCAUGUGAUUCCUCUCAACAAUUCUGGAAAGCAAUAAUGAUUUUGCUGGGAUUUUUUUCGAAGUUUUUUAUAAAAUUAAAAAUUAAAAAUUAAAAAUAAUUAUUUUUUAAAAAAUGCAGCUGAACGCAAUUUCAAACGGUUAGUUAAACCUGCCUCAGCUUUCAAAGUUGGAAAUCAUAGACGCAACUUCCGGGCCCACAAUUUGCUAACUUUCUUCUUUAUGUCCACACAUAGGGAUAAGAUAAAACGAUGAGCUACUUGCUUUACGACUUGGGUUUCUAAUUUCUCAUUUUUCAUUUUCAUGGUAAAAUAAUAAAUACAAUUUCUUUUUUUCAGGAAACAACAAUCAAACGCCGGCUAAAUUCUUUUACACAUGAGAUAUGGAAAUAUUAACUGAAGAUUUUUAAUUUUUUAUGAGGAAUUUUUUGGGGCACGUGUACGGUUGUCAUGGGUGUUGCAUGGCUCAUUUAUUGACAUGACUAAACUAAGGCACCGUAGGAUGCACUGCAACCUUCGAAAUGAUUAAAAAAAUUGAAGGUGAGAUGUGCCAUCAAAACCAGCACAUGCAUGUGCAUGAUUGGAGGGUCAGCAAUUAAAAAUGAAACGACAAUAUUACGUCAAGCUCAACACCCAAUCCCACGUGUUCUCUUCUUAUUGGCCUCUAGACGCACGGUAUUUAAACUAUGUCCUCACACUUUACUACUUAAGCUGUGAUCAAUCUUCAUUUUAUAAGCCUCCUUUUUGUAUCACAAUCUCCCUCUCACCCUCUGGUCCGUUCCUUCACUCUGCUCUCAAUUCUAUCAUCUCAUCAGGUGCAGAUCAAAGCUCGGACAAAACCAUGGCUGAAAAGGUAUGUGCAUGGAUGGAUGGAUGUGGGGAUUUUGAUAUAUUUCCUUCUUCUUCUUUUCUUGGUUUCGAUUUAUCUUUUAUUUAGCCCAUUCAUGUGGGUUUUUCUUCUUUUUACGUGGUGUGGUCAUUGUUUUUGGCCCUAUGGACCUCAUCUUCUUUUUAAUUUUCUUUACUGAUCAAUAUCCUUCCAUGUCAGAAAGUGUUCCGGUCCUUUCAAUAUUCUUCCUGGCUUAGAAAUUAUGUCCUUGUGUUUAAUUAUGUGCUCAUAUUGCAGAAAGUCACAAUAAUGGUGAUCAAGGUUGACCUUGAAUGUGAGAAAUGCCACAAGAAAAUCAAGAAAGUACUGUGUAGGAUCCCUCGUGAGUGCCUCUUUCUCCAUUUACUAUAACUUAGUUUGAGCUGUUUUAAGAUGAAAGGAAAGUGGCUAAGUUGUUUUUGUGGAUUGUGAACAAGAGAAAUUCAGAGCCAGAUAUAUGACACGAAGGCAGGCACAGUGACCAUCACUGUGGUAUGUUGCAGUCCUGAAAAGAUCAAGGAAAAGAUAAUCUGUAAGGGAGGUGAAGCUGUCAAGAGCAUUGAGAUCAAGGUUCCAGAGAAACCCAAAGCAGCACCAGAGAAACCCAAACAACCGGAGAAGCCGAAAGAACCUGAGAAGCCUAAGCAACCAGAGAAGCCGAAAGAACCGGAGAAGCCGAAAGAACCGGAGAAGCCGAAAGAACCUGAGAAGCCCAAGCAACCAGAGAAGCCGAAAGAACCGGAGAAACCCAAAGAACCAGAGAAGGCCAAAGAACCGGAGAAGCCUAAAGCGCUUCUUGUUGAACAACCAAAACCCAAAGAACCGGCCCCAAACCCAGCUCCAAACCCGGCACCACCACCACCACCACCUAAAGCUCCGGAACCAGUCCACCCGAGGACAUGUUGUGCUGAAUGCUACCAUGGGAUUAGUGGAGGCCCAUGUUAUCAUGACUAUGGUGGGCCAGCACCCCCAAGUUAUGAAGCUUAUGGAAGGCCAGUGUAUGAUAAUUGGGGUGGCGGCGGCGGCGGCGGCGGCUGUGGUUGCCAAAGAAGCGGUUACUAUGUGUGCAGAUGCGAAUAUGUCUGUGAAGAUAAUCCCUCGUCAUGCUCAAUCAUGUGAAAGCGUCUAGAAUGUCGAUAUUGCCUUAAGCCGAUUUCCACCAAAAAUCACUGGAUUUGGACAGUAGUAUGGUGUCGAUAUGAUCAAAUCAAACAAUAGCAUUACUCAUGCUCAUGUCAUAACCUUGUCUAGCUAGUCAGUUUUGGCUGCAUAUUGGGUCUUCUUCCUUCGUUAUAGAGAUUUUAUGUGAUACAAUAAGGUUGGUGAUGUGGGAACAAUAUUUUAUUACAGGUUUACAAAUGUUAAGAUUUUUAAUAAAUUAACAAAAGGGAUUUUAAAGCUUCCAUAAUAAUCAUUGCUAUUUGUAUAUAUAGUGAUGGUGCAUCCCAGCAUCUCCUUUCCAUUCACUUUCCAUUUGCUUUCUUUAAUUUCUGACAGUAACUGAUCGAUGGCUUUUGUUUGCAAGCUUCGCUGUCAGAAAUUUAGGUGAUGCAUGAUCCAUCUAGAUAAUGGAAUGUGGACUGUCGUGAUUCCAUCAUUGUACUUGGCGAUAAGAAUUCUACCAUGAAUGAGCAGUUCCCUUCCCUCUCUUGAUUUGUUGAUAUGAGAUUUAUGUAAAGUUGCCGACUACGAAAUUUAUAUGAGUUGCUCUCUAAACACUAACAUUAUUGAAAAUAUAUUAAAAUAAAAUAUAUACUUUUUAUUUUUCAAAAUUCAUUCUUAUACCAAUAUAUCAAAACAAUCAAAAUAUAUAUAUAUAUAUAUAUAUAAGAUUUUUAAAAAAUACAGUUGAUCGUAAUUUCAAACGAUUAGUUAAACCUGCCUCCGCUUUCAAAGUUGGCACUCAUGGACGCAACUUCUGGGCCCACAAUUUGUUAUCUUUCUUCUUUAUGUCAACACAUAGGGAUGAGGGGAUAGCCAUCCCUAAUUUCUUAACGACUUGGGUUUCAUAUCAUUAUAAUUAUACAGAUUUUUGUCGUUUAGAUUACAUGAAGUAUUCCAUGGUGAUGAUAGGAAUUAGUAAUAAUUUAUUAAUUAUUUUAUAAGAUGUACUUUUUGAAAAAAUAUAAAUACAAGAGAGAGUAAUACAAAUAUCUCAACAUAUUAAUUAUUUUUUUCUUAUUAUCGUUAAAAUUAUGUGUUGUUAGUGUAGAACGGAGGAUAAAAAUAAGAAUAUAAAAUAAAUUGUUUUUGUAAUAAUUAAAAAAAAUUAUAUACUUUCAAAAUAAUAAAUAUAAUAAUUCAAGUUUUCUAUGUUUUAAUCACGAAACAACAAUCAAACACCGGCUAAAUUCUUUUAACAUGAGAUAUGGAAAUAUUAAUUGAAGAUUUUUAUUUUUUUAUGGGGAAUUUUUUGGGACACGUGUAAGGUUGUCAUGGGGUUUGCAUGGCUCGUUUAUGACAUGACUAUACUAAUGCACCGUAGGAUGCACUACAACCUUCGAAAUGAUUAACAAAAUUGAAGGUGAGACGUGUCCAUAAAAGCCAGCACAUGCACAUGCAGGAUUAGAGGGUCAGCAAUAAAAAAUAAAACGACAAUAUGACGUCAAGCUCAACACCCAACCCCACGUGUUCUCUUCUUAUUGGCCUCUAGAUGCACGGUAUUUAAAACAUGGUCUCACACUUCUACUACUUAAGUUGUGAUCAAUCUUAAUUUUACAAGCGUCUUUUUUGUGUCUCAAAUCUCCCUCUCACCCUCUGGUCGGUUCCUUCACUCUGCUCUCAAUUCUAUCAUCUCAUCAGGUCCAGAUCAAAGCUUAGACAAAACCAUGGCUGAAAAGGUAUGUGCAUGGAUGGAUGUGGAUAUUUUGAUAUAUUUUCCUUCUUCUCUUGGUUUAGAUUUAUCUUUUAUUAAUUAGCCCAUUCAUGUGGGUUUUUCUUCUUUUCAUGUGGUGAUCAUUGUCUUUGGCCCUAUGGAGUAUGGACCUCAUCUUCUUGUUCAUCAUCUUUACUGAUCAAUAUCCUUCCAUGUCAGAAAGUGUUCCGGUCCUUUCAAUAUUCUUCUUGGCUUAGAAUGUCCUUGUUUUUAUGUGCUCCUAUUGCAGAAAGUCACAAUAAUGGUGAUCAAGGUUGACCUUGAAUGUGAGAAAUGCCAAAAGAAAAUCAAGAAAGUACUGUGUAGAAUCCCUCGUGAGUGCCUCUUUCUCCAUGUAUCAUAACUUAGUUUGACUUGAAUUUUAAGAUGAAAGGAAAGUGGCUAAGUUGUUUUUGUGGAUUGUGAACAAGAGAAAUUCAGAGCCAGAUAUAUGACAAGAAGGCAGGCACAGUGACCAUCACUGUGGUAUGUUGCAGUCCUGAAAAGAUCAAGGAAAAGAUAAUCUGUAAGGGAGGUGAAGCUGUCCAGUGCAUUAAGAUCAAGGUUCCAGAGAUACCCAAAGAACCACCAGCUAAACCUAAAGAACCGGAGAAGCCAAAAGAACCUGAAAACCCUAAGCAACCGGAGAAUCCCAAAGAACCGGAGAAGCCCAAAGAACCAGAGAAACCCAAAGAACCGGAGAAACCCAAAGAACCGGAGAAACCCAAAGAACCGGAGAAACCGGCAGAACCAGUCCACCCAAGGACAUGUUGUACUGAAUGCUACCAUGGGAUCAGUGGAGGCCCAUGUUAUCAUGACUAUAGGAGGCCAGCACCCGCCCCAAUCCCAGCUCCAAUCCCGGCACCACCACCACCUAAAGCUCCGGAAGUAGUCCACCCAAGGACAUGUUGUUCUGAAUGCUACCAUGGGAUUAGCGGAGGCCCGUGUUAUCAUGACUUUAGGAGGCCAGCACCCGCCCUAAUCCCAGCUCCAAACCCGGCACCACCACCACCUAAAGCUCCGGAACCAGUCCACCCAAGGACAUGUUGUGCUGAAUGCUACCAUGGGAUUAGCGGAGGCCCAUGUUAUCAAGACUAUGGUAGGCCAGCACCCCCAUGUUAUGAAGGUUAUGGAAGGCCAGUGUAUGAUAGUUGGUCUGGCGGCGGCGGCGGCUGCGGUUGCCAAAGAAGCGGUUACUAUGUGUGUAGAUGUGAAUAUGUCUGUGAAGAUAAUCCCUCGUCAUGCUCAAUCAUGUGAAAGCAUCUAGAAUGUCGAUAUUGCCUUAAGCCGAUUUCCACCAAAACUCACUGGGUUUGGACAUUAUUAUUGAGUCGAUAUGAUCAAAUUAAACAAUAGCAUUACUUAUGCUCAUGUCAUAACCUUGUCUAGCUAGCUAUUUGUCUAUGUUGAAAUGUUGGGGUUAGUUUUGGCUGCAUUUUGGGUCUUCUUCCUUCGUGAUAAAGAUUUUAUUACAAGAUUUGUUAAGAUUUUUAAUAUAUUAAUAUAAGGGAUCUUAAAGCUUCCAUAAUCAUUGCUAUUUGUAUAGUGAUAGUGCAUCUCAGCAUCUCCUUUGCCUUCAAUUUCUAUUUGCUCUCUUUAAUUUCUGACAGUAACUGAUCGAUGGCUUUUGUUUGUAAAAGUUAUCAAGUUUCGCUGUCAGAAGUUGAGGUCAUGCAUGAUCCAUCUAGAUAAUGGAAUGUGGACUGUCAUGAUCCCAUCAUUGUACGGACUUGGCGAUAAGAAUUCUACCAUGAAUGAGCAAAAUCAUUGAAUUGAGCAGUUCCCUUCCUUCUCGUGAUUUGUUGAUAUAUGAGAUUAUGUAAAGUUGUCGACUACGAAAUUUAUAUUAGUUGCUCUCUAAAGUCUAAACACUAUUAUUAUUGAUUAAAAUAGUGAAUUGCUUGUGCAAUUCACAAUGAAAAAUUUGGGAUUCCUAUUCUCUCACGUUUUAAAUAAAUGUUUUGUGGUCAGAUCUGAUUUAGAAUAUGAAAUGUGAGUUUGUUAUAUAAUAUUAUUUUGGUUAUAAAAUAAUAUUAUUUUUGUUAAAAAAACUUAAACUAUAAAAUAAUAUUAUUUUGGUUAAAAAAUAAAAUAAUAAAAGUCAACAGGUUUGCAGCCGAGUCUUGACAGGGUUUUGCUAGGUCAACCGGGUCACACCAGUCGACCAGGUCUCGGGUCGACCCGCCAGGCUAGACCGGGUUUCAAAACUAUGCUCUAAACACUAUUAUUAUUGAUUAAAAAAUUGAAAUUCUUGUGCAAUUCACAAUGAAAAAUUUAGAAUUUCUAUUCUCUCACGUUUUAUAUAAAUGUUUUGUGAUCGGAUUUGAUUUAGAAUUUGAAAUGUGAGUUUGUUAUAUAAUGUUAUUUUGGUUAAAAAAACUUAAAUAAUAUUUUUUUUAAUAAAAUUUAUAAAGAUUCCAAGUAAUUGACCAACCCAAAGUCUCAUCAUCUUGGAUAAUCAAUUCAAUAUUUAUUUUAAUUAAAAAUAAAACUUGGUUCAAGUUAGGUUUUAGAUUAAAUAUCAUUAUUUACACUAUAAUUAUAAUCAUGUUCUUAAAUUUGCCAAGUUAUUAUCAUUUUUAAUAUAAAUUAAAAUAAUACCAAUUAUUUUUUUUAAUUUAAAGAUAUAGACAUAAAAAAACAUGACAAAUGCAAAAGUACUUGUACCAAAAUAAGUGGCGUAAAAAGAAAAAGAAAUUUUAACGUGGUUUUUACCAUCAGAAAAAUGUACUUUUCUAACUAAUAAAGGGAGAUUGACGUGACAAAGGAUGCCCUUAUCUUAUUUCACCCAAAAAAAAAAAAAACAGUGAUAUUAAUUUAUUUGCUUUUAUAACCAGUCUCGACACAAAAAUUGAGCUUUGUAACCCAUUGGAGCCACCAAACUUUAUGAAUGAUGUUGAUUUUGACUUAAUCUUUUUUUUUUUUUUUAUGGCACUUUCUUCUACUUUAGUUUACUUGAAUAUCUACUCAUGCUAGCUUUAUAUGUAAAAAAAGAGUAAGAUGUUUGAUCAUUUUACAGUACAUGGUACGAGAAAGUGAAUUUCACACUUUUUCUUUUUUAAAGUAUUUUUUAAUUUUUAUAUUUUAAAAAAACAUUAGAUUAAUGUUUUUAAAUGUUUUUUUUAUAGUUUUAAUAUGCUGAUAUUAUUAUUUUUUAAAAAAUAUUUUUUAAAUAUAUUUUUAAUUAAAAAAUAAUCUUAAAACAUAUUAUAUGGUAGGUGGCAGUCAUCAUUGAAAUACAAUGAAAUGAUAAAAUCAAUAGAAAUUUAAAGGGAUUAAGGCCCGUCUCAUGAACUUGCCUACCAGUAGCUUUGAGUGGAAGGAAGCUUCGCCCAUACAUAAAUGGCUUUAUUUUGUGCUUUCAACUUUUGGAAACCCUAGCUACCAUGCCAACCACCUACUUAUCUUCUUGGUUAAGCCUUACAUAAGCAUGGAAUUUCAACAUAGUUGCUUGUAUCUUUCAUGGCUCAAAUAAUCUUUCAAUGGCCGAUGACGAACACAGAUUGUUAUAAUAAUCAUAUAUGGUGGGAUCUGAUCAAAAGAUUUGCGCAAAUGAAGACACAUCUCAAUCAUUUAUUUAAAAAUGUUUAAAUAAUCAAUACAUAUAUUAUAAUUUUAUAUAAAAAAACAAAAAAAACUAUGAUUUUUUAGCUUUUUUUUUUUUUUAAUUAUAGUUAUAAAAACAAUCACAGCACAGUGGCCUUCCUCUAGAGACGUAGUGCAUGCAUGGAUCUUAAAAAUGCCGGGCAUUGAAAUCCAUUGAGUACAGCUUAUAAGAAUGUGUAGCCAAAACCGUUGUCGGCAGACCUGGCUAUGAGCUGUGACUAGAGCCAUUGGGAACACAAAUAUUGACCAAUCUUGAAGAACAUGGUAUCGUGGAGGAGCCUCAUGGCUUAUGCCAUAUGGUCAUGGUUUUUAAUUAUUUUGAACAAAAAAGAAAAACUUUAUACAUUUUCUUUGCCAAUCAGGGCUUCACAGUACAUUAAUUAUUGAGAGAAAUUAUUUUAUUUAAAGUGGAAGGAAUAUUGUCAUGAUGAUCAGAAAAUUAAAUAAGUGGUGGUCAAUUUGAAGAUCUUUGAGAAUAUUACUUUCAGAUUACUUUUUAAAUUAUUUUUUAUUUAAAAAUAUAUUAAAAUAAUAUUAUUUUUUAUUUUAAAAAAAUUAUUUUCGAUAUUAGUACCUUAAAAUAAUUUAAAAUCACUAAAAUUAUAUUAAUUUAAAGUAAAUAAAUAAAUAUAAUUUUUUUUAAAAAAACUUUUGAAAAAAAUAAAAUAAACAGCGAUAAAAUCAUUAAAAGGUUACCUCUUUCUGCGUCAAGCCUUUUGGAUCUCCAAUAAAUCAUCUUGUCCUUGAACUCACCAAUACUUUGAGUUGAAGGAAGCAACAGUACUAAUCUUUUCCCACAUCGAUCAAUUGCUUCGCUCUGUUCUUUUCAUUGCUACGAAGCAAGCUACCACCUUUUCCCUCUUUAAGUAAACCGACUUUUUUUUUAAAAGAAAAUUUUCUUUAGCAACCACGCUUUAGAUUUCGUUGUGACGUAGUGUAAUUGAAAAUGUUUUUGAACUUAUUAUAAUUUUAAAAGUUAUUUAAUUUUCCAGUGCUUAAAUUUGCUUUUCAUCUUAAAUAAUGGUAAAAACUUGAAUUUAAAAGAUUAUAAUUUAUAGAUUUUUUUAAAAAUCAAAACAUGCUACAAAAAACAAUCAUAUACUUAUGUUCUAUUUGGUGACACAGUUCAAUCAGUUUUUCAAAGUGUUUUUUAAAUUAUUUUUAUUUAAUGGUUUUAUGAAUACUUUUCAAUAAAUUUAAUGUGUUUGUUAAUACAAAAAAUAAAAUUAAAAAAUUAUUUUAAUAUAUUUUUAAUUUAAAAAUAUAUUUUUUAAAAAACCAUUUAUUUUAUUAUCAAACAUAAACUUAACCUCACAUACGAGGAUUCUUGUGCACUAUUAACAGUUUCAACAGAGUCCAAAAUCGACAUAAAAAUAGUAUGCAUGUUCCAUAGACCCCAGGUGGUCAAUUUUUCAAGCAUGAGUAAGAAGUGUCAAUGUCAUCUCUGUCAAGAAUUGCAAAAUCGAUCAAUGUUCAUCUUGUUUAAUGAACUUUCUUAUUAUUAUUUGAUUUUAAUUUAAAAUUUAAAAUUUAAAAUUUAAAAUUAUAAAAGUUUGGGUUAGAUAUGUUUAAUAUUAUUAUUAAUAUUAUAAAUAUUAUUAUUGUCAUUAUUAUUAAUAUAAUCAUUAAUAAUUUUUUUAAAAAAUAUUAUUAUUAUUAAAAAAAAACCCAUAGAUUUUAUUUGAAGAAUAAAAUUAAAGAUUAUUAUUAUUGUCGUCGUCGUCGUCGUCGUCGUCAUUGGUAUUCUUAUUCUUAAUGUUAUUAUUUUUAUCAUUAUUAAAUUUGAUAAAAAAAUAUUACUAUUAAAAAAAAUCAUAAAUUUAAUUUAAAGAGAUUAAAAACUAUAAAAACUUGAAUCAAACAAGUUUCUUAUCAUUAUUAUUAUGAUUGUUAUUAUCAUCAUAAAAGGAAUCAAAUCCUAGAAACAUAGGUCUAGUUGUGGCUCCAAAUCCAAGUUUAUAAUCAUGAGUAAUAUUUUUAUUAUUCUUAUUGUUAUUAUUAUUGUUAUAUCAUUAAUAAUUUUUUAAAAAAUAUUUUUACUAUUGAAAAAAGAUUAUAAAUUUAAUUUCAAGGGAUAAAAAAUUAUAUGAACUUGUACGAGACAAGUUUAAUAUUAUUAUUAAUAUUAAAAAUAUUAUUAUUUGUAUUAAAAGAAUUACUAUUUGUAUUUGUAUUAUAGUUAAUAUUAUAAAUAUUAUUUUUGAAUCAAAUAUUACAUUCAGACUCAAGACUUUUAAAUCUAGUUUUAUAGACCUUUAAAUCUAAUUUUGUAAAUAAACCUAACAUUCUUGAAUAUUAAUAUUUUUUAUGUAAAAAAAAUAAAUAAAUUACUCCACAACAUUGCACGGGACACCCACAGACCCACUACGGAUGCCAUGUGCUGGGUGGGGGCGUGCACGGAGCACAAUUGAACAUCACCACAUUAGUAAUUUUUUAUAUAUACAAAUGUCACUAUUAAUUUCUGUAACCCUGCGGCUAUCCUUAGCUUAACCGUUGAAUUGAUUAACAAAAUAGAAGGUGAGCUGCGCACAUCAAAACCAUCUCUUGCUGAUGAAAGAUUAAUUGUGGGGUCAGCAGCGACGAUGUUUAUGAUGGUUGCUUCAAGUUUCCACUCCCAAGUCAACAUUUCCCCAUCUUAUUGGACAAUUAAAUUAAAGCCUCACAUGUAUUUAUCUUAAUUAAAUUAACCCCCCCACCUCUAUAUAUAUACUCUCAAUAUUUCCAUCGUCUCAUCAAAUCAAAGCAUACACAAAACCAUGGUGGAAACGGUAUGUUAUAUAUAUAUAUAUAUAUAUAUAUAUAUAUUUGUGUGUGUUAAUUUAUCUUUUAAUGCAUCCUCUUUGGCCUUUUUCUUCUUUUUACUUGGAUGUCCUAUAUAUGUACAAGUUCUUGAUAAAUAAUCUCUACAGCGGAUUCUUCCACGUCAGAACAUGUUUUGAGUUCUUCCAAUCUUUCUGUCUAUAAAUUUAUCGUGAGAUUUUCUUUGUUUUUCUAUUGGGAUUAAUCAUGGUGAGGUCCUAUAUGAAAUGCAUGCACUAACUAGUACUGUUACAGCAAGUCACAACGAUGGUGAUCGAGGUGGUUGACCUUGGAUGCGAAAAAUGCCACAAGAAAAUCAAGAAAGUACUGUGUGCUAUUCCUCGUGAGUCUUCUUUUUUUUUCCUCUUUAAAAACAGUUCUAGGUUUGAUUUGUUUUUAUUACCAAAGGAAGUGACUAAGUUUUGUGGAUUUGAUGAUGUUAAUUAACGAACAAGAGAAAUCCAGAACCAGACAUAUGACAAGAAGGACAACACAGUGACAAUCACUGUGGUGUGUUGCUGUCCUGAAAAGAUCAAGAAAAAAAUAUACUGCAAAGGAGGUGAAGCUGUCAAGUGCAUUGAGAUCAAGCUGCCUCCACCUCCACCUCCACCUCCUCCACCUCCACCUCCACCUCCUCCUCCUCCUCCACCACCACCACCACCACCACCACCACCACCACCAUGCACAUGCAGUGAAAAAUGCCGCCGAGGCCCAUAUUGUCAUCACUUUUGUAUGCCAACAGUACCUCCAUAUUGUUAUGUACCUUGUAGAAGGUCAGAGUGUGAUCUAUGGGGAGAUGGUUGUUGUAGUUGCCGAAGUAGGGGUUACUAUGUGUGCAGAAGUUUAUAUGUUUAUGAAGAGUACUAUCCCCCGACAUGCAAAAGCAUGUAAAGGGAAAUCAAGUUAAGAAGACCGAUGAUUUGAGUCAACGUCCACAAUCAACCAUUGGAUUCUACUCCAGUGGUCAUAGUGUUGUUGUGUUUAUAAUAUCAUCCCUUUUUGUGUUGCUGAUGUUGUUUUGACCUCUUUCAUCUAGCUAGAUGAUGCACGACUUUGUGCCUAGCUAGUAUAUAUUUUGAAGUCAAUGGUCACAGUUUUUCCAUUGUUGAUGGCUUCUUACAUGUUUGGUCAACAAAUAUGGGAGUCUUUACUACCUAGUCUUUGUUUUUUUACGAUUUCUUAUCUUUGUAUAGUCCCUUUGGAUGUUUUCUUCCAAAGUGCUAUUAUCUGUUUCAAAAAACCCCUCUCCAUCUAUUCUCUCGUCAUUUUUUGCCGGAUGAAAUGCCCAGAAACAACAUCAUUCGACCGUACUUUGUAAAUGAUAGUUUUCUUAUAAUAUUGUUUUUGUUUUAAAAUAUAUUUUUCAUUCCAUAAAACGUUAUGAAUAAACUCAUAUAAUUUAUAAUAUUUUUCGCAAAGAGACCAUUCUCUGUGAUUAAACAAUAAGGUCAACAAGGUUGGUGAGAUGUAUAAAUAUUAUUGUAGGGUUAGUACGGAAGUAGUUACAAUUAUUGCAAAUAAAAGCAAAAGGUUCCAUUUUCCAUGAUGAUGGUGCCGGUGCGUGCACCUUCGUUUCUUUCACUUUGAAUUGCUUUCUUCAAUCCUCGGUCGUUUGAUUGCUUCUGUGGUGUAAACAUGACCAUGCUUGUUUCCUAGAAAAAAUGGUGCAAGCUCAGCCAUGCCUCAUAAUCCAAACGAGAUAAUGAAAUUUGGAUUAUUAAAUAUUCUAUAAAUUAGGAUUGUACGUACUUGGAGAGAAGAAUUAAUAAUCCCUUUAUCAACAUACAUAAUAAUCGAAGACCAAUUUCCUUUUCAUGAUGUAUAUAUAGUUUUAUGUGAAGCCAUGUAAAGCUCUUAAUCUACAGAUUAUCAUUGGUUGACGUUAUUUGACUCGUUUCUUUUCUAUCCUUUACACAUCCAUUAAUUGGUGGGGAUGACAGAAGAAGAAUGCUACCAUGGGAUAGGUUAGCGAGCUGUCAAUGAAAAUGUAAGGAAGCAAUGGAGAUUUUGAAGGCGUUAUGGAAAUCUCCAUUGACUUGUACGGAAGGAAUAGUUGUUAAUUAUACCCUAUUGGUUGAUUCAUAAAAUUUUUUAUUUAAAGAUUUACUCAGGUAAAAAUAAAAAGCAAAAUAUUAAUGUGACUAAACUCGAUUAAUUCAACUAUGUUUUUAAUCAUUUUAAACAAAAAUAGUUUUGGGUACCGACUAACCGAACAAUGUUUUCCAUGGCCCGUGGAGGCAUAAUAUUUCAAAGUAAAAUCACCUUCUUGCACAUUGAGGCCGCGAGACUAUAAAGGUUUGUUUGAGAGUGUGGUUGCAGUUGUUUUUUAAAGUGUUUUUUUCAUUCUGAAAUGCAUCAAAAUGAUUUUUUUUAUUUUUAACAAAAACAAUUCAAUUUUUUGUAAACUUGUAAAUUGACAAUAAUAGACUAAGAUGUUGGAUUGAUUGUAUAUAUUUUUUUUCUUCUAAAAAGAUAUUAAUUUAUUAUUUUUAAAUUUAUUUUAAUAUUUUGAUAUGUUAAUGUUAAAAAUAAAAAAAAUUAUUUUAAUAUAUUUUUUAAUAAAAAAACACAGCUUAAAUAUUAAACAAACACAAUUAUUUAUAAAAAAUAUCAUUCCAUAGGAAUUCAAACCCUAUGAUGAGUAUAACAACAAAGGACAAGGAAUUAGAGGGUGCCAAAAAUUUGAUUUUUUUUAUUUAAAAUUAUUUUUUUAUGAGUUAAGAAUAAUUAGGAGGCUUAACUUAUUGGUUAGCCAAUCAUUUUUCUAUUUAUAUGUGUAGGGCAAUAUACAAUAGUAAUGGUGAUAAUUAAAACACAUAAUUUAUGACUAUAAUAUUUUCUAUUUAGGUAUAUUCUAUAACAUGUCCCCUAAAGUUGAGUGUGGAGGAUCGACCUAAAGCUUGAAUCAAAAAGCAGUAAAUAGAGUAGUAGGAAGUGGCUUAGUAAAAACAACUGCAAGUUGAUUGUGAGAGAAGAUAAAGGGAAUCUAAAUCUCUUUCUUCGCAACCCUGUCUCGUACAAAAUGAUAGUCAACCUUAACAUGUUUAGUGCAAGCAUUGAAGAUAGGAUUUGCAGAUAAGAGUAGCGCUUAUAUUAUCACACCAAAUAAAAUGAGUAUAGUUAGAAAGAAUCUGCAUAUCUCUCAAUAGAUACUGAAGCCAUAUAACCUUAGCAGUGCUAUUUGUCAAGGCUUUAUACUCAAUCUUGGUCGAGGAGAGAGCAACUGUUCGUUGCUUGCUUGAUUUCUAUGAAACUGACGUUUGACUAAAGAAGACAAGAUAACCACCAGUAGACUUGCAAUCAUCAAUACUACCUGUCCAAUCUAUAUUUGUAAAGCCACGUAGAGUAAAUGAAGAACUGCGAGUGAUAUGUAAGCCAUAAGUGGUCAUACCUCGUAGAUAACACAUAAUACAUUUAACGACACCCAAUGAGAAUCUAUAGGAGCAUGCAUAAAUUAUCAGACUCUGUUAACAACAAAAUAGAUAUUUGGUCUCAUAAAGGUGAGAUAUUGAAGAGCAUCCAUAAUUUGACGAAACCUUGUAGGAUCAUAAAACAAGGGACCUGAGUAAAGAUAAGAGUAUUAAUCGGUUUGCAAGAAGUCAUACCUACUCGAGUAAGGAUGUCAAGAAUAUACUUAUAUCAGCAUAACAUCAGACCUGUAGCAGUGGACUGAACCUCAAUACCUAAAAAAUAUUGAACGACGCUAAGGUCAUGAAGCUUGAACUCUUAACUCAGUAACUGUAUUAGGUGGUGAAGCAUAGUAGAGUUGCUACCCGUAAGUAGAAUGUCAUCAACAUUAACUAGAAGAUAGAAGAUAUUAGCACCAACAGACAUAAUAAAUAAGGAGGUGUAAACUUUGGAAGUGUUGUACCCUCGCGGCGACCCUCGAUUGAUUUUGAUUUUUAUGUUGUGAAUAUGAGAGUUGCUACCUAGUAUUAUGGUCACUAGGAAUCCUAACUGGUAUUUUAGAGAUUCUAAGGUAAGGGACUGGUUACGUAAAGGGAAGGUAUUAUCACCUCUAGUACGCCCUAUCUAAGGUAAGCUGUUUGGUGUUUGUUUGCCUUAUAAUUGCUGUAGUGUUGGUGUUCUCUUAAUUAAUUUUAUUAGGACAGGUUUGCUAUGAUGAAUAGAUUUGGGUUCAAAGUCUAAAAGCAAAAACCCUUGGCCAAUAUUGAUCAUACCUUUAGAUAUGUCUACAAAGGGCUAAGGAGAACCAAUGCAGAUCUCUUGACAUCUGUGUUUGAUUCAAACUAAAUUUAUUAAGAUUGAAAUCCAAGGAGAUUCCAUGUGCUUUAAAAGCUCAUUUUCCCUUAAUAUUUCAAGAGUUUGCGACUCGUAAAUCGCAAGGAGGGACAAAAAAUUUAGAAAUCUAAGGAAAUUCAGGGUGCUUUAAAGCCCAUUUUUGCCUUAAUGUUUCAUAUUCUUACGGCUUGUAAACCGUGGAGUCAAAAAUUGAAAUAUCCUCAAUUAUAAUCAAGGCUUCUUUCAAGGAUGUGUGAUGACUUAUUAUUCCUAGAAAAUUAUUUUAGAUAUUUACCGUGGAUAUUUACCAUCUAUGGUUUCUUUAUCCAAAUAUUAAUAGUGAAUAAUAACAUGUUAUUCCCAAUAAUAUUUUGGAUAUUCAUCCUUUUGAAAUCUCUUUAUCCAAACAUUAACGGUGAAUAAUAGAAGAAUUCCCCCCAAAAUAUGAUUUUUAUAUUUUUUAGAAUAUUGGCCAACAUCCUUUGGAGUUUUACAAACAUGUUGUAAAAUCCAGAAUGCAAGAAAAUAUUUUUUUUUUGUUUAAGAACUCCAUGCUAAAACACAUUUUCUUUUAAACUUUGAAUAUUUUUUUUAAGAGGAAAUUCAAAAUAUGUUAAGGAAUUGGCCGUAUCCACGAAUUGUUUUUUGGAUAUAUAUGUAUACUUGUCACAUUACGUUAAAAAACUGGGUAUUCUAAAUGUGAGAUUGAAACUUUUUUACAAUAUUAAAAAAAAAUUCAAACCUUAAAAUAAAUAUGCCAGAAAAUCAUAAAUCUCUUUCUCUUUCUUUUUAUUUUUUUCGGGAAAGAAAAAAAAGUUGGAACCAGUAGGUCUGGCCGGGUCACUUGCCCAAGCAAGUGACCCGGCAGGACACAAAAAGGGUGCAAUCCUCUUAAUGAAAACUGGCGAGUUACUGUUCAAGUGAAUUAAUUCACUUAAACAAUACAAACACAACGUAAAGUGCAUGCAAAGAGACCAUGCUAUUGUUUGAGUGAAUUAAAAUUCACUUGAACAGUGCAAACACAAAGAAAACAAAUGCAUGCAAAAAGGUGAAGAGAACAAACCUGGAGGUGGGAACAAAAGGACAACGAUGAUGUUGAAGGCUUGCUGACUAGUCAAUCAGUGUUGCCGUCUGCUUUAGCUCUUUCCCCCUAUUCUCUGUUGGCAUUCGUCUUUUGAGUUUUACCUCUGCAAUCUUCGUCCCUCCCUCUCUUUACUAGUUUUCUGUGCUUUCUUCUCUCCUGUUUUGCAGAUUUUUUUUUGCAGAAAAUAGAGCAAAGACCGAAAGGCAGUCCCUGCUUCUUCCUUGGUCCUCUUUUUUUUUUUCCGUCUUUUUUUCUCUUCUUUCUCUUCUACUGCCUGCCUUCCUGAUCUAACAGUAACGCAAGGAUGAAGGAAAGAAACUCCCUUUGUUCUUUGUGUUUUUUUUUCUCUUCUAACUGCCUACCUCUCUUGCAUUUUUUCUUGUCUUUCUUUUCUCGUUCCCACCGUGUCUCCUAGCAUGAGAGGUUUAUAUAGCCUAACAUGCAGCUCUAUUUAGGAAACAAAUAUCACAUUAAUUCUAGGGUGUAAUCUUGGGUGAUCAAAUAAAGCAAAAAUAGGAAACUAAAAUAUUUUGAUUCUGAUUUUGUGAUCAUUUUCGCACCCAAAAAAAAAUCAGCGCGCGGCAUCGACUGACGAUUUUUCGUCUCGUUGUUGUUUGCUUGAAUUUGGUUCGUUGGAGUCGCCACCUAGUAAUUGAUUUCGGGCUACUAGGAAACUGGAUGUACUUGUCUUGUCAGAGAUUCGCGGGUAAGGGACUGGUUGUGGUUAGGGAAGGUAUUAGCACCCCUAACGCACCCUACCUGAGGUAAGCUGCUUCGUGGCUUUGACGUGUUAAAGAAGUUUUAAUAAUUGUCUUUUCAUCGGAAAUUAGAAAUAUCACUUACGUAUCAGUUAAUAAUUCUUAACCGUGAUCCGAUCAAAAUAUUAAAUUCUUCUUUAAUAUAUUUGCAAUUUUAUCCUAAAAAAAAAAUAAAAAAAAAUAUAUAUAUACAUAUAUACAAAUAAGUAAAACAAAAUACAAACACACACAUUCACUAUUUUCAUUUCUUUUCUUUUUCUUUUCUUUUACAUCCACAAUACAAAUACAAAUACAAAUACAAAUUCAAAUUCAAAUUCAAAAUAAAUAAAUAAAAAUACACCAACACACACAUCCCCUUUGUUAUUAUUAUUUUCUUUUCUUUUCUUUUUUUUUUCUUUUACAUUCACAUACUACAAAUUUAAAAUAAAUAAAAAAAAAUUACAUUAAAACUUUAAAAUUUACAAAAUGGUCCCUAAACAAUCCAUAACAGUACUGGGAAACCCUUCAGGAACAGUUCUGGGCUGCCUGAACAAUAGCGGCGCGUGGACCCCACGCACAGCCAGGGCAGUCGAUUUUAAGUUUUUCUUAGUUUUUCAAAUCUGUUUUUUUUUUAUUCUUUCUUUCUCCGCCUGCUGCUUCCUCUUCUUCUUCAGAUCGUCUUCCCUGUACAGGUGACGACUGCUGGAGCCCGGAGCAGCGGGUGGCGCCGCUGGGGAAAGGAGCUGCUGCGGUUGGCUUCGGUGGGCGCUGGGUUUCGUCUUCUUCUCCUCUGCUUCGGGUGGAAGAUCGGUGGCUUGGUGGAGGAUCUGAAAGGCGGUGGCUUGCUUCUGUUCGGGUCAGCUGUUGGGGGGUGGUUGCCUGAGUCAGUGGGUGCCGCUGCGGCUAAUCGGUGAAGACCGUGGGUCUGGGGCUGCUGAAGCUGGGACGCCGCUGCACGGUGAGGCUAAGAGAAAACUGGGAGAGCUGAAGGAGAUCGUGAACAGGCUGGAUCUCCGAUGAGGACGAGCGGAGAGAGAAGUGUGAGGGGGUGUUGAAAGAGAACCGGUUGAGGGACGGGGUGAGCUCCUAAUGAGGGCUCCGGUUUGGAGGGAGGGUCGGCUGAUAGAUGAGAGAGUGAGGUCGCCGGCGAGAUGGGGCUACAGGGAACCCAAAAAUGAAAGCCACCGGGGGGGGCUGCUGCUUGACCGAAAAAAAUGAACACGGUAGGGGCGGCUGUGUUUGGCUCCGGCUGAAUAGAAAAAAUAAAAUAAAAAUAAAACCAGAGGGGAAGGGGCCUUGGGUGAGAAGGAGCAACGGCUAGAAGUUCAAAAAAAUUCAAACCGGGGGGGCGGCUCCUUUGGGUAGAAUGAGGCAGCUUUUUUUUGUUUAGGGUUAGGGUUUUUUUUGUAUUUUAUCUUCUGAAAAUUUCCUAAUUGCCCCCCCUCCUUUGUGUGAGUUAAAGACUAGUAUUUAUAGGCAAAAAUGUUGUCAAGUUUUUCAACUUGGUCCCUCAACUUCUUUCUUUUUGUAAAUUUUGAUUUUUUUUUUUUUGAAAACGAGCAAAAUCAACGUCGACUCAAAUGCAGAAAAUCAAUGAUUUAAAAAUGACGCGUGAAAAGUCGAACGCGUUUGAAAAUAUUUUAACAAUUUAAAUUCUUUUUUAGACGACGUUGAAAAUGCUAAAAUGACGAAAAUAUAUUAAAAAACAUAUUUUUUGGAUUUUCUUUGUUUUUCUCAAUUUUUUUGGAUUUUUGAAAAUAUAUCAAAACAUGGGUCAAAAAUUGUGUAGCAACAAUCAUCAAUGAUUUGUUUCUAGUAAUUAGAGGAUGGUGCGGCUCCUUUUCAUCCUUCCAUAGCUGGGACCAUGAGGCACCAGCUGUUUCCUUUGAACCGAGGCAAAAAAUAAAAAAACAUGGUUUGCAGAUAAAAGGAAAGAAGACAACCAGGAUAUUUAAGUAGAGAAAAAAAAAAGAAAUGCAGAUGGGGAGGGGUGCAUGCUGCAAAGUCUUAUUUUCCUUAUUCGGUGUGGAGGAAAUCCCGUCAUUUUAUGAUGAUCUAGUCCCCUCUCCAACUUCUUAAAACCUAACCAAUAUCCUUCUAAUUUCACCUUAAAUUAAAUCCCUCAUUUUAGCACUUUUCAAUUUAGUCCUUGGUAAAAAAAAAAUCCUUCAAAUUGGCCCGUAAUCCCUUGAAUUAGACUUGCGAACUUGGGCUAAACCCUUCUCACGACGGGAUUCUCUCCUUUCAUAUUAGAUAAUCAAACGGGAAUAUCUUGAGCUUCUGAUUUCUAAAUCACGAGAUUCAAAAACUAAAAUUCAUCUACACGUAUAAGACUAUAACUUUCAUGAAGGAUCCAAAGUUAGAUAAAAUCGUUUUGAAGAACAGAAUUGCAAACAAACUCGGCUGGAAACCUUAUCGCGAUAGGAUUCUAUGCUUUCACACUAGAUUUCAAACGUGAAUAUGUUGAGCUUCGAAUACUAAAAUUAAGUAAUUCAAAAGCCUAAAUUCAUUUAUGCGUGCAGGUCUACAACUUUCAUGAAGGGUUUAAAGUGAGAUAAAUUCUUUUUGAAGAACAGAAUCUGGCCGCAAUCUGGUUGGUCAAAAAGGGUUUGUUGAUUUGACAAUGCUGAGCAUCUAAAUCUGACUGAGAGUUUUCCAUAGAAACAAGGAGCCCUAGGACCCAAUAAAGGUGUAGGUAAAUUCUUCAACAUAUCAUGAGUGACAGAAUAUAGCUAGGAUGUUCAGAUAUCGUACAAAACCAAGUCAGAAUCAGAGCCUAAGUUGGAACAAAAAAUUAUGACAGCAGCAACAUUAGUUUUUUUAGUGCAAAUUCUGAGGGAUUUAUCCAACCUUAAAAACAAGAUAAAUAAGGAAUAAAUUUAGCAUUAUGAAGACUCCUAGUCACUCUAAGAAACCUGACGAUUUUGGUAGCAAAGAGGAAGGAUAAAGAGGAAAGAAAACAACUCAAAUAGGGUUCGACAAACAUUUCUUCCUUCUUUGCUUUUGUCAAUCUUCCAUUAAACAUGAGCUACACUCCUGCACUUGGUUCAAAAGAGGUAUACACCAUCUCUAGCACGUGUGGUCAAAAAAUGAGUAACAACAGGAAGUAUAAAAGCCAAUAGAGAUAAGAAAAUCACUCAGACGAGUGUACCAUACCCAUGGGGCUUGUUUUGAACCAUAUAAAGACUCAUGCAACCGACACACAUGAGAGGGAAGAGCAGAGUCAACAAAAUUUGUAGGUUUUUCAUGUAGACCUCUUCAGCAAGAACACCAUUGAGGAAGGCAUUAUGAAUAUCAAGUUGAUAAAUCUUCUAAUUACUGGAGACCGCAAGGAGAAAACUAAUUUGAAUCUCUUGUGCUUAACAACUAGACUGAAAGUUUUAGAAUAAUCAAUGCCUUCUUGUUGAGUAAAGCCUCUAGCAACCAAAAAUGCCUCAUACUGCUCAACACUAUCAUCCACACGAUGUUUUAUCAUGUACACCCACCGGCUACUAACAACAUUCAUCGAAGGAUGAAAAUGAACUAAGGACUAGGUGUUAUUAGAGCAUAAGGCCCGAAUUUCAUCACGCCUAGCAUCAUGCCACACCUCAUUCUUGUCAGCAUUAGAGAAUAUAAAGGGUUCAUAAGCAGGAGAGGACGUUACCCGAUAGUGAGAAGCAGCAUAGGUGAUUGUAGAUGCUAUUAGGAGGGCAAUCUUUAGCAACUAUGGGUAAGAACCAUCUGAUGCUGACAAGCAGCAGACCGAGGGGCAGAAUAAUUUGAACUAGGAAGUUGCUGAACAGGAUAAGAUGAGAGAUCAAUAAAGAGUUGCAGACCUACAGGAGAAUAUGUCGAAAGACUAGAGCUCGCAACAGUAGAUGUGGGAGAACUUGCUAUAGAAUCAUAGUUGGCUACAGUGACAGGCCUGGAAAUAUGCAACUUUGAAGGAGGUUAACCUAUUCUUGCAUAAUAAUCAUUAGAGAAACAUGUAGAUGGUGACAUAAAGGCAGGGUUGGGUAGCAGAUAAGGGUGGGGAACGAUGAGGCUGUUUGGGUGGAGCUGAAGGGGCAACAAAUCUACUGGGUAUGGUGUUCAACGGGUCAGCAGGUAGAAAAUUUAGGGAGGUAAUUGAUAAGGAAAGUUUUAGCAUGCAUAUUUUCCACUAUUCAUCCUUGAUUUUUAAAUAUUUUGGAUGUGUUGGACAAGUUAAUUAGAAUUUUGGAUCUUUUUUUGAACUAUUGACCUUGUGAAAAAUUAAUGUGUUUUCAGAUACUAGAUUACUGGGUAGGCAGAAUCCGGUAGUAAAAUCAAACAUUGAUUGAUUUUAGGCUGCAAAGAAAGCUAUACAACUCAGUUCUAGGCGUUUGUCACCAUUUUCAAAUAUUUGAGAUGAAGGUCUACAAAACAUAUGGAGGGCAGAGAACUCAGUUUUGCUGUUUCUAAGCCUAAAGAGACAGUCGAAAAAUAGGGAUUGAAUCAUACCCGAACUUCCUGCACUCCAAAUGUUGUCUCAGGUUAUGACCCAUAUCUCAAGUCUCAGACGUCCAAAAAUUGCAAGAUCCAUGUCAUUGGAAAGAAUAUUUGAUUUUCUACAAUUUCUCCAGAAAUAGAGACCAUUGAAUUUGCACGUUUUUUGCCUUAAAUUUGGCCCGCAUUAUUCAAAAAGGAAAGGAAUACGAAGCAGAGAAGGAAAUUUUCUUCUUGCCAGCUAAGGGAUAAAAAGGCCAGAAUAUAAAAGAGAAGCAGAGAAGGAAAUUGUCCUUGCACUCACCAAUACUUUGAAUUAAAGGAAGAAACAAUACUAAUAUUUUCCCAUAUUGAUUGCGUCACUAUGUUCUUUUCAUUGCUACAAAGCAAGCUACCACCUUUUCCCUUUUUAAGUAAAAUGAAAUUUUUUUUAAAGAAAAUUUUUUGUAGCAACUAUGCUUUAGAUUUCGUUUGAUAUUAUGAUGUAUCGUGGUUGGAAUUGUUUUUGAAUUUAUUAUAAUUUUAAAAAUUAUUUGUUUUUUCUUUAUUUAAAUCUACUUUUCAUCUCAAAUAUUGGUAGAAAACUCGUAUUUGAAAAAGCUAUAACAUUUAAAAUUUAUUUUUUUAAAUCAUAACAGCAAAAAAUACUACAAAAACAAUCAUAUACUUAUGUUUUAUUUGGUAAUAUGGUUCAACAAGCUUUUCAAAAUGCUUUUUAAAUUGUUUUUCAUUUAAUGUUUUUAUGAAUACUUUUCAAUAAUUUUAAUGUGCUAAUACAAAAAAUAAAAAUAAUUUUUUUAAAAAUACCAUUUAUCUCAUUAUCAAACAUAUAUUUAAAGUCCAUUUGGGAAUAUGGAUGUAAUUGCGUUCCUUCAAAUUUCAACUUUAUUUUUUGCUUAUUUUUUUUUUUUUUAUGUUUUUAGAUCAUUUUGAUAUAUUAAUUUUAAAAAUAACUUUUAAAAAUAAAAAAUAUUAUUUGAAUAUAAUUUUUUAAAAAUAUUACUUUAAACCAUAAUCAUUAUAAUAAUUUCAAACAUUCUCUAACCUCACGUAUGAGGAUUCUUGUGCACUAUUUACGGUUUCAACAGAGUCCAAAAUCGACAUAAAAAUAGGAUGCAUGUUCCAUAGACCAAACUCUACUUUCCAUAGCAAGAGGACAAAUACAAAUUAUUAUAAUAUCUAUGAUGGGAUCUAAAACGAACUGAAGUCAACGUCAAGAGUAAAAUGCUCGUAAGAAUAAUAAUAAAAAAAGUUGUUCAUAGCUAAGGAGAAGACUGUAUAAAAAAAUCAAAGAUAUUAUGAGAGUUUCUAAUAUGAAAAUCUUGAAAAAGAUGGGAAAAUGAACACCAAUUAAGGUAUAAAUUCAUUGCAUCCAUAUUCUAUUUUCAACAAUAUAAGUUUCAUUAUUUAUUAAAAAUUAAAAUAUUAAAACCUAAUAAUAAUAAUAAAAAAAAAAGAUUGGAAGACUUAUUUUCAACAAUUUAUCUAACAAAAACACGAAAGAGCUUUUUUUUUUUUUUUUUUUUAAUCUGGAAAAAUAAAACUUUAAAACUUGGUAAGUGAAAAUGGGCCAAAACCAUGAGAUACAUAAAGCACAAAGCCUAGAAACUGCAGAAAAGCAACAUGAAAACAAAACCCAUAUCAUUGAAAAGCAGCCCAGUCUCAUUUUUGGACAAUUAAAAGCAUCUCAUAUUAUUACAACAAGAGAAUAAUUUUUUUUUUUUUUUAUGUAAUAUGGUUUUUAUCUUGUUUCCAAAAAAAAAAAAUAGUAUUCUUCAUGGAAUAAUAAUAGUCGUAUCUUUAUUUAAUUUGUUCUAUUACCAAACUUUGAUCCUAAAAACUCCAAUUUGAAUCUUAUUGUAAACACAAAAUCAAAAUGUUGCAAUUUAAUAGUAUUAUUCUUUUUUUCAUAGUUGAAAAUUGAGAAAAAAAUUAUAAUUGAGACAAUUAAAAUGAUCGAGAAAGAGGGUUUAUAAAUCAUGGUAAGAUUCAAAGCGAAAACAAUAUAAACUAUAUGAUUAAAAAAAUAAUAAUUUUGGUUGGUGUAGGUUAUCAACAUGUGUUCCAUAAUGAUGUUAUACCUAUUUGCAAUCGGGUCCAAGAAAGAAAGACAACCAUAUUUUGAGGGUUUCUACUUACUAAAAUCCAAAAAUAAAAAAUACAAGGACCAAGUUGUAUUUUUAUCAAAAUAUUUUGAGGGGUUCUGCAAAAUUUUCUAUCACCACCACCUCCUCCUCCUCCUCAUCCUCAUUGUUUUAACAAGUUUCCUACUUUUUAUAAGCUAAAACUCCAAAUUCUGUAUCACCACCUCCCUAUUUAUUUUUAUGUUUCAAAAGUAUUUUAAAAUUUUUAUUUAUUUUUUUUUUGCUUCAAAUUAAUAUUUUUUGGUAUUUUUAUAUCAUUUUGAUGCGCCGAUAUCAAAAAUAAUUUUUUUAAAAUAAAAACAAUUAUUUUGAUACAUUUACCAAUAAAAAACACUUUGAAAAAUAACAACAACCAUUCUCCCAAACACUCCACUAAAAGGUCUGGGAUUAUUAUUCUUUCAUGCAUUGUAGACUCAUACUCAUCUGAAUUGUGGAUUUACUAUGCCCAUGAAUUUUUUUUUUAUUUUGCCUUUUAAGGACCUAAUUUAAGGUUAAUUUAGCUAAAAUUGUCAAGGAAGGAUGCAAUUGAAAGAAAAAGGACUAAAAUGAAACACGUGGAGGAGAUGAGUGAUGAUUUUUUAUGUGUGCAAAAUGUGCAAUUUAGUUCUCAUUCUUUAUGAAAGUUGAGAAUAGUGGAAUGUGUUGGGUUGUGUCUUAGCCAACCUUCCUAUUUAUAUAGAGGCAACAAAACACUGCAGUAACUGUAAUGAUUACAACAUCCUAUAUUAAAAUCCUAUUCUGAUAGAUACAUGAGUAACUGUAAUGAUUACAACAUCCUAUAUUAGAAUCCUAUUCUAUAAUAUGCCCCCUCAAGCUGAGGGUGGGGGAUCAACCCGAAGCUUGAAUCGAAAAGCAGUAAAGGAUGCAACAGGAAGCGGUUUAGUGAAGACAUCGGCAAGUUGAUCCCGAGAGGGAACAAAACGAAUCUGAAUUUCUUUCUUGGCAACACGGUCACGGACAAAGUGAUAAUCCACUUCAACAUGCUUAGUACGAGCAUGGAAGAUAGGAUUUGCUGAGAGAUAGGUAGCACCAAGAUUAUCACACCAAAUGGUAGGGGCAGAGACUGAGGGAACCUGCAAAUCUGUUAACAAGUAUUGAAGCCAAAUGACUUCAGCGGUACCAUCAGCAAGGGCUUUAUACUCAGCCUCAGUAGAGGAGCGAGCAACAGUGCGUUGCUUGCCGGAUUUCCAAGAAAUCGGCGUCUGACCAAAAAAGACAAGAUAGCCGCCCGUAGACUUGCGAUCAUCAAUACUACCAGCCCAAUCUGCAUCUGUAAAGCCAUGUAGAGCAAAAGAGGAGCCUCGAGUGAUAUGGAAACCAUAAGAUGUCGUACCUUUAAGAUAGCGUAAAAUACGUUUGACAGCGGCCCAAUGAGAAUCUGUAGGAGCAUGCAUAAACUGACAGACUCUGUUAACAGCAAAGCAUAUAUCUGGACGGGUGAAGGUAAGAUAUUGAAGAGCACCCACGAUUUGACGAAAUCGUGUAGGAUCAGAGAAUGAAUGAUCCGGUAAUAAAAUGACUUUCGAAGGGGAGACUGGAGUAUCAACUGGUUUGCAGGAAGUCAUACCAGCUCGGGUGAGGAUGUCAAGAAUAUAUUUAUGUUGACGCAACAUUAAACCCAUACUGGUAGACUGAACUUCAAUACCCAGAAAGUAGUGAACAACACCUAAGUCACGAAGCUUGAACUCAGAGCUGAGUAACUGUAUAAGGUGAUGGAGCAUAGCAGAGUUGCUACCUGUGAGCAGAAUAUCAUCAACAUACACCAGUAGAUAAAAGAUAUUAGUACCAUCAGAUAAGAUAAACAGGGAGGUGUCAACCUUGGAAGCUGAGAAACCGAUGGAGAGCAAAAAAUCACUUAGACAAGUGUACCAUGCUCUUGGUGCCUAUUUCAAACCAUACAAUGAUUUGUGCAAUCUGCACACAUGAGAUGGAAGAGAAGAGUCAACAAAACCUGGAGGUUGUUUCAUGUAGACCUCUUCAGUAAGAACACCAUUAAGGAAGGCAUUAUGACUAUCAAGCUGAUGAAUCUACCAAUUUCACGAAACCGCGAUAGAGAAAACCAAUCGGACAGUGGCCUGCUUAAUAACUGGACUGAAGGUUUCAGAAUAAUCAAUACCUUCCUGCUGGGUAAAACCUCUAGCAACAAGGCGCGCUUUAUAGCGCUCAAUACUACCAUCAACACGACGUUUGAUCCGAUAUACCCAUCUACUGCCAACAACGUUCAUCGAAGGAUGAAAUGGAACCAAAGACCAAGUGCGAUUUUCGCGUAAAGCGGCGAUCUCAUCACACAUAGCAUUAUGCCAAACUGCAUACCGGUCAGCAUCAGAGAAUGCAAAAGGCUCAGAAGAGGGAGAAUACAGUACCCGUGUGGAGGUAGAAGUAGCGGCAGCGGAAGCAACCAGAUUAGCUGUCUUGGCUGCUGCGGUCUAAGAGUCAUAGGAUGUCUCUGUGUGCUGGUGGAGACGCAGGGGAAGACGGUUGUAGCGAGGAGACCUGUGGCAGCUGAUAAGAAGACAAAUCAACCAUAAGUUGCAGACCAGCGGGAGAGGAUGAUAAAGAAGCAGCCUCAAGCACAGGACUGUCAGCAGAAGAGGGCUGGAAGUAGAGACUGAAGCUGCAGGAGUGCUGGCCAGGGAGGGCGAAGCAGAGGAGAGACUAGAAAGUGCCCCAAGACCAUGAGGAGAGGAGACCAAUUGACGAUCUGAACCUGCAUCAUAAGGGUUAGAUAAACAAGCAUGGGAUGAUGGCCAAGGGAUGGGUGGAGGCUGUGGUUGGGUGGCUGUUUGGAGUGGCAAAACGGAGUGUUGUGGGUUGUUUGGGUGGCUAGUGAAAGUGGUUGGUGGUGGGUGGUUUAGCAAAUUUGGGAGGGUGACAGUAGCGGGUGGGGUGGGGGUUGUGGUGGAGACCUUUGCAAUCUGUUCAGAAUUAUCAAAUGGAAACACAUGUUCAUGGAAGCGGACAUGACGGAAAUAUAAAUACGGUGAGAUGCAAUGUCAAGACAUCGAUAACCAAGAUGCGAGGAACUAUAUCCAAAAAACACACAUGGAGAGGAAACGAAAAUCCAAUUUAUGAUUAUUAUAUGGACGCAGAAAAGGAAAACAGAGACACCCAAAGGUACGCAAAAAAUGAUAAUCAGGAGAUCGUUGAAAUAAACAAUCAAAUGGAGAGCGAUGGGCAAGAACAGGAGUAGGCAUGCGAUUUAUAAGAUAAACAGAGGUUUCAAAAGCAUAAUUCCAGAAUCGAAAAGGUGUUUUACAUUGCCCUAAAAGAGUAAGACCUGUUUCCACAAUAUGCCUAUGACGACGCUCUACUGUUCCAUUUUGUUCAUGAGUGUGGGGACAAAUCAGACGAUGAUGAAUACCAAUGGUCUGAAAAAAUAUGGAUAGUUUUCGGUAUUCACCGCCCCAAUCAGUUUGAAUAGAUUUUAUUUUUAAUGAAAAUUGACGUUCGACAAGAGUCUGAAAUUGAUGAAAACAGAGUAAACAUCAGACUUGGCAACGAGAGGAUAAUACCAUACCUAUUUAGUAUAAGCAUUAACAAAGAUAACAAAAUAACGAUAGCCAUCUGAAGAAAAAAGAGGAGCAGGGCCCCAUACAUCACUAAAAAUUAAUUCAAGUGGAGCAGAAGUUUUGUGACCCGUAGGUCCUAAAGACAAACGCGAUGAUUUUCCUAAAGGACAACUUUGACAUUGAAAAUUAAGACGUUUGUUGUUACAAAUGAUCUUAUUUUUCGAGAUUAACAAUUGAAAAAUACGUGAAGUAGGAUGACCUAGUCGACGAUGCCAUAAAUCGGCAGAGGCAGAAGUGCAGGGAGACCAAUAGGCUUGAGGAACUGACGUGACGGAAGACUUGGUCAGGGCAUAGAGACCAUCUUUACUCUAACCUGAGAGGACUUCAUGGGUGUUGAAAUCCUUGACAUAAAACACACGAGGGUGAAAUUCAAAAUAAACAUUAUUAUCAAGACAAAAUUUCUGAACAGAGAGCAGAGGUUUUGUGAUUGCAGGAACAUGAAGAACAUUAGAUAAGGUGAAAGAACGAUGUGGUGUAUAUAUUUUUGUAUGACCAAGAUGAGAUAUAGGAAGGCCCUUACCAUCACCAACAUGCAAAUUAUCAUUACCAAGAUACGGUUCUGAAGCGGUCAAGGUGGCAAGAUCAGGUGUGACGUGUUGAUUGGCACCGGUAUCUGGAAACCAAUCAACAGAACCGGUUGAGGAGAGAUUGCACUGCACCAGGUUGGCAGUAGGUUGUUGGCCAUAACCUCGCUUCUGGAAUUGAGGGCAAUGAAGAGCUGUAUGGCCGAAAUUCUGACACAGUUGGCAGCGUGGAUUUUGCCCCUAUUGCGCUGCCAAGAGCCCUGCCUAUUAUCACCGAAGGAGGAGUUUUGGAAGCUGCGGUGAUCAGGUCUGGAGCCAGAAAAUCGGUUGCCUCUGCUGUUGGACUGGUUGGGACGCCAGCCACCGUUGAAGCGGCCCCUACUGCGGCCAGAAUUGCCAAAAGUCUGGCGCUGCGCAACAAGAGCAGAAGAUGGAAUGCUGGGUGUGGGCAGCAGAGGAGCAUGUAUGGCAGCAGAAGAUUUAUGAAGAAAUUCAUGUGUGAGGAGAUGGCUGUGAAGAUCUGCAUAUGAUAAAGGUUCAGCCUUCAUAAUAAGACUGGUAACUAAGUCUUUAAACUCUCCCUGAAAACCACAAAACACAUAAAUUGAAAUCUUCAAGGGAAACUGGCCGACUAGCAGCGACCAAUUCAUCAAAUAAGGCCUUCGCUUUUUGCAUAAAUUGAGUUACUGAUUCAUCAUCCUAUCGAAGAUCCUGAAGAGAGCCAUGAAGUUGCAUAGUACGAGAGUUGGAGGUGGAAGCGAGAGCUCGCUCACGAGUGCCCCAAGCUGAACAAGAACUUUGACAGCCAACAACAAGAUGCAAUACUUCCAUAGAUAGGGAGGAAAUAAGAGCACUUAGAAUGAGUUGGUCCUGUUGUUUCCAGGUUUGAAAAAGCGGAUUUACCUGAAGAUAAAUACCAUCAUGGGCAAGAACAUGUGUUGAUAGAGAUGUGUUGGAGCAAUCAACAAAACCAAAAACUCCUUGGCCUAGGAGAUAAGGCACAAUCUGCAUACACCAAUAUGAAUAAUUGGUGUUUGUUAAUUUGAGGGAGAUGACUUGAUGAGUGUGAGAAAGGGAGAUAAUGCUUGCGACAGUAGAGGUAACAGAGGCAGCAGACGUGGGUUGCAAGAGGAGGCGUUCACUAGCCAUGGUAGAGGAGAAUCCAAACGAUGACACAACAGAGGAAAGUAGAGAAGGCGCUGCAAGAGAAGAGGGUUGCACUGUCGGAGAAGAAGAAAGCUGGACUGCUGGUGCUGCAGAAUUUGAAGAUGUAUGUGGCAACUGUUCUAUUGAAGAAAUAGAGGCUGGAAGGCUGUGAGAAAAGUAGGUUUAAUUUAUUUUAGGGUUUUGUGGCUCUGAUACCAAGUUGAGAAUAAUAGAAUGUGUUUGGUUGUGCCUUAGCCAACCUUCCUAUUUAUAUAGAGGCAGCAGAACACUUCAGUAAGUGUAAUGAUUACAACAUCCUAUAUUAGAAUCCUAUUCUAUAAUAAUGAAUAAUAACAAUUGGGUCCCUCUAAUUUUUAAAGUUUCAAAAAAAUCAUGUUUAUUAUUUUUUAAUUCUUGGUGUUGUUACUCAUUUUUUUGGGCCCUACGUGCUAAUAGAGAUGGUGUAUAUCCCUUUUAAAUCGAUAAAAGCAAAGAAGAAAGAAAUGUUUUUCGAACCCUGUUUCAGUCAUCUUCUGCUAUCUUUAUCCUUCUGCUUUGCUGCCAAAAUUGUCAGGAUUCUUAGGCUAAUUAGGAGUCUUUAUAAUGCUAAAUCCAUCUCUGUUUUUUUUAUCUGGUCUUUAAGGUUGGAUAAAUCUCUAAGAAGUUGCAAUGAAAAAAACUGAUUCUGCUGCUGUUGUAAUUUUUUGUUCCAACUUAGGCCCAAAUUAUGACUUGAUUUUGUGCAAUAUUUGACCAUCCCAGCCAUUUUUUGUCACUCAUGACAUGUUGAAGAAUUGACCUACACAUUUAUUGGGUCAAAUUAGGAUGCUUUGCAUUCUUAUUUAGAAUAAUUUAAAUGCACAUCCUUGAAAUAAGCCUCAAUUAUAAUUGGGGAAAUUUCAAAUAUUAGUUCUGCGGUUUAUGAGUCAUGAAAUACUAAGGCAAAAAUAAGCUUUUUAAAGCUAUUAUAGAAUAGAAAAUUAAUAUAGGAUGUUGUAAUCAUUACAGUUACUCAUGUAUCUAUCAGAAUAGGAAAGUAAUAUAGGAUGUUGUAAUCAUUACAGUUACUGCAGUGUUCUACUGCCUCUAUAUAAAUAGGAAGGUUGGCUAAGGCACACCCCAACAUAUUCUAUUAUUCUCAACUUGGUAUCAUAGCAACAAAACCCUAAAAUAAAUUAAACCUACUUUUCUCCCAGCCUCCCUUCUUCAAUGGAACAACCACUAUAUACAUCUUUAAAUUCUGCAGCACUAGUAGUCUAGCUUUUUUCUUCUCCGGCAAUGCAGCCCUCUUCUCUUGCAGCGUCUCCUGCACUUUCCUCUGCUGCAUCACCGCCUGGAUUCUCCUCUACCAUGGCUGGUGAACACCUCCUCUUGCAGCCCACGUCUGCUGCCUCUACUGCCGCAAGCAUUAUCUCCCUUUCUCACACUCAUCAAGUCAUCUCCCUCAAAUUAACAAACAGCAAUUAUUUAUAUUGGUGUAUACAGAUGCUGCCUUAUCUCCUAGGCCAAGGAGUUUUUGGUUUUGUUGAUGGCUCCAACACAUGUCCAUCAGCACAUGUUCUUGCCCAUGAUGGUAUCUCUCUUCAGGUAAAUCCGCUUUUUCAAACCUGGAAACAACAACACUAACUCAUUCUAAGUGUUCUUCAUUCCUCCCUAUCUGUGGAAGUUUUGCAUCUUGUUGUUGGCUGUCAAAGUUCUUAUUCAGCUUGGGGCAAUCUUGAGUGAGCUCUCGCUUCCACCUCCACCUCUCGUAUUAUGCAACUUCACGGCUCUCUUCAGGAUCUUCGACAGGGUGAUGAAUCAAUAACUCAAUUUAUACAAAAAGCGAAGGCCUUAUUUGAUGAAUUGGCCGCUGCUGGUCGACCAGUUUCGCUUGAAGAUUUCAAUUUAUGUGUUUCGUGGUCUUCGGGGAGAGUUUAAAGACUUAGUUACCAGUCUUGUCGCACGUGUGCGGCGGCGCGGCGAUCGUCCACCCUCAAGGAAAAAUCGGAAUAUUUAUUCCUUGGAAAAAGGGAGAGACAAGGAAUUCUUGUCUCUACAAGUGAAAAUAUGGUUUGGGAGUCGCCACCUAGUAUUCUGGUUACUAGGAACCUUAACUGGUCUUUAGAGAUCAGGUACGGAGACUGGUUGCGUAAAGGGAAGGUAUUAGCACCCCAACUACGCCCUACCUAAGGUAGGCUGCAUUGUUUUAAUGUCUGAUAACAUCUAAGGUCGUGUUUGUGGUUUUUAAUUUUAUUGUUCGGAAUACGCAUUACAUGUAAUGUCAUAUCCCAAGUUCUAAAAAAAAUUAAAUUAAAUAUCCGGAAUAUGUAUUACGUAUAAUGUCAUACCCCGGAUAUUAAAAGAUAAACAAAAUAAAAUUGUUGUUGUUUUUUUGAAAUUUUGGCCAAUAUUCUCUUGACUUUAAUAAACUGGUUAUUAAAGCCAAAAUGCAUGCUAAAACAUUGAUUUUUUUUUUGUAUGAAAAAUACAAAAUGAUUUUUUUUUUUGAGACAUUUGGCCGUAUGCACAAAAACAUUUUUUUUUAAUUUGUUUUUAUAUUCUUGAAAGUCGAAAACCGGGUAUUUCAGUACCGGAUUUGUAUUUUACGACAUAAAAAUAUUGUCCGAUAUUACAUAAAAACUACGCGGAAAAAUUAUAAAAGAAAACAAAUAUUUUUGAUUUUUUUUUUAUGGGCCGGAUGAAUAGUACCGUAUGAAUAGUACCACAGGACGAAAACGGGGUAUAAUACAGACGAUAUUAAGCAAAAUGAUAGAAGAAAAUGUGCUUUUUUUUAAAAAAUAAAAUAUAAAAAUUAUAACAAACAAAAUAAUAAUAAUAAUAAUAAUAAUAAUAAAUAAUAAUAAUAAUAAAUAAAUAAAAAAAAACAUGGGCCGGACCCAGCCCAAAUGCAUGGGCUGGGCCAACCAAGCCCGUUUACAGGGGCUGGGCUGAACGACCCAGGCCCAGGCCCAAAUGGGCUGGUUACUGUGCAUCAGCACAGUAACCAGCCCACGCUGCAUUUUGCAGCAGAACGUGAAUUAUUCACGUUCUGCAUGCAAGUGCAAGCCGGGGCAGCAGGAGAAGAAAAGAUCGGGGAGCAGGAGGGUACCUGGGGCGGCGUCGAGGCGGUUCUGCUGGCGGAGGCGGUGCUGCUGUCGGUGGUUCCAACGGCGGUCCUCCUUCUUCCUCUUUCUCUCUGUUUUUCUUUUCUUCCCUCUCUGCCGCUUCUCUUUCUUCUUCCUUUUGUUCUGUUUUUUUUCUUUUGUUUCUCUCGUCUCUUUACUCUCUUUCUAUCGUUCAAUCCUUCCCCUUCUCCCUCUCCUUUUUUUUUUUUUUUUUCGGUUCCUCCCCUGUUUUUAUAGGCAAAAACAGGGGAAGGAAUGGUGGGGCGGGCCACUGUUGGCCGCCCCUCCACUAGCCGUUUCAAAAGGAUGGCAAGUGGGCUGAAUGGUGGCGUCUUAUUGCGUAAAAGGGGAAAGAAGUUAGGCGAAAAGGGAGAAGAAAAAUCUUCUUCUUCCCCUGCCUCGCGCGUCCAGGGGAAGAAGAAGACCUACAGUGCCGUCAAAACGGCGCCGUUUUGGGCUUCUGUUUUUUUUUUUUUUUUUUUUUUUUGCAACAGUGAAUGAAACGGCGCCGUUUUGGUCAAAACGCGCCGUUUCAUUUAAAAGAAAAAGGCGCCAAAAUGCGUCAGAUUUCAAAGAAGGCCCUCAAAUUGCGCGCGUUUUACAAUUUCGUCCUUGGUCUCGGAUUUCUUCAAUUUAGUCCCUAAUUGGCCAUUAAACUUCAAUUUUAUGCAAUUAAGCCCCUGAUUUGACCAAAUUAACUUCCAAAAAUUAUAAUUUGACCCCAGAAAAUUAAUUUCUUCCAAUUAAAACCCAAAAUAACUCCAACAUCAAUUGUUUUUGCAAUUAAAACCUCUAUAAAUUCAAUUAAACCUUCACUAAAAUUUAAUCGAGUCCAUAUACUUCUAAUUUUGCAUUGUUCUUCCUGAAAUUGAAUUUUCUUUAUCAUCGGGGCUCUCAUCAGUCAAUGAUAUACUGUCAAAAAAUAAUUUUUAUAUUUUUGAAAAUCCUCAAUCAAUUUUUGAGCAUUUUUAGGGCGCUCCGGCAUUUUUUCACUGUUAUAUUUUUUGAUAAUAUAUUUUUUUGUAUUUUAUUAUUUUUUAUGUGGAGACCCAGAAAUGGGUUACAACAAGUCUUAUCACGAAGGCUGAACCUUUAUCAUAUGCAGAUCAUCACAACCAUCUCCUCACACAUGAAUUUCUUCACAAAUCUUCUGCUGCCAUACAUGCUCCUCUACUGCCAACACCCAAUAUCUCCUGGUGUAUGUUGAUGAUAUUCUGCUCACGGGUAGCAGCUCUGCUAUACUCCAUCACCUUAUACAGUUACUCAGCUCUGAGUUCAAGCUUCGUGACUUAGGUACUAUUCACUACUUUCUGGGUAUUGAAUUUUAGUCUAGCGGUAUGGGUUUAAUGCUGCGUCAACAUAAAUAUAUUCUUGAAAUCCUCACCCGAGCUGGUAUGACUUCCUGCAAACCAGUUGAUACUCCAGUCUCCCCUUCAAAAGUCAUUUUAUUACUGGAUCAUUCAUUCUCUGAUCGUACAUGAUUUCGUCAAAUCGUGGGUGCUCUUCAAUAUCUUACCUUCACCCGUCCAUAUAUAUGCUUUGCUGUUAACAGAGUCUGUCAGUUUAUGCAUGCUCCUCCAGAUUCUCAUUGGGCCGCUGUCAAACGUAUUUUACGCUAUCUUAAAGGAACGACAUCUUAUAGUUUCCAUAUCACUCGAGGCUCUUCUUUUGCUCUACAUGGCUUUACAGAUACAGAUUGGUCUGGUAGUAUUGAUGAUCACAAGUCUACGGGUGGCUAUCUUGUCUUUUUUGGUCAGACGCUGAUUUCUUGGAAAUCCGGCAAGCAACGCACUGUUGCUCGCUCCUCUACUGAGGCUGAGUAUAAAGCCCUUGUUGAUGGUACCACUGAAGUCAUUUGGCUUCAAUACUUGUUAACAGAUUUGCAGGUUCCCUCAGUGUCUGCUCCUACCAUUUGGUGUGAUAAUCUUGGUGCUACCUAUCUCUCAGCAAAUCCAAUUUUCCAUGCUCGCACUAAGCAUGUUGAAGUGGAUUAUCGCUUUGUCCGUGAUCGUGUUGCCAAGAAAGAAAUUCAGAUUCGUUUUGUUCCCUCUCGGGAUCAACUUGCCGAUGUCUUCACUAAACCGCUUCCUGUUGCAUCCUUUAUUGCUUUUUGGUUCAAGCUUCGGGUUGAUCCCCCACCCUCAGCUUGAGGGGGCAUAUUAUAGAAUAGGAAAUUAAUAUAGGAUGUUGUAAUCAUUAUAGUUACUCAUGUAUCUAUCAGAAUAGGAAAGUAAUAUAGGAUGUUGUAAUCAUUAUAGUUACUCAUGUAUCUAUCAGAAUAGGAAAGUAGUAUAGGAUGUUGUAAUUAUUACAGUUAUUGCAGUGUUCUACAACCUCUAUAUAAAUAGAAAGGUUGGCUAAGGCAUGUUGCACCCUCGCGGUGGAGUGCGGCGUCGCGACGACUUUCGAUUGAAUUUCAGGUUCUUUUGUUUUUUUGUAAAGGGAGUCGCCACCUAGUAUUUUGGUCACUAGGAACCCUAACUGGUCUUUCAGAGAUUCUAAGGCAAGGGACUAGUUGCGUACAGGGAAGGUAUUAGCACCUCUAGUACACCCUACCUAAGGUAAGCUGCUUGGUGUUUGGUUUGCUCUAUAAUUGCUUUGGUGUUGGUGUUUUCUAAUCCCAUCAAUUUUCCUAGGUUUGAUUCAAAUAAAAUUUAUUUGGAUAAGAAAUCCAUGGAGAUUCCAUGUGCUUUGAAAGCUCAUUUUUCCCUUAGUAUUUCAAAAGUUUGCGACUCGUAAAUCGCAAGGAGGAGGGACAAAAAAAUUAGAAAUCUAGGGCGCUAAAAAAAACCUAUUUUUUUUAGUAUUUUAUACUCUCACGGCUCGUAAACCGUGGAGUAAAUUUUUUUUUGAAAUGUCCUCGAUUAUAAUCAAGGCUUCUUUCAAGGAUGUGUGCGGAUUUAUUACUCCCAAUAAUAUUUUGGACAUUCGUCCUUUAAGGAUUUCUUUAUCCAAAUAUUAGCGGUGAAUAAUAGAUGAAUUCCCCCCCCAAAAUAGGAUUUUUAUAUUUUUUGAAAUAUUGGCCAAUACCCUUUGGAAUUUUACAAACAUGUUGUAAUAUCCAGAAAUGCAAGAAAUAUUUUUUUUUUUGUUGUGUUUACGAAAUCCAUGCAAAAAAAUACAUUUUUAAAACUUCCAAUAUUUUUUGUAUAAAAAAACGUUCAAAACAUGUUAGGGUAUUGGCCGUAUGCAACAGACAAUAAAAAUUUUAAAUUUUAUUUCAUCGAAACACAAGCAUCACAAUUAAACACAAGAAAAAUCGCAAUAGAAGCUAAAUAGCCGUUAUAUAUAUUAUAAGAUUUAUAAUGAGCUUAAAGCAAUAAAAAAAAAAUUCAAAGCCAACUCAAUGCGCAGACAGCAAGAACAAAAUAAAGCUGGGAGCCAUCACAAAAAAAAACAAAGGCCGGCUGAUUUCUUCUCCAGCAGGUGUAAGGAAAACAAAAAGAAAGUCCCUAAAUGUAAAAGUUCCUAAACAUGAAAGACAAACCCUUUUUACAUGGACAGCAGCUGAACUCAAAAAUCAUGAAAGAAAUAAUAGGCAAGAGUUGGUUUUUCUAAACAGAAACCAAAUAUUCAGAGGGAAGAAACAACUUUUACAACCGCAUGCCUAGUAUAAAAUAACAAAGGCGGAGAGAUUGUGGCUUAUACCUACAACUCCUGUUUGCAGAAAAUAAAAACCAAAUACUGAGAGACUCACGUAUGCCUCCUUGGUUACUAGAAAAUGACGGACGAAAAUAGAAAUGCUGAAACGGACGAAAUAUUUCAGCUAUGUGCUGGUAAAUAUCUGGUUUCCCCGUCGCCUGCCUCUCUUGCGUUUUCUUUCAAAACUGCAGCUCCUGUUUGCAGAAAAUAGAACUCAAGGCCGAAAGACAAAGCUCACGCGUGCCUCCUUGGAUGUUGGUAAAUGACAGACAAAAAUAGAGAUGCUGAAGCGGACGAAAUAUUUCAGCUAUGUGCUAGUAAAAAACUGGUUUCCCCGUCGCCUGCCUCACUUGAGUUUUCCUUCUCUUUCUUUUGCUGUGUUUUUUUUCUCUCCGUUUUUCUGCUCUCUUUUUGCUUUUUUUUGCUCUCUCUUUCCUCCUUUUUUGUUUUCGUUCCUCUCCUCUCUAUCCUCUCUUCUUUUCUGCCUCUUUUAGGUCAAUAGCCGAGGCUUCUAUAUAGCCUAUACAUGGCUUUAUUUAGGAAAACAUUUUUACAUUAACUCUAUGGUGUAAUAUCGGGUGAGCAGAAAUAGGAAACCAGAAUAUUUGAUUCUGAUUCUGUGAUCAGCAGUGAUUUCUUUCCUAGUUAGAGGAUGGUGUGACUCUUUUCUUUUCUUCCAUAGAGUCAGCUGCUCCCUUUAAAAUGAAGCAAUAAAAAUGUGGUUUGUAGAUAAAAGGAAAGAAGAAAACUGGGGUAGCUAUGUAGAGAAAAAGGAAAGAAAGAAUUGCGGACGGGGAGGCAUUGUUUUCCUUUUCUGAUCUAAUUCAUGUUCUUCAAUUUCGUCACCCGGUAAAAUUUCUUCUAAUUUUAUCUUCAAUCAACUCUCUUAUUUUAACACCUUUUCCAUUUUAUCCUUGGUCCAUAAAAGGGCUUCAAAUUGGCUUGCAAAUGGUCUUCAAUCUUUAAGCAUCUUGCAAUUGUGUCCCUGCAAACUUGGAAAAAAAAUCCUUCUCGCGGCAGGAAUCUUCGCUUUCACACUAGAUAUUCAAACGGGAAUAUCUUGAGCUUCUGAUAUCGAAAUAAAGCGAUUUAAAAACCCAAAUUCAUCUACGUGUCCCAGACUACAACUUUGAUGAAGGAGUCUAAGUGAGAUAAAAUCUUUUUACUGAACAAAAACUGGCAGUAAUCUAUGUGAUCAAAAGGGAUCUCUGGGUCUAACUCAAAAACUGAUGAAUGCAGAGAAUCCUGAUAUGACUGAAAGUAUGAACUAAGAACAAAAAUCACAAAAACUAGGCGAAAACUAGAGUUUUUUUAGUGCAGACCCGGGUCAAUAUCCUUCUCGCGGUAGAAUUCUCUACCUUUACGUUAGAUAUUCAAACGGGAAUCAAGCGAUUCAAAAGCCAAAAUUAUUCUACGCAUCUAGGACUACAACUUUGAUGAAGGAGUCAAAGUGAGAUAAAAUCUUUUUACAUAACAGAAACUAGCAGUAAUCUAAUUGGUCAAAAAGGUUCUUGAUCUGACAAUGCUGAGCAUCCAAAUCUGACUGAGAAUCUACCCUAAGAACAAUGAUUCCUAGGACCUAAUAAAGGUGUACGUUAAUUUUUCAACAUGUCAUGAGUGACAAAAUAUACCUAGGAUGGUCAGAUAUCGUAGGAAAUCGAGUCAGAAUCAGAUCCUAAGUUGGAACAAAAAAAUUGCAACAGCAGAACCAUUUUUUUAGUGCAAAUUCUGAGGGAUUUAUUCAACCUUAAAGACCAAAUAAAAAAGGAACAAAUUUAGCAUUAUGAAGAAUCCUGAUCAACUUAAGAAAACCUGAUGAUUUUGGUAGCAAAGGGGAAGGAUAAAAAGAGCAGAAAAUAGCUCACACCAGGUUUUCGAAAAAAAAAUUUCUUAUGUGCUUUUGUCAAUCUUCUAGCGAACAUGAGCUAAACUCCUACACUCUAUUUAAAAGAGGUAUACAUUGUCUCUAGCACGUGGGGGUCCAAAAAUGAGUAACAACAAGGCACAACCCAACACAUUCCAUUAUUCUCAACUAAAGCACCUUGAAUUUCCUUAGAUUUCUAACUUAGUUUUUGUUUUGUUUCUCUUCCUUGUGAUUUACGAGUCGCGAACACUUGAAAUACUAAAGAAAAAAAUGAGCUUUUAAGCACAUUGAAUCUCCUUAGAUUUCUAUCUUAGCUGUCUUUUAAUUCAUAGGUUGAAAAUUUAUUUCAAAUCAAACAUAGAUUUCAAGAGAUCUGCAUUGGUUAUCUUUGGCACUCUAUAGACAUAUCUAAAGGCAUGAUCCAUAGUGGCCAAUGGUUCUUUCUUUUAGACUUUGGACCUAAGUUUGUUCAUCAUAGUAGACUUAUCUUAGGAAAACGGAUGGGAUUAGAGAACAUCAACACCAUAGCAAUUGUCGCAACCUCCCGGCGGCGUCGCGGCGUCGCGACGACCCUUCCUGGAGCGUGGAAUUGAUUUUUCAGGGUCUUUUUUUUGUGAAUAAGGGAGUCGCCACCUAAUAUUAUGGUCACUAGGAAACCUAACUGGUCUUUCAGAGAUUCUAAGGCCAGGGAUUAGUUGCGUAAAAGGAAGAUAUUGGCACCCCUAGCACGCCCUAUCUAAGGUAAGUUACUUGGUGUUUGGUUUGCUUUAUAAUUGUUAUGGUGUUGGUGUUUUUUAAUCCUAGCAGAGUUCCUAGGAUAAGUUUGCUAUGAUGAACAAAAUUGGACUCAAAGUCUAAAAAGAAAGAACCCUUGGUCAAUGUGGACCACACCCUUAGAUAUGUCUGCAAAGUACCAAGGAGAACUAAUGCAGAUCUCUUUAACUCUAUGUUUGAUUUGAAAUAAAUUUAUAACCUAUGAAUUAAAAGACAAGUAAGAUAGAAAUCUAAGGAGAUUCAAUGUGCUUAGAACCUCAUUUUUCCCUUAGUAUUUCAAGUGUUUGCGACUUGUAAAUCGCAAGAAUCAUGAACAAAGAUUUAGAAAUCUAAGGAAAUUAAAAGCCUCCUAUUGCCUUAGUGUUUCAUACUUUCACGGCUCGUUAACCGUGGAGUCAAAAAUUGAAAUGUCCUCAAUUAUAAUUGAGACUUGUUUCAAGGAUGUGUGAUGACUUAUUAUUCCUAGAAAAAUAUUUUUGAUAUUAACCACUUAGUUUUUUUAUCCAAACAUUAACAAUGAAUAAUAACAGGUUAUUCCCAAUAAUAUUUUGGAUAUUAAUUCCUUUGGGAUUUUUUUAUCCAAAUAUUAAUGGUGAAUAAAGUCGAAUAAGUUGUAUUACCCUCAACAAUAUUUUGGACAUUUACCUUCCAUAGGUUUCUUUGUCCUUAUAUUAUUAAAGGAUAUUGACUUAUUAUUCCUAAAAAAAAUAUUUUGAAUAUUAACCACUUGGAGUUUUUUUAUUCAAAUAUUAACAGUGAAUAUUAGAUGAAUUUCUCAAAAAUAAGAUUUUUAUAUAUUUGGAAUAUUGACUAACACCCUUUGUAAUUCACAAACAUGUUGUAAAAUCUAAAAUGCAAGAAACUAAUUUUUGUGUUUAGAAAACUCAUGCUAAAACACAUUUUCUUUUAAACUUUGAAUAUUUGAUUUUUUUUAUUUUUAAAAAAGAAAUGUUUAAAAUAUGGCCGUAUGCAACACAUGAAAAUAUUUUUAUAUUCGAUCAAAGACACAAGCAUCAUAAUUAAACCCAAACAUCACAAUUAAAGUUAACAAAUUGUCACAUAUAUUCUAAGAUUUACAUUAAACUUAAAACGACUCAUAAUAAAACUUGCAAAGCCAACCCCACUUAAACCAGAUUCGGCUCGCUUACUUCGACUCAAACUUCUGUAAAUGGGAAAGAAGUCCGUAUGCACAAGGGAGCCAAAAAUUCUAAAACCAAAAUUUUGAACUCAAAAUCCUAGGACGGUGUCCGUACCUCGUCAUCCCACCUUUGUUUUAAUUUUGAGACCCGUUUUACCCGUUCCAUGCAAACCUAAAAAGAACGCUUAGGAGCACCUUUAUAUCAUGUAUGUCACGAACUAAAAGGCACCCGAACAGAGGGGAAAAAAUGAGGGUCUUUGAAGCUCAUGGCCUCUCGCGGUAGGAGAAUGAAGCAAGAAAACACGUCUUUAACAUAAACAAUAAGCUAAACUGAAAGCAAUGAAAGAUUAGUGGGCGAGCUUAUAACCUUUGUUCACACAGAAACCGAGUAUUCAGAGCAAAAGAGGAAACAAAUUUGGAACAGAAACCAACAGAUACCCAGUUCGAAUAUAACAGGGAAGAGGUAGUUGGGGUUUACAAAUGCAGAUCUUGCUUGCAUAAAUGAAGUACAAAACGACGUGCAGUCCCUGUUUGUUUUGCCUUUGGUAAUCUUAAGAAACCUUACACUUUUUCGUUGUCUCCUUCUAUUUUCUACUCUCCGCCUCCUUCCUUUCCUCUGCUUUCUCUUCUGCCUCAGCUCUCUUCUCCGUUUGUUGCCCUUUGUUUUUUUCUUUUCCUUUUUCCGUUUGCCUAUUUCCUCUCCCUCUCUUUUUCUUCCUUUUUUUUUCCUUUUCAUAUGGCUGGAGGUUCACAUAUAUAGGAACCUCUACACGUUAUAUUCAUGGAAACAUUCUUGUAAUUAUUGCAGAGAUUCUCUUUUAUAAACAGCCCCCACAAUUCCUAUGUCUAUGGUUUUUUAUAUUGCAGUGAUUUAUUUUCCAUAACCAGCCACCCAUCAAUUCCUACAUCUAUGGUUUUUAAUAUUGCAGUAAUUGUUUUCAGUAUGUGAUUCCUUGAUAUUAGCCUUGAGGAUCUAUGUUACUACCACACAUUCUUUCCUCUUUCCCUUGCAAAGCCAGCUGUUUCUACAGUUGUUUAGACUUGGAGACCAACUCUAAUGUUCCCUCAUCUUGCCCGUGUGUGCAGCAGGAAUGGUUGCCGAAAAAGGAAAGAAACUGCAGACCGGGGGGCACUGUACUCAAAAUGCGAAUGAACAGUAGUACCAUGCUAAUUAAUUCAACUAUGGGGCUGUUUCAUAUGCAGUGUGGUUUGUCAAAAAUGAAAUGUUGCAACGGCAUUGUUUGGAAGCAAAAAUAUUCCCCUAGCGUGGCCACAAAACAAAUGAAAUUAUGACAACAUUUUCCAAUUCAAUCCUCAAAGAAACCAAAUAACGUUGAAAAAAUGGUCUUUAAUUAACCGGAUAAGUUCUUGAAACAUUAAAUUGGGUCCCUCGAAUCAAACGUCCAAACUCAAGUCAAGAUUUUUAUGUGAUUCUCUACUUUCAUGCUAGAUAUUUAAAUGAUAAUAUCUCAAGCUUCUGAUUAUCAAAAUGAAAUGAUUCAAAAACCCAAAUUCAUCUACACAUCCAGGACUACAACUUUGAUGAAGGAUUCGAAGUGAGAUAAAAUCAUUUUAGAGAACAGAAUCUGGUAAGAAUAUGGUUGGUCAAAAAGGGUCUCCUGAUCUAAUUUAGAAAAAGACAAUGUCGAACAUUCCGAUAUGACUGAGAAAAUGACCUAAGAGCAAUGACCAAUAAAAUUGUGAUGGAAGCAGAGUCUUUAGUGCAAAACUCGGGUCAGAAUCCUUUUCAAGGCAGAAUUAUCUACUUUCACCUUAGAUAUUCAAACGGAAAUAUCUUAAGCUUCUAAUAUCGAAAUCAAGUUAUUUAAAAGUGUAAAUUCAUCUACGUGUCCAGGAAUACAACUUUGAUGAAAUGUUCAAAGUGAGAAAAAAAUCAUUUCAAAGAUCAGAAUCUGGCAGCAAUCUGGUUGGUCAGAAAUGAUCUCCUAAUCUAAUUCAGAAAUUGACAAUGCCGAGCAUCCCAAUAUGACUGAGAGUAUGACCUAAGAACAAUGACCAAUAAAAUUGUGCCGGAAGUAGAGUCUUUAGUGCAAAACUUGGGUCAGAAUCCUUAUCGCGACAAAAUUCUCUAGUUUCACGUUAGAUAUUCAAACAGGAAUAUCAUGAGCUUUUGAUUUUGAAAUUAAGCGAUUGAAAAGCCCAAAUUCAUCUAUGCAUACAAGAAUGCAACUUUGAUGAAGGAUCCAAAGUGAGAUAAAAUAUUUUUGUAGAACCGAAUUUGACCGCAAUCUGGUUGGUCAAAACCGGUUUCCUGAUCUGAUUUAGAAAAUUAAAAAUUCCGAGCAUUCAAAUCUGACCAAGAGUCUACCAUGAAAACAGUGAGCUCCAGGACCAAAUAAUGGUAUAGGUCAACUCUACAACAUGUCAUGAGUGACAGAAUAUAGCUAGGAUUGUUAGAUAUCGUACGAAACCAAGUCAGAAUCAGAGCCUAAGUUAGAACAAAAAAAAUUACGAUAGCAGCAGAAUCAGUUUUUUUAGUGCAAAUUCUAAGGGAUUUAUCCAACCUUAAAGACCAGAUAAAAAAAGGAACGAAUUUAGCAUUAUAAAGACCCCUAAUUAGUCUAAGAAACCUUCCCUUUACCUUAGGUAGGCCGCUCUGGAAAGGGUAGCUUCGACGUCGCGGUCUCGAGAGGGUACGACACUUGGUUUGAGAUCAAAAAGAGAAAUUUGUCGAAUUCCAAUGAUAGAGAAAAAAUUAUUGUUGACAUUGAUUUUGAUUGACAAAACGGUCAAUUUUGGUGUCAAAUGGUUUCAUUUCAUGAGGAAAUUUCAACUUAGGUGUUUUUUGAUUUAAAAUUGAAACAAAUAUGAGCUCGGGAAGAUUGUUGGUUCCAAGUUGAUUUCGGGUUUUAGGAUAGUUUUUUGAAGACAUAAAUAAGUUUAUCAAGAUGUCUUAGGUAUUUCCAAAGUAUUGCUUGAAAAAAAUUAAAAUCUUGAGGAAAAUAGUGAGGCAAAAAGGAAGGAUUUUUUAGUUGUUGUUUAUCACUAGCCUUUUUGGGAUUAUUUUUCCUUCAUAAUUCUUUCACUUUUAUUUUAGUUCUUUUGGUUUCAAAUUUUUAUAUUUUGAUCCAAGACUUUAUUUUCUUCAUUUUUUAAUUUCUAAAUUUGAGAGAAGAAAAAGUCACUAGAAAAUGAUGAAGGAGAGUGAAAGUUCUCAAUAAACCAUAUUCUAACAAUAAAAAGGUUAAUUUGGAUGACAUUGAGUUUCAAUUGACGAGAUGAGUUCUAUUAAAAUGUUUUUAGUAUUUGUUUUGUUGAAAAAAGUAAAUCGAUGUCAAAUAAAUACCAUGAAAAUAUCCGAGCAUGUGCAAUCUAAGGAGAAUAAUCGAUGUAAGAACAUAUAUAUAUGUGUGUGUGUGUGUGUGUGUGUUGGAGUCAUAUUUGAAGGAACUAAAUUCUCCAUUCCAUGAGGCUCCUGAUAAGGUUGGCUGGUUCUUAACUACAAAGGUUGCAGCUGAGUCAUUGUUGGAAUCUAGAAAAUCAACUGACGCGGUAGCUGCCUAGGUGCCAUGCUCAUGUAGAUUUUCCUUUUUUUUCUAUGUCCAUAAAUUGUACGUGCCCGCCAUAUACUUGUUUGAUUUUCUGCUGAUAUUAUCUCUCUUGAUAGGGAAUUUUUGUGUCGUUAAGAUAAAGCAUUAUAUUUAGCCAUUGAAUCGUCAUAUAGCUGAUCAGAUUCUUAAAAUCUAAAUCAUGUUGCUUUGACUGGUUGUGCUAUGAUUCAUGAGCAUCUCUUUAGAUAGUCUGCACAAUUGAGGCAAUUAUUCGGUGAGGGAAUAGCAAGUACAUUGCAUUUUCGGGAUUGAAAUUUAAAGCUAUUAAAGAUUGGAUCAAAAUCCAUUCCACAUGCAUGUGUGAUCUGACAGAACAUGGCUUGUUUGCUGUCUGCAGUGUCGGCAGUGACUGCCUCGUCAAAUCAACGAGACUCGAGCAUUUGCUUACAAUGAACCAAUUCCCAUGGUUGCUGCUGAAGACACAACUGCAUAAAUGGUAUUCGUGCAGCGAAGUUCUACUGCUUCACUAUAGGUUAAAUCAAUUCUGGACAUAUAUCGAGUCUGCACUUCUUGUGCAAGCAAUGCCAGACAACUGUUGUUACAAGCUUUGAUUUGAUACUGCACAUGACAGAAAAGUUUGCACCAUUGUGUUUUAGGACAUGUUUAAGUACAUGAAAAAACUAAAAUGAAAUUAAAAAUUUCAUGCAUUCAUCUAAUUAAGUAAAUUUAUAACUCAACCAAACAAAUUAUCAAGCUUGAUCUCUAUCCAACUGAAGUAAACUAGACUUUUACGACCUGAAAAUCAGGCUCAUUUGUUACAGGCAAAAAAAACCUAUUCUUAACAAUAUUUUGACUUUAAAAAAAUAAAAAAAUCAAAACAUAUUUAUAACUUCUAAUAACCUAAAACUUAUCUCCAAAAUCAACAAUGAAUAUGAAACCAUAAUUUGUUUUCGAUAUCAAAUCCAUCAUUCCAAGUAAUUUAAGGUAAAAACAACAUAUUGUCAUAAAUUGAAAUUCCAAGCAAGUUCGAAAUCCAGCCACAUUUUCUUUUUUCUUUCAAAUCAAGGAUCAAAAAAUAAAAAAAAAUUAGUUUGGAAUCAAAAUUGAAUUUCAUAAAUUGUUAAGGAUUGAAAGCUUAUAAUCUAAAAAUUUGAAAGACUGAAGUAUAUGUUUAGCCCUAGUUUUAGCAAAAGUAUUUUUUUAUAGUAUUUUUUAUUUUAACCCUCUAACUUUAAUCUUUCCCUUUCUUAAUAAAAGUAUUUUAAUUGUUCAUCAAUUAAGGCUUAUGAGAUUGCAGUAUAAAAAAAGUUUACCAAAAAAUUACAAUACACAGUAAUUUAUUUUUUUGCUGAACAAUCCACACCUUUUAUUAGAGUAUUGCUUAAUAGCAUUUUAAUUUUUGGGCACCAAAUGAAAAGAAAAGAAAAAAAAGGGCAAACCUGAAAAAUGCCCCCAUCUAUUUAGGCAGUCUUGAUUUUUCCCUCGUACAAAUUUUCCAUCAACUUUGUCGCCUAAGAUUUAAAAAUCUCAAUCAAGCUUAUAUUCAAAAUUCUCAGUCGCCUAAGAUUUUCCCCUCGUACAUCGUUUUAUUGAAAAAUCAACAUUUUAUAUUAAGAAACUCUAACAAUGAAGAUAAAAUUAGGGUUUUAAAACUCUAAAGUUAGACAUAACCAUAGAAAAAUCUAGUUAGAUUUGAAUAAUAUUCGCUAAUAAGAAAUGUUUAUUCUCUAGUUAGAUUUUCCCCAAGUGUUUAUUUAAGAGCUCUAAAAACCAACCAAAAUAAGAAACACAAAAUAAAUAAUUAAAAUCUAAAAAUACAUAGAAAAAUAACUAAAGUAGUCAAAACAACAAGAUCUAAUUUUGAAAGAUCUAACGGUUUGUUAAAUAAGAAAAUAGUUUUCCAUAAAAAAAAAAAACCUUGAGAACCUCCUAGAAAAAAUUGAGUAAGAACUAGUAUUCGAAUCUUCUGUUAUUAUUAUUUUAAGAUAGAUUGUUCAUUUAGAUAUUUUCUUGGGUAAUUUUUAUUUUCCAAUUUGAUCCAUCAAAUCUUGUGAUAAUUGUUCCACAUCAAAAUCCUAAUUGAGAAAUCAAAAUUAAAUUAAAUUUGGUCUUUAUAAAUUUAAAUCUUCUCAAUUAAAUCUAAAUAGACUUUCAAACUUAAUUUUCACCAAUUAAGCCCCUAAUAAAAUUAAUUUAACUUAUUUAAUGUAUAAUUAAGUUCUUGCACUUAAUUAAAUUCUUCAAUUGGAUCCAAAUUAAUUCUUAAAUAUAAUUUAAAUUCAAUUUAGCCCAUGAUAAAAUCAAAUUGGCCUAUUUAAAAUUUAAUUAUGUCAUUGGACUUAAUUGUAAUACAAAUUCGUUUAAUAAUUAUUUAAUUUGACUUUGAAUUUGCAUUUUUUUUUCUAUUUUUGGGUAUAAUAGUGUACUUUUAAGUCUUGAAUUUCCUUCAAAAUCAUAGCUUGAUUUUUUCUGAAUUUUUUAAAUUCUUUUCUGUUUGUUUGCUCCAUAUUAUCAGCAGUUAUUUUAUUUUUUUAUUUAAAUUUUUAAAAAUAACCCACUGUGUAAAUUGCUGACUUUGAUGGCCUUUUCUUUUGUCAAUCAAGUGGGCAUGGUGGUGUUGGCAGGCCACAACCAAUUCAUUACACUAAUCAUUCGGACUAUUUUUCAUGCAUGCAAAUCACAACCCUAAAAUCAUUACACACACUACAUUGUCCAUAAUGCGUAACGAGUAAUAAGUUUUUUUAAAAUGUAAAAAAAUAUUAAAAAUGUAGAUAAUAUUUUAGGUUUUUUGAAUUUAAUAAUUAUAUCAAACCCAAAUAAAUUAAAUUAGAUAGUCAUACAAGAUCCAAUAAUCUUAAAUCUAGGACCAUGUCAGACCCAUGAGGUUUCAACAUUUCCUUUUGUUUUGUUUUUGUAAAUGAUUAUUUAGUUUUAUUUAUUAGUGAUUGAGUUUUGAGUAUUUUUUAUUUUUGUCUUUAUGAGAUUGCUCUUUCUCAUUCAAUUUUUUGACAAGAAUUUAUAUUUUUAUUAGUCAUUGUUGUUUUUAUUUUUUAUAUAAUUAUAUUAUUAAAUUAAUUAAGUUUAUUAAACCAAAUUCUAAAUUUUCAUUAAUCUUCUAAAAACAAUAUUAUCAUUUUUUUUUUACAUUUUAAAAAAUUAACAUGUCCCGCGACAUUGCGAAAACCAAACUGUUUGUUGAUGAUAAUAUUAAUUCCAUAUCCCAGAAGUAACACGAGAGCCCGCAUAGGAUGCUCACCGGUCUCCUCCACCAUAUCUACAUAACAAUUGGCAGAUAGCCACCCCUUUAAUCUUUUGUAGCACCAUUCAUUUAUCAUCGUCGCUUAACCACUUCUGUCUCUUUCUCCUUUCCAAAUCGAUAUAAAUACUCACUAGGAUUUUUUUUUUGUUUUAUAUUAUUAAAAAAUUAUUUUAAUGUAUUUCUAAAUAAAAAACAAUUAAAUCAUAACCACUACCAUAUUUUCAAACACUCCCUUAUGAUAGAUACAAUACAUAUAUAGUUUUGUUAUUCAAUUUUGGACUCCACGUGCUGGAGACGGUGUAUAUCUCUUUUGAACUGAGUGUAUGAGUUUAGCUCAUGUUUGCUAGAAGAUUGACAAAAACAGAGAAAUAAAUAUUUUUUUUAAACCUUGUUUGAGUUGUUUUCUGCUCUUUUUAUCCCUCCCCUUUGCUACCAAAAUCGUUAGAUUUUCUUAGAUUGAUCAGGAUUCUUCAUAAAGCUAAAUUUGUUCCUUCUUUAUCUGGUCUUUAAGGUUGGAUAAAUCCCUCAUAAUUUGCACUCACAAAAAAUGGUUAUGUUGUUGUCACAAUUUUUUAUUCCAACUUAGGCUCUGAUUCUGACUUGGUUUUGUACGAUCUAUGAUCAUCCUAGCUAUAUUUUGUCACUCAUGAAAUGUUGAAAAAUUGACCUACACCUUUAUUAUGUCCUAGGGAUCAUUGUUCUUGGGGCAGAUUCUCAAUCAGAUUUGAAUGCUCAGCAUUGUCAAAUCAAGAACCUUUUUGACCAACUAGAUUAUUGCCAGAUUUUGUUCUCUAAAACAAUUUUAUCCCACUUCGACUCUUUCAUCAAAGUUGUAGUCCUGAACAUGUAGAUAAAUUUAGGCUUUUGAAUCGCUUGAUUUUGAUAUCAGAAGCUCAAGAUAUUCAUGUUUGAAUAUCUAACGUGAAGGCAAAGAAUUCUACCACGAAAAGGAUCCUGACCUGAGUUUUGCACUAAAAACUCUAUUUCUGUCACAAAUUUUGUUGAUUUGUUCUUAGAUCAUACUCUCAGUCAUAUCAGGAUUCUCGUCAUUGUUAGUUUCUGAAUUAGACUUGGAGAUCCUUUUUGACCAAUUAGAUUACUGCCAAAUUCUGUUCUCUAAAAUGAUUUUAUCUCACUUCGAAUUCUUCAUUAAAGUUUUAGUCCUAGAUGCAUAGAUAAAUUUGGGCUUUUCAAUCGCUUGAUUUUGAUAUCAGAAGCUCAAGAUAUUCUCGUUUGAAUAUCUAAUGUGAAGAUAGAGAAUUCUGCCGCGAGAAGGAUCUUGACCCGAGUUUUGCACUAAAAAACUCUAUUUCUGUAAUAAAUUUUGUUGAUUUGUUCUUAGAUUACACUCUUAGUCAUAUCAUGAUUCUCAACAUUGUCAGUUUCUGAAUUAGACCCGGAGUUGUUUUUUGACCAACCAGAUUACUACCAGAUUCUAUUCUCUAAAAUGAUUUUAUCUCACUUCGACUCCUUCAUCAAAGUUGUAGUCCUAGAUGCGUAGAUAAAUUUGGGCUUUUGAAUUGCUUGAUUUCGAUAUCACAAGCUCAAGAUAUUUCCAUUUGAAUGUGGAAGCAGGGAAUCCUGCCGCAAGAAGGGUUUAGCCCAAGUUCGCGGGACUGGUUCAAAGGAUUUUUUUUUUUUACCAAGGUAUGAAUAAAAAAGUGCUAAAAUUAGGGAUUGAAUUGUAGAAGGAUAUUGAAAGUUGGAGAGGGGGGCUGGAUCAUAAUAAAUGACAAGAUUUUUACCUCACCGAAUAAAGAAAAUAAGACUUUGUAGCUGCACCCUUACACAUCUAAUUUCUUUCCUUUUUUUUCUUUGCAAAUGUUUGUCUUGCUGAUUGGAGAGCUGCAAACCACGUUUUUAUUGACUCAUUUCAAAGGAAAUAAUUGGUGCCUCAUGGUCCUAGCUAUGGAAGGAAAGAAAGGAGUUGUACCACCCUUUGAUCAAUGGAAACUAACAGCUGAAAUCAUAAUAGGAAUCAUGAUAUUUCAGUUUCCUUUUGCGUUUUCUUUACUAUCCUAGAAUUAAUGCAUUGAAUCUUUCUUAAAUAGAUAUAUAUUUAGACUAUAUAUAAGCCCUUCUAACGACCUAACCUGGGAAGGAAAAAGAGUUGGAAAAAACAGCAAAAGAAAGACAAGAAAAACGCAAGAGAGGCAGGCAGUAAAAAAAACACAGAAAAUAGAGGGAGUUUCUUUCCUUCAUCCUUGCGUUGCCGUGAGAUCAGGAGGGUAGGCAGUAGAAGAAGAGGAGAGAAAAAGAAAGAAAAAAAGAAGAAGGGAAGCAAGACAAAAAAAAAGAAGAAAAAAAAGACAAGAUAGGGAGGGAGCUUCAGCAAUAAAAAAACCAGUGAGACUUGUAGGUAUUUGUUUUUAUGUUUUAAAAAACCUAUUUUGUCUUAUGGCUUUGUACCUUUGUUUUUUUUUUUCCAUACAAUUAAUGCUUGUCUUAUGUUCCCUUCCAUGACUUUGAGCUUAGAUGUUUAUUUACGUUAGAGUUUGUGGGUUCCUCGCCUCUUUUUUCCUUUCUUUGGUGCAUGAGGAAACAUGGGGGUGGGGGCUAUUAUCAGCCCACUUUUCUAUUCGGGGGUUCCUUUUCUGCUUUAUAAUAUGGAAUGGGGUAUCUUUGAUAAGUUUUAGUCCGGGGAAGGAAGUUGAAAUUGCGAGGAAACCCCUUUUGCAAUUGUAGUAAGAUUUCGGGGGAUGUGUUAUCCUUUUGGCUGUUGAAUGACAUAAUUUGUGUUACUGUUCAAGUGAAUUAUAAUUGAUUUCUGGGGCUUAAGAAUGAACCAAAAUUUAUUUAGAAAAGUUAGUUUUGAGGUGCCAUCUUUGUUUUAUUAUAUUUUAUUUAUUUUUACAAAAUUUAGAGAAUCUAUGUAUAUGCACAUGGUUUGUCGUCUUUAAUUGUGAUUAACUGUGAUGCUUAUGUUUCGAUAAUUUUAAUUAUGAUUAACUGUGAUGCUUAAUUGUUUUCUUAUGUGUUGUAUAUGGCCAAUACCCUAACAUGUUUUGAACUUUUUUUUUUACAUAAAAAAAUUAUUGGAAGUUUUGAAAAUGUGUUUUCGCAUGAAUUUCUUAAACACAAAAAAAAAAAUCAUUUUCUUUCAUUUCUAGAUUUUACAACAUGUUUGUAAAACUCCAAAGGAUAUUGGCCAAUAUUCCAAAAAAAAUAAAAAAUAUUAUUUUUAGGGGAAUUCAUCUAUUAUUCACCGUUAAUGUUUGGAUAAAGAAAUCUCAAAAGGAUAAAUAUCCAAAAUAUUAUUGGGAAUAACUUGUUAUUAUUCACUGUUAAUAUUUGGAUAAAGAAACCCUAAGUGGUAAAUAUCCAAAAUAAUUUUCUAGGAAUAAUAAGUCAUCACACAUCCUUAAAAGAAGCCUUGAUUAUAAUCGAGGACAUUUCAAUUUUUUACUCCACAGUUUAUGAGUCAUGAGAGUAUUAAACACUAAGGUAAAAAUAGGUUUUUAAAGCGCCCUAGAUUUCUAAAUUUUUGUCCCUCCUCCUUGUGAUUUACAAGUCGCAAACUCUUGAAAUACUAAGGGAAAAUAAGCUUUUAAAGCACAUGGAAUCUCCUUGGAUUUCUAUCUUUAUAAAUUUAGUUUGAAUCAAACCUAGAAAAACUGAUGGGAUUAGAAAACACCAACACCAUAGCAAUUAUAAAGCAAACCAAACAUCAAGUAGCUUACCUUAGGUAAAUCGUAAUAGGGGUGUUAAACCUUCUUUUUACGCAACCAGUCUCUUGCCUUAGAAUCUCUGAAAGAUCAGUUAGGGUUUCUAAUGAUCAAAAUACUAGGUGACGACUCCCUUAUAAAACAAAAAAUCCUCGAAAUCGAUCGAGGAUCACCAUGACGCCACGCUCUGCCGUGAGGGUGCGACACAUAGAAUGGUUUUUUAAUAUAAUUUUAAGAAACAAUCCUUUAAGGAAUUUUAACCAACCAACCCAUUUCUUAGACUAAGGGUGUGUUUGCUUAACAGACCUUAAUGAGUUUCCUUUACUUUUUUAUACAUCUUUGUUUUAAGGUUUAACCAAACAAGCCUAAUAAAAAGCUAAAAAAAAACUAAAAAAUUUUAAGGACUGUUUUAAAAUCAUUUAUAGGUCUGUCACAUGUUUUUUCCAAUAAUUUUGCCUAAUAUCAGGCCGUAGAUUUACACUAUAAGAUACAUUUUUAACAUAAAAAAUAUCUAAUUUUCUUUGAAAUUUUGAAAAAAUCCAAUUUUUUUUAAAACAUUCUUCAUUUCAAAAACAAAAAAUAUUUUGUUUUUGUACAUAUGGCAAAAUCCUAACGUAUUUUGAUGUAUAUUUUCUAAGAAGGAUAAAAUCACAUUUUUUAUGGUGUUUUUAAAAAUGCAAAAUGGAUAUCAAAACUGGUUUAUAAUUAUCCAUUAGGGUUGACUAAAAUACCAAAAAUCUCACAACAAUUAGUUUCUUUUUUUUAUUUAAAGAGUUAUAAUUUAGCUGUAAGACUUUAAUAUUUGAGAGUAUAAAAUUACACUGUAAAGUAUACCCUCAAAUAUUAAAGAUACAAUAAAGAAAAUAAAUGUGAUGCUAAAUAUAGGCCUUAAAACAAUUAAGAUUUGACCCAACAAGUUAGAUACUUCCUCAAGAAGGGAGAUAUGCCUUUAAUCUUAGAUGAGACCAACGAAUAGAAACAUGAUCUAGAAAAAUAAUCAAUCAACAAUGUAGUUUACCUUAGGUAGGGUGUAUUGAGGGUGAUGAAUUUUCUCCUUGCACAACUAAUCUCUUUACCCAGACUCUCACAGACCAUUAGAUUUCAUAAUAAACAUAAUACUAUGUGGUGAUUCCUGAACUCUAUAAUCAUAACUUUAUGAUUAAACACAAAACACCCUCAAUUCCAAAAGGCAACUCCGCCACACGAUGUUUUCACGAGAGGAUGGUGACUCCAUAUAGGACUUGUCUGGUUGGACUAAACUUUGCUUGUUUGAUUAUUUCCCUAUUUAUUUUGUUGGCCUGUUUAAUUUAACUUAGGCAUAUUUUUUUUUUUACUGCUUUAGCAUGUAUUUUUAUAUAUUUCCCAUUCAUAAGUACAUCGGGUAAAGAUUAAUGCCUUUAUGCAUCUUAAUUUUUUAAUAAAUCGAAUUCUAGGUUAGGUGGGAAGUAGCAGUUUGUCUCAUGACUUUCAGUCGGGGUUCAGAUUCAUGAAACAUCGAACUAUGAGUUGAGCGUUUACUUGAUAAUGACGGUCACACUAUGCCCCAACCAUUUCUUGUAAACCCUUAUACUGCCUUCAUGAAAGGUGGUCACUAGAUAGAUCAUAAACCAUUUUGAGAUCAGAUAGUGAACUUACCCCUCAUUUAAUAACCUACCUUUAGGGUAUGGACUACUUAAUAAUUCAUGUUGCAUUAGGGCAAACUUGAUUAAAAUCUUGUACUCUACAAGGUUUUUGAGGUAAGAAAAUGACUUCCAUAACUUUCUCUGAGUAUGGGGAAAGAUCUAAGAUGAUGUAAUUUGUUGAAGAGGAUUGCCUAAGGAUCGAGGUCGGGGAACUAUCACACAUGACUAAAGUAUAUUACUCUAUGGACAAUAUAAAGAAGCUUUUGUCAGUCUUAGGGUAUAUGGAUGAGAUUUUGUUUGAGAAGAAGUAUGAGAGAAUUGCCCACCUAAUAAGGAUCUCAGUUCAAAUUUCAGCAAGUCAAUACAUUUUUGGAGUCUAGGUUAUAUAUGUUUCACCUUUAGAGAUAUUGACAUGAUCCUUACCAUUGAAGAGUAUGCCUAUAUUUUAAACUUCACAAAUGACCCUCACAAACUAUAUUUCAAAUAAAAAAUUAAAAACAAAAUUGUUGAGGUCGCAAAAUUAAUGCAUAUAGACCAAGUUGAUCAAUAUAAGGCGUCUAAUGGAGGAAUUUAGUGGAAGCUGAUUGAGAAUAAGUUGAAGACAGAUAAAAAGACAAUGGAAAGCUAGGAGAAGAGAAAUACCAAGUAGUUGUUUCCACCAUCUUUGAGUUAGUUUUGUUUCCUUUAUAAGCGUUAGGAUCAUUAGUAUUGAUGUUGUCAACACCUUCAUUGAGUAUGAAUGGACAAUGAAUAACCUCAUUUCAAUUAUGCUAGCUGAAACUCUCUUAUCCUUAAACCAUUAUAGACCGAAUGGAAAGAGAGCAAUAUGGUUUUGUGUUCCUCUACUAUUUAUAUGGAUAGUCAAUCACUUGAAGAUAUCUAGAGAAGUUUUCAAAAAAAAAAUUGUGGUUCAAUAUUGGGUUGAUUUUAAGUGAAUGGUGGAACGACCUAGAUGAGAAGGCAUGGGUGAAAAAAUACCAAGCACUCUAUCAUUGUAAUUUCGGGUGGAUAGCUCAUUGGGUGAACAGUUCGUCUUAUCUUAUGAGUUGUGGUGAUAAAAUAUGGGUCCGACUGACUGGUUUGACCGCUUAUAUCAACUAAUCAUCCUCCCUGGUAGCUAGGCAAUUUGGUAUUAGUUUGUUUAAAUAGGCUAAUUUUUUAGUUGAGCUAGACGUCAUCAGAUGUAAUUAGGGUAGCGUGUUUUAGUUUACAUAGAGGAACAGUAAAAAAAAUCACAACCAAGCCUAAUUACUUAAUAUGAAGGAGUGUUGAAUUAUCCAUGGUGCUCGGAAGCACGAGAAUGCAAAGCCAAAAUUCAGUCAAGGAGGGACCAUCCACCACAAUGGAAACUAAGAGAAAAAGAGUAAAUAAUAUUACUUGUAACCAACCGAUUGGCUAUAAGAUAUAUUAAACUAACUAGAAUACCAUAAAAGAGACUGGCCAAGUAACCCUUAUGCCUAUAAUCAAUCCUCGUCGUGUCCUGCGAGCCACGGGCUAAGCUUAAUGUUAAUGGAAACCCGGUUUAUAAUUAAAUCACCUUCUUAUAUGGCGAGGCCACAUCAAAUUAGAGAAUGUUCAAUGUUUGUUUUCUUCGAGGCUCCGUUUGAUUUUAUGUUUAAAAUUAUGUUUUAGUGCGUUUUAAAAUUAUAUUUGACUUGAAAAUGUAUUAAAUUGUUUGUUUUUAAUAGAUUUUGAUGAUUUUAAUACGUUGAUGUUAAAAAUAAAUAAAAAUAAAAAAUUAUUAUAAUGUAUUUUUAAACUACAAAAACACUCUUAAAAACACAAUGAAUCGCAAUAACAAACAUUACUCCAAGGAUAUUAGGGAGUGUAGUAGUAGUUAUUUUUUAAUGUUCUUUUUAUUUAGAAAUACAUCAAAAUAAUAUAUAUUUUUUAUUUUUUAAAAUUUAUUAUUAAUAUCAGCACAUAAAAAAAAUUUAAAAUAUAUAAAAAAUAAUUUUAAACAAAAAUAAUUUUUGAUACCGAACAAUGUCUUCCAUGACCCACGGUGGCAUAAAUUUCAAAGUAAAAUCAUCUUCAUCUUUUUUUUUCUUUUUUAGUUCCACGACACUGAAAAUUUACAAUAAUUGUAAAUUGACAAUAAUAGGCUUGGACGUUGGAUUAAUUGGAUAAUUGCUUUUGUAGUUUUGCACUCAUGGAAUAUUUCUGGAGCCCACAAUUUUUUUCUUAACUUCUCUCCCAUUGUGUCCACACAUAGCAAUUGGCGGACAGCCACCCCUUUAAUCUUUUGUAGCACCAAUCUUAUCGUCGCCAAACCACUUCAGUCUCUUUCUCCUUUUCAAAUCGAUAUAAAUGCUCAAGAGGAUAUUUUUAUAUAUAUAUAUAUAUAUAAUUGUGCUUAAGUUGGAAAGAUAUUAAUUUAAUAUUUUUAAUUUAUUUUAAUAUUUUUAUGUAUUAAUAUAAAAAUAAAAAAAUUUAGUUUAAUAUAUAUAUAAAGCACAGCAUGAAAUAUUAAAAAAAUCACAAUUAUAUAAAAAAAAUGUCAUUCCGUAGGAAUUCAAACCCAAUGAUGACUAUAACAGCGAAGGAUAAGGAAUGACUGGUGACUAAAGCCGUGAUAAUAAUUGUAUUUUUAAAAUUUUUUAUUUAAAAUUAUAUUUUUUAUAUUUUUAAAUCAUUUUGAUAUAUUAAUAUUAAAAUAAUUUUAAAAAAUAAAAAAUUAUUUUAAUAUAUUUUUAAAUAAAAAAAUAUUUUAAAUCAUUAUAGUUACUAUACUUCUCAACAUUCUAUUAAUAUUUUACAAAGCACAUGGUACACAUGCCAUAUGCUGGGGGUGGGCGUGGAUGGAGUAUAAUUGAUCACAUAAAUAUAAUUAAGUGAAGUAGGUUGAUAUUUCCAACACAAUUUUUAAUGUUUUGUAAAUUUCCCCUAUUUAAUUUUUAUAUAUAACCGAUCUAGUUAGAUAUAUCUGGUUAGAUUAAAUAUUUUAUAAAUAUUAUAUAUACUUACAAGUUAAGUUUAUAUUACUAAUUUUUAUAAAUUGAGUUUAAUUAGAACUAAGAUUUAUGUUCAAUAAAUUAGCUUAAAAGCUGUUAUAAGUUUUAACAAAUAAUUUAGGCUUAAUAUAUCUACUAAAUCAUUUAACAAAAAUGAAAUAAUUAAUUGUGAAAAAAUAUAAAUAAAUAAUAACAAGACAUAUAACAACAAAUAUUUAAGUUUAUUGUUAUAAAAUAUAUAUGUUAGGUUGAGUUUCCUGACUUGUAAUAUCUAUUUUUUAGAUUGUUUUACUAGUUAUCGUCUAUAUAAUUUGAUUUUAAUAGGUUGGGUCAAGUUAAAUAAUACAAAUAUUAUAAAUAGGUUGGUAUUUUUUAAAACACCCCCUAUUUUAUAUUGAUUUUUUUUCAUGGUAUAGAUAUUUCGAACCAUUUUAUACAUAGAAUGAUUUUUUUAUUUUCAAUAAUUUUAAGAAACAAUCCUUUAUAUUAACCUAAUACAUAAAGAAAAAUAUUUUUUCUUAAUGUAUGAGGUUAACCUUUGAAUUGAUUAACAAAAUAGAAGGUGAGAUGUGCACAUCAAAACCAUCUGUUGGGUCAGCAGCAACGAUGUUUACGAUGGCUACAUCAAGUUUCUACUCUCAAGUCCACAUUUCCUCAUCUUAUUGGUCUAAAAAUGAAAGGACAAACUAAAUUAAGGCCUCACAUGUGCUGCUUAUGAUGUAGCCAUGCAUUUAUCUUAAUUAAAUUAGGCCGCCGCCCCCUCCCUCCCCCACCUCUAUAUAUGUACUCUCCAUAUUUCAAUCUUCUCAUCGGAUCAAAGCAUACACAAAACCAUGGUAGAAACGGUAUGAUAUAUAUAUUUGUGUGUGUUGAUUUUAUCUUUUAAUGCAUCCUCUUCGUCUUUUUCUUCUUUUUACGCGGAGGUCUUUUGUACAAGUUCUUGAUAUAUAAUCUCUACAGCAGAUUCUUCUAAUCUUUCUGUCUAUAAAUUUAUCGGGAGAUUUUCUUUGUUUUCUAUUGGGAUUAAUGAUCAUGGUGAGGUCCGAUAUAAAAUGCAUGCACUAACUACGUACUACUGUUACAGAAAGUCACAACGAUGGUGAUUAAGGUCAUAGGCGGAGGGGUGUACAAGGCUAAGGUAGGCUGUAGCCCGGGUAAAAAAAAUAAAUUCUAAUAUUCAGUGUCCAAAACUCUAAUUUACACACCAAUGCACACAAAUGCAGCAAUUAAAUACAGCAGUUAAUAAGUUCUGAAAAAAGAUUUUUUAGUGCUCUAAUGGGUCUAAAUUAAAAUUUUCUAAAUGUAUUCACGUAAAAAAUACCUCAAUUUGGCAUUAGUAUUCCCAUCUAACAUUAUUUAGGAUUGCAAAAUGAUUCUCAGCAAACAAUCAAAACGCAUAACGCGAUAAAAACCUAGUUGAAAUAAUGAAAUUUUUUAUUAAAUUUUUAUAUAAAUAAUCUAUCUUUUAUCCAACAAAUUGACAAGAAUAUCUUCACGAAAAAAUAAUUAAAUUAUAUUUUUUCCUUUAUCUUUAAUAUUUUAAAAAAUAUAAAUUUAUUUUGGAUUUCACACUAAAAGAUUUUUGUCGAUAUAUAUUAUGGUAUAAAAAAUAAGAUGUUAUUAAAUAUAUUAAUCUUGGUUCGGUUAAAAUUUAAAAAACUAACGAGUUUUCUCGUGACAUCCAUUAACUAAAUCUUGUUAAUACAUUUAUUAAAAUUUAAUUAUUUUAUAUGGUAAUUUAUGAGCUUUUACAAUAAAUUCUCUUAGAAAAUAGUAAAGAUAAAUAUUAAUAGGGAAGAUAAAAUUAUUAUUAGCAAAUAACCUAAAUAAGAUACAAGUGAAAUCCUAAAUAAGAAAAUUGAAUAUUUUUCAUUAAGUUUAGAUAUGAAUAGGCUGUCUUUUAUUAGAUAAAAAGAAAAUAUUGUCUUCUUGAAAAAAAUGAAGAACUCCUACUUGUGAACUUGAAAAUUGAUUUAAUUAUAUCUUAUUUUUUACCACCUAAUAAAGCAUUGGUUUUGUCGCAUGUGUGCGGCGGCGCGACGAUCGUCCACCCUCAAGGAAAAAUCAGAAUAUUUAUUCCUGGCAAAUAGGAAGAGACAAGGAAUUCUUGUCUCUACAAGUGAAAAAAUGGACUGGGAGUCGCCACCUAGUAUUCUGGUUACUAGGAACCUUAACUGGUCUUCAGAGAUCGGGUACGGAGACUGGUUGCAUAAAGGGAAGGUAUUAGCACCCCAACUACGCCCUACCUAAAGUAGGCUGCAUUGUUUUAAUGUCUGAUAAAAUCUAAAAUCGUGUUGUGGUUUUUUGAAUUGUUGGUUCGUUUACGGUUUAAGAAAAAUUCUCCUCUAUAAGGAGAUCCUUAUCUUAUCGGGUAAAAAAAACUAACUAUUUGAAGUCGUCAAAAGAAAAUAUCUUUUUAAUAUCAGGAAUAUGAUUUACAUAUAAAUUCAUAAUCCCUGAUAUUAAAAUCAAACAAAAUAAAAUAUUUUUUUGUUUUUGAGAUUUUGGCCAAUGUUCUCUUGACUUUAAUAAACUGGUUAUUAAAGCCAAAAUGCAUGCUAAAAUAUUGUUUUUUGACAUAUGAAAAAUACGAUAUGAUUUUUUGAUUUGAGACACUUGGCCGUAUGCACAAAAAUAUUUUUUUAUCUUUUUUUGUUUUUAAUUUUUUUGUAAUUUUAAAAGUUGUGACGAAAACCGGGUAUUUUAAUACUGGAUUUAUAUUUUUACGAUGUAAAAUACUACCCGAUAUUUUAAUACUUUAUUAUUAACUUGAAUAUAUAUAUAUAUAUAUAAAUAUAUAUAAAUUAAUAAUUGAUCUUAAAAAAUAAUUUAUAUAUUUGUGUUUUACCAGGAGAGGAAAAAUUCUUGGCUCCGCCCUUGAUUAAGGUGGUUGACCUUGGAUGCGAAAAAUGCCACAAGAAAAUCAAGAGAGUACUGUGUACUAUCCCUCGUGAGUCUUUCUAUUUUAUCUUUAAGAACAGUGCUAGGUUUGAGUUGUUUUUAUUACCAAAGGAAGUGACUAAGUUUUGUGGAUUUGAUGAUGUUAAUUAAUGAACAAGAGAAAUCCAGAACCAAAUAUAUGACAAGAAGGAAAACACAGUGACAAUCACUGUGGUGGGUUGCUGUCCUGAAAAGAUCAAGAAAAAAAUAUACAGAAAAGGAGGUCGAACUGUCAAGUGCAUUGAGAUUCCACCUCCACCUCCGGAGGAAAAAAAAAACCCAGAAAAACCUCCACCUCCACCUUGUCCUUCACCUCCACCACCACCAUGCACAUGUUGUGAUUUAUGGGGAGAUGGAUGUUGUAGUUGCCGAAGUAAGGGUUACUAUGUGUGCAGAAGUGUAUAUGUUUAUGAAGACUAUCCCCCGACAUGCAAAAUCAUGUAAAGGGAAAGUUCAGAAGACCGAUGGUUUGAGUCAACAUCCAGCAUCAACCGUUGGAUUCAAAUCCAGUGGUCAUGAUGCAUGGGCCUUUGUGUUGUCGUGUUUAUAAUAUCAUCCCUUUUGUGAUGAUGCAAGGCUUUUUACAUGUUUGGUCAGCAAAGAUAUAGUCCUAGGAUUUUGUCCCUCUGGAUGUUUUCUACCAAAGUGCUAUUAUCUGUUUAGUCAACAAAUAUGGGAGUCUUUACUACCUAGUCUUUGUUUUUUUACGAUAUCUUAUCUUUGUAUAGUCCCUUUGGAUGUUUUCUUCCAAAGUGCUAUUAUCUGUUUCAAAAAACCCCUCUCCAUCAAUUCUCUCGUCAUUUUUUGCCGGAUGAAAUGCCCAGAAACAACAUCAUUCGAGCGUACUUUGGCAAAGAUGGUUUUCUUGUAAUAUAUUUUUUUAAAAUAUAAUUAAAUAAUAUUUUUUUAAAAAAUAAAAUUAUUCUUGAUAUAAAAUAUUAAAAAUAUCUUAAAAAACAUAAAAAAACUAUUUUUUUAAAUAAAAAAAACGUGCUAAAAGUUGAUGUUUGAAAUGAACACAGGAUUGUGGUGUGACUCGUGUUUUCAAAUAAAAUAUUAUUAAAAUAUAUUUUUGAUUUAAAAACAUAGAUUGCACUGCAAUGAUGCCCAUGUUACCAUCCAGACUCAAAAUAAUAAAAUAAAAACCCAAAACCUCACCACUAUAAUUCCAUUAAAAAGAGCCAAACCAGCUAUCCAUCCAAAAUAUAAUAAAAUAAAAACCCCAAAUAGAUCUUAAUCAUUUUUCAAACAAAGUCUUCAAGGAGAAACUCUUUUCACUAUCUUGAAUCUUCAAGCCAAUCACGCAAAAAAUUCAAGUUGGGGUUUCAAUUUGCUUCCUUGUGGACACAGUCAGUAAGCAACAUGUUUCACGGGACGUCUAAAGACUGGCUAUGGUAUUAUCCCAAUGCAAAUUUGUUAAUUAAUUGAUAAUAUAUUUUUUAUUCCAUAAAACCUUAUCAAUAAACUCAUAUAAUUUUGCGGGGUAGAUUAAUUUUGCAACAUAUAUUAGGGUAGAUUUUUUUAACGGGGUUAAGGGUUUUAUUAAUUUUGCAACAUAUAUUCCCAGAGAUUUUAUUAGAGGCAAUAUUAGGUGUUCAUACAGGAAGUGUCAAAAUAAAAAGUAUCUGCAUCUAGAUGUUGUAAUUAUGCAUCUUCUACACAAAGGGUUUAUGGAGAAUUACUAGUGUUGGUAUGCACAUGGAGAAGUAUUUGAUCGUAAUAAGAGCAUGAGAGAAAUGGUGGCUGGGUCAACUUCUAGUGCUAGCAAUAGAAUAUGGUUAUUGAUGCAAUGAGAAUGAAUUAAGGUAAUGUCAGUCAAUGUUCAAUCGUAGAAGAAGAACCUAAUGCAAAUGCAGCUAGGUUUUUUUAUUUGUUGAAAGAUUUUGGCAUUGAACCAUAUCGAGUUGCUCUUUGAUUGACCUGGAAGAUAAUUCAAAUUUUUAUGUUUUCAAUGAUAAUCUUGUUGAUGUUGACGCAGAGGAAUUGAAUGUUGUUUUGAGCUCUAGUAAACAUGCAAAUGUCGAUGAAGAUGAUGAUAAUAUUCAUAUUGAAGAUUGCAACGAAAGUGAUGAUUAUUCAAUUAAUGACGAAGAACAAGAAAAUUUUGACUAACUAUCAGAAUGAAGCAAUGUGUAAAACAUUUAUUUCAUGUAAUACAUAUUAUGGAUGAUAUAUUUUGUAACAUGAAAUAUUUAUUUUAUAAGUUUAUAUUAUUUAAGAACUGUUGUUAUUGUUUUGUAUGAUAAACAGUUUGUAAUUUAAGUGUUUGCGGAAAGGUAAAUAGGCAAUACAAACAUAAUCUUUCUUGCACAGUGCACUAUCCCCGACAUCCAUACCGACGGACUCCAGUUCGUCAGCAUUUCACAGAAAGUUAAAAAUUAUUUACUAGAAAUGCCACAAUUAGCGACGACGUUGCAGACAUAUAUAGUUCGUCGGCAGUUCAUAAUUACUGACAAAAUCACCGAUGGAUGGUGCGAAUUCCAAAGGGUAGGGUAUUAAAUGCAUCUCUGACCACGUGCAGUUGCCGACAGAAUUACCAACGGAUUGCAAAAAAUAUGGAGGGUAAUAAAAAAAUUCUAGUGCAAAAUUCAAAAUUUACCGAAAAUUUUUGAAAUAUCACCAACGGAAUAAUUAAAAUUAAUAUUAUUUAAAUGUUCGUCGGUGAAUCCAUCAGUAAAACUGCACUAUAAAUCCCAACGACCGCCCCUUUUAAUUUCAUUUUUUCAUCUACUCCGUAAUCAAUCUUUCAUUUUCAUUUUUUUUCCUCUCAUUUCCUUCAAAUCUUUUGUUUGUUUUGCUUGUAAUCUCUACUUGAAUCUUCAGUAAAUUAAAAGGUAUGUAUUUCCUCUACCUCAUUUUACUUCAAGAUUCUUUUUCUUUGUUUUAGCUAUUGUUAUUUUUGUUAUGUUUUUUGUUAUGUUGUAUUUUUAUAAUGCAGAUAAAGUCUUGAAAUAAACACAUUAUUAAGGUAAGCAUUUUUCAUUCCUAAAGUCUAUAGUUUUUUUUUAAUUUAUUCAAUAUAUUUUAUUGUUUGUAUUGCCAUAAUAAUUGAAUAAUUUGUUGAAUUUUAAUUGUUAUUGUUGAAUUUACCUUGUAAUUAGUAAUUGAAUGUGUAGGAAUAAAUUUAAUUAUUCUCUCUCAAUUUUACUCUAUUAUUGUAUGCAUAGUUUUGAAACCCGACCCGGUCAAGUGAUUGGGUCACGGGUCAGAUUGGUUGACCUAGGUCAACCCAAAAAAAAACCUAUAAAAAAAAAUACAUAACUAGUUACAAAUUACAAUGCAACACUUACAUAAACCAAAAUUAAAUUAUAAACCAACAACAUAAAUUUAAUUCAAUAUCCAAAACACAAACCAAAUAUAAAUUUUAAAAUAUUGAAAACAAAACAUCCAACAACAUAAAUUCUAAAUCAACAACACAUUCACUUAUAUUGAAUUAACACAUUAAGUUCUUCUGUGUCCAUGGAAGAAACUUUUAGAUCAAAUGUCGAUGGAAUGUAGCCAAUCUCGUCAACACCUAAUAAAUCAUCAGCAUGCUCCUUUGAAACUUCAUCGUCACAAUCAUCUUCCAUAUCAUUAACAUUUAUGACAUCUACAUUUCAAACACAAUUAAGAAAUAAAUAUUACGUGUUAAACAAAACUUUAUUUUAAAUAAUAUUCAUCACUAAAUAAUUAAUCAUUAGUUACCAUCAUUUAAAGUAUCAUGUAUGGUCAUAGUUGAUAGAGCUUGGUGAAAACUCUCUACUUCUUCCGUUGUCAAGAUUGACGGGUCAUCUUCGACUACCCAAUUUUCAAUGUCACAAAUUGUCUUAACAUUAAUUGGAUCAUAAUUUCGCCCUUUCAAAUAAUUCCUAUAUAUUAAAAGUAAAGGUAAACACAAUAUAAGUAUUAAUAAUGCUACUAAACAAGAUAAAAUAAUAUUUAAGGAAUUAGAGAAAAGAAAAAUACUUUUGUUUCAAUCUUAGAUUGUAGUAGACGUAAACAAGGUCAUUAAGCCUUUAGUGCUCCAAUCUAUUUCUCUUCUUGGAAUGAAUAUGCUCAAACAUACUCUAAUUUCUCUCACAUCCCGAAGAACUACAAGUUUGACUUAACACUCGUAUAGCCAGCUGUUAUAGAUUUGGAGCGUUGGUUCCAUAUGUCAUUCACCAUUCAUCUAUACAAAAAAUAAUAAGUAAAAGUGUAAGACUAUGUCAGAUAAUAUUUUUAAAUAUAAAAAUUAUAUACCUAGAGGCAUAAGGGUGCGAUUAUUUAUUGCAGACACUCGACCAAAGUCAUGUUCAGCAUUCCUAAAAAACUUCAUCUCACGUGUAAUCUUACUUUGCAAUGGUAGAUUUCCAUGUGCAUACUUCUCAAGAACAUCUAGAAGUCCAGAAAUGGUGCUCAUAUGUUUAUCCAUUAUAUUUGCAUCAUAUUGAAAUCGAGGAUUCAACCAAAAUGUUGCUGCAUAAAGAUUUAUAUAAAGUUGUCCAUCCCACCGAUUAUUGAUAAUGUCUAUGAAAGGUUUCACUCUAGCCUUUCUCUUUUGAAAUCUCCUCAUCAUUUCUUCUUUUGCAUGAUGAAUAGCAUCAUACAAACAUCCCAUCAAAGAUCUAUCAUCACCAUCAACCAUUCGUAGAACUCGAACCAAAGGUUCACUCAUUCGUACAAUUAUUGCACAUUCUUCCCAAAACAAAGAGUCUAACACACUCUCAAUAAACUUUUUUUCCUUUAAUAUCUUUAGCAUAAAUAGAUGAGACCCAUUCCCUUUAUGUCACCAUAGCUCUCAACUCAUCUUUAUGAGCUAAAAUGCUUUGCAAUGCAAUGAAAUUGGUAGCAAAAUGAGUAAGAGCUGGACGAAGUAUUUCUUUUUCUCCAAUGAACAUCCUCAUCAAAUACAAUGGAUAACAAUGAUUAUCAAUGUACUUUGUAAUGCCAGAAGCAUGCUCAACGACACAACAAAUUGACUGCAAUUUACCAAUGUCCUUGAGUAUGAGGUUUGUUGUAACCCAUUUUUGGGUCCCCCUGAAAAAUAAAAUAAAUAGCCAAAAGAGGUUAGAAAAAUAACCGGAGGCAGAAGCGCCCGGAAAACAGUCAGAAAAUUGGUCAAGGAAUUUAAAAAUACAAGGAUUGAAUUUUUGACAGUAUAUUCUUGAAGGAUGAAAGCCCUAUUGAGAAGAAAAAUUUGAAUUUUAGGGAGAAAAGCCCAAAAUUGGAUUUUUAUGGACUUAAUUGGAUUUUUAUGGACUUAAUUGGAUUUUUAUUUGAAUUUAUAGAAGAUUUGAUUCCAAGAAAAAUUGAUUUUUAAGUCAAUUUGGGCUUUAAUUUGGAGAAAUUUAAGUUCUGGGGCCAAAAUAUAUUUUUUAGGAAUUUAUUAGGUCAAAUCAGGGGCUCAAUUGCAUAAAAAUUGAAGUUUAAGGGCCAAUUAGGGACUUAAUUUGUGAAAAUCCGAAACCAGGGACCAAUUUGGAGAAGGCGCAAAGAUAGAGGGGUCUGUUUGGAAUUGUUUCAGGGGCUUAAUUGAAGAAAUUAGAAGUUUAUUGAUCAAUUAGGGGCUAAAUUGCAUAAAUCAGAGGCCAAGGACCAAAGUGAAAAAGGCGGCCAACAAGAGGGGCGGGGACCGAAUUUGAGGGACUGAUUUGAAGUUUAGCCAUUUAAAUGAAACGGCGCGUUUUACCCAAAACGACGCCGUUUCAUUAAAAAAAAAAAAAAAAAAAAAUAACCAGAACGGUGUCGUUUUGAACGACACUGUUCAUCUUCUUCCUUUCCCCCCGGUUUAGCAGCAACAGAAAAAAAAAAAUUCGAAAAAACUUCCCGCUUCUCCUCGCCCCCACCAAACCACCGAAAGAGCCGACCAGCCGUUGCGUGAUCUACGCCCAAAGUCCCUUUAGCAAAAGGCACCGUUUUUUCCCUAUAAAUAGGAAGGAAAACCGAAGAGAGAGAGGCCGAAAAAAACCGAGAGACCCGAAGAGAGAGAGGAGACCGAAGAGAGAGAGCGAACCGAACAACCGCAGCGCCGCCGCCAGGAGCCUCUGUGCACGAGCCACACCACCGCCAGCGACCGACUCCUCCACGCCAGGUACGUUUUUUUCCCCCCCCCCAUUUUUGUGUUUUCUGCAGGUUUGCCUCCUGCAUGCAUUCUGCAUGCAGGAGGCGGGGGGAAGAAAAUUAAUUCUUCCCCCGCUGGGCUUGGGGCUGCUGGGCCAGCCCGAUGCUGGCCCAGCCUUGCAAGUCUGGGCCGCUCUUGGCCCAGACCGUAAGAUUUUUUCGGGCCGAGAUCGGCCCACUUGAGUUUUCGGGCCGAGCUCGGCCCACUUUUGUUUCUCGGGCCGAGAUCAGCCCAAUUUCAUUCGGGCCGAGAGCGGCCCGUCUCUUUUUGGGGCUGAGCCUGGCCCAUUCAUUUGGGACGGCCCAGCCCUAUAAUAUAUUAUAUAUUAUUAUAAAUUAUAAUAUAUAUGUGUGUAUAUGUUAUAUAUAUAUAAAAUAUUUAUAAAAAAAAUCUGAAAAAUCUAAAAAAAAGGGUUGUUAUUUUCCUUUCACAUAUAUUGUUUUUAGGGGGUUUGUAUUUUUUUUUAUACUAUGGAGGUAUAAAAUCAGUAUUUAAAAUAUCUGAUUUUCGUCGAGACACCCGAAAUUUUCAAAGAUAAUUUUUUUUUCUUUCAAAAAAUUUCUAAAAUUCCUUAAAAAUAUUGUUGAUUUUUUUCGUACAUCUUUUUUAAAAUGACUUAAUAUUAGUUUGUAUUUUUUAUGCUGUGGAGAUACAAAUUCAGUAUUAAAAUACCCGAUUUCGUCAAAAAAAAAAUAUAUUGUUUUAAAAAAAAAAAUAUUUUCUUGCGUGUUGCAUACGGCCAAUACUCUAACAUGUUUUGGAAUGUUCUUUUUAUAUAAAAAAAUAUAUUGGAAGCUUCGAAAGUGUGUUUUCGCAUAGAUUUCUUAAACACAAAUUAUUUUCUUGCAUUUCUGGAUUUUACAACGUGUUUGUAAAAUUCCAAAGGGUAUUGGCCAAUAUUCCAAAAACUAUAAAAAUCUUAUUUUUGGGGAGAAAAUUUAUUUAUUAUUCACCGCUAAUGUUUGGAUAAAGAAAUCCUUAAAAGGAUGAAUAUCCAAAAUAUUAUUGGGAGUAAUAAAUCCGCACACAUUCUUGAAAGAAGCCUUGAUUAUAAUCGAGGACAUUUCAAAAUUUAAUUUUUUUUUUUAUAUAUUUCUACGAUUUAUGAGUCGCAAACUUUUGAAAUACUAGGGAAAAAUGAGCUUUCAAAGCACAUGGAAUCUCCUUAGAUUUCUAUCCAAAAUCAAUUGACGAGCCUAGAAAAUACCAACACCAUAGCAAUUAUAAAGCAAACCAAACACCAAGCAGCUUACCUUAGGUAGGGCGUACUAGGGGUGCUAAUACCUUCCCUUUACGCAACCAGUCCCUUGCCUUAGAAUCUCUGAAAGACCAGUUAGGGUUCCUAGUGACCAAAAUACUAGGUGGCGACUCCCAAAAGAACCAAAUCAACAAAACAAAACGAAAGUCGCCAAUCGAAUGUCAAAACAAAUUUUAAAAUAAACCAAAUUUUCGUUUUUUUUGGGGUGCGACAGGAUGGCGACUCCACUGGGGAACUUUGGACUAAGCUUGAUUUGUUUGUUUGUUUAUGCCAUGUGUUAGUGGUUAUGAUGCUUUGUUUAAAACAUUUUAGCAUAUAUCUUUACAUUCUAUCAUACAUGGCAUAGUCAUGCAUCACUUUAUUACUAUUAUUAUGUUUUGGAGGGCACACACAUGUAACUCUAAGUUUAAGUGGGGGACUAGCAGCUUGCCUUAUGACUUGAGUCAAGGUUUAAGUUUGUGUAAACCCCAACUCUUGGCUGAGUGUUUAGACUGAUUGUGAUUGGUACACGUACCAUCCCACUAUCUGCUAGACCUCCAUAUCGCCUUUACGAAGGUUGAUCACUGGAACAGCAAGAGACCCUCUUUUAGAGACCCAAUAGUAAACAUACCCUAGGUCUCACGUAGAGAAAUUAGAACCUAUCCUUAGGGUGUAUGUUCCAACAUAUCUUUUACAUCAAAACAAGUCUAAAACCCAAUGCAUUUUUAAUUGCAGGAUUUGUGAACGAAAUGGCCAUCAUCACUAAAUCAUCCCCAACAAAACAUGCAUUUUUCAAUCAUGUAUCAAUCACAAUCAUACAAUUUUUUCUCAUACAUCUAUGCAUGCAUCUGCAGAUUAAGAAACAUAGGUCCCUCUUCUAGAAUCCACAACACUCGACAAAGAUCAAGAAUGGAAAAUGAAGAAAGAGCUCACUUAGAGUCGCACUACCAUACCGAGUUGGAAUCCGUGAAAAAUGAAGUUUCUCGACUGACCAAUCUGCUUGAACAAUUUUUAAGAGCCAAAAAUGGGGAGGGAACGUCUACCCAACCACCUAUAGGAGCACCAUCAGUUCAUGUUCCGGGGGCAUCUCAGAACUUGGGGGCAGAUUCAGUGACGGGGCAGCACUUUGCGCCUACCAUUCCCAUUCAGCCCCCUCAAGCUCACAUCACUGUGGAAGGGCCUUCCGAUAAUAGGUCCACCGGAUUUAUGAACGAUGACAAGAUAUCAGCCUUGGAAGAAAGGUUAAGAGAAGUCGAGGGAAAUGACUGGUUUGACCCCAUGCGAGCAUCUGAAAUAUGCUUAGUACCAAACAUCACGGUACCAAAAAAAUUUAGGAUACCAGAGUUUAUAAAGUACACUGGGUUGGAAUGCCCAAACACUCACCUUCGAUCUUAUUGCAAUAAGAUGGCUGAGGUGAUUCAUGACGAUAAGUUACUGAUCUACUUUUUCCAAGAUAGUCUAUCGGGGUCGGCGCUAAGUUGGUACAUGAGGUUGGAUAAUGCCAAGAUCAAGAAAUGGAAGGAUUUAGUUGAGGCUUUCCUUAAGCAAUACAAGUUCAAUUUGGAAAUUGCUCCAGAUCGAACGAGCCUUAUGUCAAUGGAAAAGAGAAGCCAAGAAUCAGUAAGGGUUUAUGCGCAAAGGUGGAGGGACGAGGCCAUGCAUGUGCAACCCCCUUUGAUAGAAACGGAGAUGGUGACUUUGUUCGCCAACACAUUCAAGGCACCCUACUAUGAGCAUUUAAUGGGUAGCUCAUCUCAACAUUUCUAUGAUGCUGUACGCAUAGCGGAAAGAAUAGAGCAGGGGAUUAAAGCUGGACGCAUAAUUGAACCAUCGGAGACAAAGGGUUUUUUCGGAAGAAAAUUGAAAGGUCCCGUUAACUUCGAAGGUGGGUCCAAUGACAAGAUAACAGAUUCAUACAACCCACAAAUACCUACCUCCCAUGUGGCCCACAUAAACUUUAACAAACCUUUUUCCCCUAAUCGAGCAAAUGGCCAAUCAAACACCCAAAACAACCACCAAAGACCAAACACAAGAUACAUUUCAGAACAACUACCGCCAUUACCCAUGCCUUUAAAGGACAUAUAUGCCAAACUACUGAGCAUUGGACAAAUAGCUCCUAUCCCCACAUUACCACUACAACCACCAUUCCCCAUCUGGUAUAAGCCCGAGUUGACUUGCGAGUACCAUGCUGGUAUUCCCGGGCAUUGUCUUGAAACGUGCUAUGGUUUCAAGAACAAGUUGUUGAAGCUCAUCAAGAUAGGAUGGGUGUUGCUACCCAAUUUUUGACCCAUGUUUUUUAUAUAUUUUCAAAAAAUCCAAAAAAAAAACAUUAAGAAAAAUUUGAAAAUUUAAAAAUAUUUUUUUCUCUCUCGAGGCAACCGCAUCUCUUCACUCAAACCAUGUCGACCAGGGUAAAAAAUGAGUUUCGGGCUGUUUCGGGUCAAAAACAUCAUUUUCAACCAAAAUCGGGUUCACCGGGUCAAUACGGGUCAAACCAUGUCGACCAGAGUAAAAAAUGAGUUUCGGGCUGUUUCGGGUCAAAACGUCAUUUUCAACCAAAAUCGGGUUCACCGGGUCAAUACGGGUCAUACCAUGUCGACCAGAGUAAAAAAUGAGUUUCGGGCUGUCUCGGGUCAAAACCGUCAUUUUCGACCAAAACCCGGUUCAUCGGGUCGAUACCCAUCAAAUGUUUUUUUUGGUAUUCCAUUUUUUGGCGGUUGAAACGGGAUUUUUCUAAUACUGAUUUGAAUUUUUAGUUUUACCCAUGUAAAUAUUUAUUAUUAUAUAUAAUAAAACAAAAUUAUGGUAGUUGUGUGCAAUAUUUAUUAUUAUAUAUAAUAAAACAAAAUUAUGGUAGUUGUGUGCAUUAUUUAUUAUUAUAUAUAAUAAAACAUGAUUUAUGGUUGUUGUCCCGUGGCUAUAAAUAGCCACGAGAGGGGGGCAGAAAAAAAAAGGAGAAAAAAAAAAAAGGAAGAGAAAAGAAAAAAAAAAGAAUCGAUUGAUACUUUUUAAUUUUUUUAGUUUUUCUUCAGGAGAGUAGGAUAUUGUCUUUUAAAAAAAACAAUUUAAAAAAUACCAAACAUAUCCCAACACAUCUCAGCCGUUAACAUAUUCCAGGAUUUAAUCCCGUUGCGCCACGUCAUCCGGUGCACCGAGCUUUCGGUGCACCGCGCCACACACAAUCAAACACCAGACAAUCUGGGCCGUCCGAUCAACCUGCUGAUCUAGCCAAUCCAGCCAUCCGAUCGUUUCAUCCAAGAUCCAACGGUUAACAUCCUUCAGCGGCACCGGUACACCAUACACGCGUCCGCACCGUAGCAAAUCUCGGAGCAUCUCUCUCCUCUCGCCGGCGACUCUCUCUCUCUCCUCGAUCUCCACUUUCCGGCCAGAUAAAGUCUCCGCACCACCACAGAAAGGUUCCUCACUGCCGUAAAGUAAAACCCCGGUGGUUUUCAUCGUUUUCACCGCCUCAUCUGGCCGGAAAAAGGCCGCGAUCGUCGCCGGCCACCGAAGCUUCAAGUCGUCGAUUCUCCCUCGUCAGCCAUCAACGGCCGUCGAGACCACCACCAACAGAAUCCUCGACCUCAGAUCUACCAGAACCGACCAUCGGUUGGCCAGAAAUCUCGCCUGAAAAUCUCGCCACCAACAGUAGCCACGCGUGAGCCACACGCGCCGCCAGUGGCAUUUUCGUAAAUUUUGAUAAAUCCGAGGGUAUUUCAGUCUUUUACCUAUACUGUGUCACUCAUGUAAUUUUAUUUAGAUUGCUAUAUUUUUUUUAUUUUGUAUAUAAAUUUUCUUGCAUGUUGUAAAAAAAAAAAAAAAACAAAAAAAAAAGAAUAACAACGCGGGUCCAACACCCAUCCUAUUAUGUCAUCAUUCGUGGGUCCAAAGCCCAAUUUUCAAAUAGUUAUACCAUUCUCAACGAUAAAAAUAUUUUUAUUUUAUAAACAAAUAUGUUUGUCGACACGUCUCUUUUUUAAAAAGGACCGAUGUCAAAAGUUUAAAUACCAAAUAUGGAUUAUGUCCAUAGUUUUUUUGGUAACUCAGACGUAUCUCCUUUUUAGGGUUAAACGUCAAUAUUUUAGACAAGUUCCUAUUUUUAGGGACUGAUGUCAUUUUUAACGUGUCUCCUAUUUUUAGGGACCGACGUUAACCAUAAAAAAAACAAUAAAAUUGCAAAUAAGCUCAAAAUAUAAUAUCAUUUAAAAAAAAUAAAAAAAACACACAAGUAAGGGUAACCUUUCUUUUGAAAGGAUGUUUUAAGGGUGGUGUCUACCUUCCCUUAAUCAUAACUAACCCAGUACCCGAAUCUCUGGGACCAGUGUCUAAUUUGGGAUUUCUAGUUCCCUCAAAUUACUAGAUGGCGACUCCAAUAUAAUUUUCAUUCCCCCAAUUAAACAAAUCUUUUUUGUUAAAUAAACAAAAAUGAGCGGAGCCGUCGCCCGACGUCGUGUAUCGACAAUGGGUUUCAUUUGAAGACGCACCCAAUAUCAGUUCAAAUCCAUUGCCUGGUCAUGACAAAAGUGAUAGGGGAUAAAGGUUGGAAAACCUUGGUCAAGAGUCGUCAAUAAUGAAGAAGGCGAGAUCGAAGGAGAAGACAAGGAAACGCAAGUGGGGAAGAAAGAUGAAGCAUUGCCUCGGUUGACUUUCCACACACUAGAGGAAGUUUCAGAAUGGGUUGAUCCAAGAACUUCUCGUAGUUUUCAAAAUGUAAAACAACUUUAUUUGCCUUAGCAUGCUUUUGUCUUUGCUUUUAUUUUCUCUAGUGAGCAUUCAGAGCUCAUAUUGUCAGCCAGAUUUUUGUGUUUGUCUUUGAGCCUACCUUUUCUUUAAAUAAAUGAUGAGAUUAUGCACUUUUGGAACAAGUUGAGUGGUUACAAGUAAAGUAUCAUAAAAUGGUUUAAUAUGAAAUUUAAGAAAAGCUACCCUUGUAAUACAACCUCACCUCUGGAUAACAUAAUGAAUUGAUACAUCACCUGUAAAUUUUCUUUCAAGAUAAAAAUAGAGUUUAUCAAUCCUAACAAUGUGCAUUUUUUAAAAUAAAAAUAAAAAAAAAAAAAAAAAAAAUCAUUGUCCUUUCACUCUCUAAAGAGUUUUUUUUUGGUUGGUGGGAAUGAAUUUCUUCUCUAUAUAAAAGCCCAGACUAAUAUCACACCCCUACACUGGGGGCAAGACGAGAUGUUUUAUGAAAAUUUUUACGUGUUUAAAAUUGGAUAAAAGCCUAUAGAUUUGAAAACCAAGCUAAAGUAUUUGACAAAAGCAUGACAAAGAGGCAAAUACAAGUCAUAUAUUUUGAGAAAAGGACUACUUGAAGAAAGUCAAAGACUUCUUCUCCAAGAAUAUGAUAGGCAACACGAGAGAUAAAUCCAGCAUACGACUUCAAAAGCAAGUUCAUGUUAAGAGGGAGUCUCAUGAACUAGAAGAAGAGGUUGGGACCUAUGUUUCAAAACCAGGUAUAAAUGCAUGCAUUGCAUCUAAUCAUAAAUCAUUGCAUAUAUAUAUAUUUUUUUUUUGGAUCGUUACAGGAGGAGAUCUUAGCGCAUUUCAACAAGAUUAUGAGCAAAGAAAGAAUCAUUGAGUUGAUUCUAGAACAACAAGAAGAGAAAAUAAUGGUUUUCAAACCCUGCCAGCAGGAAGAACGACAUCGAUAGCAUUCGGUAAAAAAGGAAUCGCCAGAUGGGAUUCCAAGUUGUUUGGCUAAAGGAGAUCGCCAGAAGGGGUCUCGUUUUCGAUAUUCAUCAAUGGAGGUCGCAAGAAGAGACCUCAAAUUUCAUCUUUGGUAUAAAAGGAAUCGCCAGAUGGGAUUCCAAGUUUUUGGCUAAAGGAGAUCUCCAGAAGGGAUCUAAUAUCUCGAUGAAGGUCGCCAGAAGGGACCUAAUAUUUCAGCUUUGAAUAAAAGGAAUCGCCAAAUGGGAUUCCGAGUUAUUUGAGAUCGCCAGAAGGGAUCUCGUACUUCGACAUUUAUCAAGGAAGGUCGCUAGAAGGGACCUCAUAUUGAAACCAUUUCUUAGAAAAGCAUGGAGUUUACUAAGAAUUCUUCCCCCUGGGUAGGUCACCCAUACAAUGAGACCAUCAUUCCCCCUGGGUAGGUCACCCAUACAAUGAGACCAUCAUUUUUCUUGGGUAGGUCACCCAUACAAUGAGACCAUCAUUUUUUCUGGGUAGGUCACCCAUACAAUGAGACCAUCAUUUUUCUGGGUAGGUCACCCAUACAAUGAGACCAUCAUUUUUCUGGGUAGUCACCCAUACAAUGAGACCAUCAUUUUUCUGGGUAGGUCACCCAUACAAUGAGACCAUCAUUUUUUCUGGGUAGGUCACCCAUACAAUGAGACCAUCAUUUUUCUGGGUAGGUCACCCAUAAAUGAGACCAUUCUCCAUUUUUUCUGGGUAGGUCACCCAUACAAUGAGACCAUUUUUUUUCUGGGUAGGUCACCCAUACAAUGAGACCAUAUUUUUCUGGGUAGGUCACCCAUACAAUGAGACCAUUCUCAUUUUUUUACCUGGGUAGGUCACCCAUAAUAAUGAGGCCAUUCUUUCCCCUGGGUAGGUCACCCAAAGAAUGAGACCACUCUUUCUCUUUUCCACUCGGGCAGGUCACCCAUCAUAAUGAGACCACACACAUUUUUUGUAUUGGUUAUGAGUAAAGGAAUCGCCAGAUGGGAUUCCAGGUUAAAGGAGAUCACUAGAUGGAUCUCGGAUGGAUUUCCAUGUUGAUCAAACUAAAAUAAGAAUUCAGAGGAUCGCUGGAUAAGGAUCUCGAGAUGACUAAGUUUCGAUCAUGGUUUUUGGGGCUAAGGAGGAUUGUUAUAAAGGACAAAGUUUCAGAUCAAUCAAGCUUCGACCAGAUCAGUUUCGGGAGUUCCGUUUUGGGUUUAUCUUUAUAACACUUACUGCGCAAAACCCAUGCUCCGUAAGUAUUAUAAAGAGGGGGCAUCUGUUGUAACCCAUUUUUGGGUCCCCAUGAAAAAAUAAAAUAAAUAGCCAAAAGAGUUAGAAAAAUAACAGAGGCAGAAGCGCUCAGGAAACAGUCAGAAAAUUGGUCAAGAAUUUAAAAAUACAAGGAUUAAAUUUUUGACAGUAUAUUCUUGAAGGAUGAAAGCCCUAUUGAGAAGGAAAAUUUGAAUUUUAGGAGAAAAGCCCAAAUUUGGAUUUUUAUGGACUUAAUUGGAUUUUUAUGGACUUAAUUGGAUUUUUAUUUGAAUUUAUAGAAGAUUUGAUUGCAAGAAAAAUUGAUUUUUAAGUCAAUUUGGGCUUUAAUUUGGAGAAAUUUAAGUUCUGGGGCCAAAAUAUAUUUUUUAGGAAUUUAUUGGGUCAAAUCAGGGGCUCAAUUGCAUAAAUAUUGAAGUUUAAGGGCCAAUUAGGGACUUAAUUGUGAAAAUCCGAAACCAGGGACCAAUUUGGAGAAGGCGCAAAGAUAGAGGGGCUGUUUGGAAUUGUUUCAGGGGCUUAAUUGAAGAAAUUGAAGUUUAUUGAUCAAUUAGGGGCUAAUUGCAUAAAUCAGAGGCCAAGGACCAAAGUGAAAAAGGCGGCCAACAAGAGGGGCGGGGACCGAAUUUGAGGGACUGAUUUGAAGUUUAGCCAUUUAAAUGAAACGGCGCGUUUUACCCAAAACGACGCCGUUUCAUAAAAAAAAAAAAAAAAAAACGAACGGUGUCGUUUUGAACGACACUGUUCAUCUUCUUCCUUCCCCCCGUUUAGCAGCAACAGAAAAAAAAAUUCGAAAAAACUUCCCGCUUCUCCUCGCCCCCACCAAACCACCGAAAGAGCCGACCAGCCGUUGCGUGAUCUACGCCCAAAGUCCCUUUAGCAAAAGGCACCUUUUUUCCCUAUAAAUAGGAAGGAAAACCGAAGAGAGAGAGGCCGAAAAAAACCGAGAGACCCGAAGAGAGAGAGGAGACCGAAGAGAGAGAGCGAACCGAACAACCGCAGCACCGCCGCCAGGAGCCUCUGUGCACGAGCCACACCACAGCCAGCGACCGACUCCUCCACGCCAGGUACGUUUUCCCCCCCCCCCCAUUUUUGUGUUUUCUGCAGGUUUGCCUCCUGCAUGCAUUCUGCAUGCAGGAGGCGGGGGGAAGAAAAUUAAUUCAUCCCCAGCCUUGCAAGUCUAGGCCGCUCUUGGCCCAGACCGUAAGAUUUUUUCGGGCCGAGAUCGGCCCACUUGAGUUUUCGGGCCGAGCUCGGCCCACUUUUGUUUCUCGGGCCGAGAUCGGCCCCAUGUCAUUCGGGCCGAGAUCGGCCCAAUUUCAUUCGGGCCGAGAGCGGCCCGUCUCUUUUUGGGGCUGAGCCUGGCCCAUUCAUUUGGGACGGCCCAGCCCUAUAAUAUAUUAUAUAUUAUUAUAAAUUAUAAUAUAUUAUAUAUUAUUAUAAAUUAUAAUAUAUAUGUGUGUAUAUGUUAUAUAUAUAUAAAAAAUAUUUAUAAAAAAAAUCUGAAAAAUCUAAAAAAAAGGGUUGUUAUUUUCCUUUCACAUAUAUUUUUUUUAGGGGGUUUGUAUUUUUUUUUAUACUAUGGAGGUAUAAAAUCAGUAUUUAAAAUAUGUGAUUUUCGUCGAGACACCCGAAAUUUUCAAAGAUAAUUUUUUUUUCUUUCAAAAAAUUUCUAAAAUUCCUUAAAAAUAUUGUUGAUUUUUUUCAUACAUCUUUUUUAAAAUGACUUAAUAUUAGUUUGUAUUUUUUAUGUUGUGGAGAUACAAAUUCAGUAUUAAAAUACCCGAUUUCGUCAAAAAAAAAAUAUAUUGUUUUUAAAAAAAAAAAAAUUCUUGCGUGUUGCAUACGGCCAAUACUCUAACAUGUUUUGGAAUGUUCUUUUUAUAUAAAAAAUUAUUGGAAGCUUCGAAAGUGUGUUUUCGCAUAGAUUUCUUAAACACAAAUUAUUUUCUUGCAUUUCUGGAUUUUACAACGUGUUUGUAAAAUUCCAAAGGGUAUUGGCCAAUAUUCCAAAAACUAUAAAAAUCUUAUUUUUGGGGAGAAAAUUUAUUUAUUAUUCACCGCUAAUGUUUGGAUAAAGAAAUCCUUAAAAGGAUGAAUAUCCAAAAUAUUAUUGGGAGUAAUAAAUCCGCACACAUUCUUGAAAGAAGCCUUGAUUAUAAUCGAGGACAUUUCAAAAUUUAAUUUUUUUUUUUUUAUAUUUCUACGAUUUAUGAGUCGCAAACUUUUGAAAUACUAGGGGAAAAAUGAGCUUUCAAAGCACAUGGAAUCUCCUUAUAUUUCUAUCCAAAAUCAAUUGACGAGCCUAGAAAAUACCAACACCAUAGCAAUUAUAAAGCAAACCAAACACCAAGCAGCUUACCUUAGGUAGGGCGUACUAGGGGUGCUAAUACCUUCCCUUUACGCAACCAGUCCCUUGCCUUUGAAUCUCUGAAAGACCAGUUAGGGUUCCUAGUGACCAAAAUACUAGGUGGCGACUCCCAAAAGAACCAAAUCAACAAAACAAAACGAAAGUCGCCAAUCGAAUGUCGCAAAACAAAUUUUAAAAUAAACCAAAUUUUCGUUUUUUUUGGGGUGCGACAAGGUUGAUGCAAUGAGCAGUACAAAGAAAUCAAAAUAUUGAAGGAAAUUCUUCCAUCAAUAACCUGCUAGCAGCAACAUAAUUUGCAGCAUUAUCAGUCACCAUAUGCAUAAUUUUUUCAACCCCAACAUACAAAACAACCUCUCUAAACAACUGAUACAAGAAUCUAGCCGUUUUUGAGACAUCUGAUACAUCCAUAGUUUUCAAAAAAACUAUUCCUUUAGGACAAUAUACUAAGAAGUUAAUUAAAUUCCUCCUCUUUUGAUCUGUCCAUCCAUAAGCCAUUAAUGUGCAACAAGUCUUCUUUCAAAUCUCUCGAUAACUCUCAAUAUAAAUCUUCACUUCAUCAACCGCUUUUGCCAAGUAAUAACCAUGGAUAGCAUGCAAGUUUGGUCCUUUAUAACUAGGACUCAUGGCUGUUACAACAUCUAUGGCAUGCUGAUAAUACACAGAGUUAACAACAUUAAAUGGCACACAUGCAUCAAACGUCAACUUCGCUAAAGCAAGAUCACACCAUUCAACUAUUUCUUUCCUUUUCCAACAAUUUUGAAGAGACUUUUGAGCACCGGGAGUUGUUCUCGACAUGAAAUAUGUCCCUAAUGUUGCAGAUUUCUUUUGCUUUCCAUAACUUGUAGUUGAUUGUUUUACAGUGUUGGUGCUUUGAAUCUUUUUCUUUUUUGCAAUCUUUGGUGGUAACAUAUGUUUUUUAGUAUUGGCAUCUUCAUCAUCAUCAUCUUCUAAUUGCCUAAUCAUCAUCUCUUCAUGCUCCCUUUGUUGUGCAUUAAAUGGAUUGAAAUUUGCUUGCAUUUCUCUAACUCUUUUUUUUUUCAACAUUUCCUUUAAGGUUCAAAAGCAUUUGAUGUCGAACAUAAGGAGGACAUUUGCGACAUUGUUCAACUUUUCCUUUAACUCUAGCUAAAUGUUACUUAAAUCAAUUAAUGCCACCACUCGCAAAUACUUCAGCACAAUAUAAACAUACUAAUUUAGUUUUUUUACAUCCAACACUAAGUUCAUGAGCUUUUCUACAAUGACCCCAUGCCAAAUCUGUUCUUCCUCUACUACCACUUGAUAUGGAAAUUAAAGGUUGAGAUGAUUGGGCCGUUGAAGGAUCACUACUUGGAAUAUUACCAUCAUGUGAAGACAUUUUAAGGACCUAGCAUAAUUUAUAAGAUAUCACUGGAAAAUUCUUUCAACUAGAUUAUUAAUUACUACCAUAAUUAAAGUUUCAAUUCAUUUCUAUCACAAAAUCCUGAUUUAAUUUGAAAGUUAUUUAUAAUUAAAUACGUUGAAUUAAUUUAUGUUAAAAUAGGUAAAGAGCAUUCAUAAUUAAGAUAGGCAAGAUUAUUUCACUUCCAAUUAUUUCAACAGUAGUGAAAAAUCAGUCUCGGUUGAAAAAGAAAGCCUACGCUUCUAUAACCAUGUGAACACAUACAUAUACACUUACAGUUGCAAGUCCAAAUUCAGCUUAAGUAGAACAAUAACAAAAUUAAUAGCAAAUUGGUGAGCAUUAACAGAAGCAAAAGCAAACGAACAGGGACAUCAAAUUCAGCUUAAGCAGAACAAUAACAAAAUUAACAGCAAAUUGGUGAGCAUUAAUAGAAACAGAAGCAAACAAACAGGGAGAACAGAGGGUUGAAGCAAUAACAACUAAUUGUAAAAGCAGAACGAACGAAAUAUUCACAACAAUAUUCACAGCAAACGAACAGGUCUUUGACCAUUUGAAGUCGUAGUAAAAUAAAAGAACAAAGAAAAUGAGAUACAUACCUAUGGAGCUGCAAGCCUGCCAGUUCAAAGCAAAUAGGUCAACAGAGGGGAGAAUCGAUGCCAAUGUUAUAAUAUAGCAAAGCACUCCUGGAAGUUCAACAGAGGGAAGAAGAUUUAAAAGAUGUUUCAAUUUGAAAUAGAGGAUAGUGAAAGAAAAAAGAAACAACACUUAUCUAACCUUAUUUGCAUAUUUGAAACAGCGAUUAAGGAUUCAAGAGUCUUCUGCUCCUCUACUCUUCUUCACGAUUGAAAGUGAAAUGGGUUUGAAGAUUUCUUGAAAUUAAUUAGGUCUUCUCACUUCUGCGCUGCAUUUGUUUCUCUGCUCUUCUCAUUUUGGCAUUUUAAUUGUAAAGGGCCAAAACAACGUUGUUUCGGUCAUGAGUGAUAAAAAAAAAACCCGGGUCUCAGCCGGGGAGACCCGGGUUUGACAUGUCCGACCGGGUCCCGGGUCGACCCUCCAGGUUGACCAGGUCUGACCGGGCCAAUUCCCAGCCUUAUUUUUGCUUAGACCCGGCCCGGCUCGACCACAAAACUGGGUCGAUCGGGUCCCGGGUCGACCUGCCGAGCCGGGUUUUAAGACACUGAUUGCAUGAUAUGAUUAAUUAUGUAAUUAGUAAUUGACUAUGUAGGAGUAUUUUAUUGUGUGAUACUUGAUGAAUUUAGAACUGAGAUUUCUUCAUUCUUGAGCUUUAUAAGAAGUCAGUGCUUGAAGAUAUCAUCAGUUCUCUGUGGUUAGCGAGGGAUAUGUCUUUCAAAUGGAGAUGAUUGUUCGGGCGUCCAGAAAAGGCUACCAUAUUGAAGAGGUAGUGUUAUAUAUUUCACAUUAUUGUGGUUUAUCAUUAAAAUUAACAUAUACUACCUGUAAUCACCAGCAUGAUUGUCUUGAGUUUCGAGAUACACAUUUCAUGCGUGCAUGGUAACACAUCUUGAUUGCCCUUGUCUUCUUGGUUGUGGCGGGUUGUGGCGUGAACAACUACAGAGAUCAGGAGAUGCCUAUGCUUACCCUGUUCCAUAAAUGUUCCAAUGCCCUCUUCAUAUAGCGUGUGUUUGUGUGUGUGUGUGUGUAUUCUCGUCAUUAAUUAUGCCUGUUGGACAAUAAUAUUUGUUGAACAGUAAAAUUCCAAGUGAAUUCUGAAUAGGUAGGACAUGGCUAGAUAAACUCUAGAUAUUUCCAAAGGUGGUUAACAACACUUAUCUAACCUUAUUUCCAUAAAUGUUCCAAUGCCCUCUUCAUAUAGGGUUAACAACCUCUUUUUAUUGUAUUGCUUAUUUUCUCUGUUAACUGUUUCCCCCCUACUCAUCAUACAUUGGUUCUAUUUCAUGUAUGGUUUUGCUGUUUGUUUUCUGUUUUGAAAUUUUUAACUGCAGACUACUCUGCAUCUGAAAUUGCUCAGUGAUCCUCAGCCUUGGUUGAUUUUGGUUAUGAAUUUGUCACAGGUUCCAAUUACCUUCGUUGAUAGAGUAUUUGGGAGUUCAGAGCUAGGAGGUUCUGAAAUUGUUGAAUAUUUGAAAGGCCUUGCAUAUCUUCUGGUCACAACAUAAGAAGCAAUGUUGUUUUUAUCAACACGAUCAGUUUUGUAACACCUAAUCUAAGGAGUUCAUCGCCUUGCAGCAACACACAGCUCAUCUCACCGAGAAAUACAAGCAACUCUCGGCGAAUUAUGAACAACUUCGUCAAAUGAUCAUAAACAUGGCAUCACAGAGUGGUUAUACAUGUGUGGCCUUUUUUUGACCGUAUAACAACCAGCCUCCUUAUCCUUCUCUUUAAGCUCCGUCAUUGUGCUAAUUUAAUAUAUUUUUUUGAAACACAUUCAAUUUGCAUUUAACUUUAUUUUUUAUGUUUUAUAAAAUGUAUUCGCAUAAUGGGUUUUUCUUACUAUUAAUUUAUUCUAAAUAUUUUUUAAAAAAAAUUAAAAAUAUCUAUUAACGAAUUUACAAACAGAAUGUAUCCGUCAACAUUCCACAAAGAAUUGAAAACUAUUUACUGAAAAUACCAUAAUAUUGUUUCCUUUUCUGCUGAUAUUGUCUCUCUUGACAGGGAAUUUUCGUGUGUUAAGAUAAAGCAUUAUAUUUAACCAUUGAAUCGUCAUAUAGCUGAUCAGAUUCUAAAAAUCUAAAUCAUGUUGCUUUGACUGGUUGUGCUAUGAUUCAUGAGCAUCUCUUUAGAUAGUCUGCACAAUUGAGGCACUUAAUUCGGUGAGGGAAUAGCAAGUACAUUGCAUUUUCGGGAUUGAAAUUUAAAGCUAUUUAAGAUUGGAUCAAAAUCCAUUCCAUAUGCAUGUGUGAUCUGACAGAACAAGGCUUGUUUGCUGUUAUUAUUAUUUAGGGUUUUAAAACUCUAAAGUUAGACAUAACCAUAGAAAAAUCUAGUUAGAUUUGAAUAAUAUUCACUAAUAAGAAAUGAAACACCCCAAGUGUUAAAUAUAAGAGCUCUAAAAACCAACCAAAAUAAGAAACACAAAAUAAAUAAUUAAAAUCUGAUAAUACAUAGAAAAAUAACUAAAGUAGUCAAAACAACAACUUUUAGAUCUAAUUUUAAAAGAUCUCACGGUUUGUUAAAUAAGAAAAUAGUUUUCCAUAAAAAAACCAACCUUGAGAACCUCCUAGAAAAAUUUAAGUAAGAAUUAAUAUUCGAAUCUUCUGUUAUUAUUAUUUUAAGAUAGAUUGUUCAUUUAGAUAUUUUCUUGGAUAAUUUUUGUUUUUCAAUUUGAUCCAUCAAAUCUUGUGAUAAUUGUUCCACAUCAAAAUCCUAAUUGAGAAAUCAAAAUUAAAUUAAAUUUGCUUUUUAAAAAUUCAAAUCUUCUCAAUUAAAUCUAAAUUAGACUUCCAAACUUAAUUUUCACCAAUUAAGCCCAUGAUAAAAUUAAUUUAACCUAUUUAAAGUAUAAUUAAGUUCUUUCACUUAAUUAAAUCCUUCAAUUGGAUCCAAAUUAAUUAUUUUGACUUAUAAUAAAAUCAAAUUGGCUUAUUAAAAAUUUAAUCAUGUCAUUAGACUUAAUUGUUAUGUAAAUUCGUCCAAUAAUAAUUUAAUUUGACAUUGAAUUUGUAUUGUUUCUGUAUUUUUAGGCAUAAUAGGUGUCGCACGUGUGCGCCGGCGCGGCGAUCGUCCACCCUCAAGGAAAAAAAUCGGAAUAAUUUAUUCCUGGAAAAUAGGGAGAGACAAGGAAUUCUUGUCUCUACAAGUGAAAAUAUGGACUGAGAGUCGCCACCUAGUAUUCUGGUUACUAGGAACCUUAACUGGUCUUUAGAGAUCGGGUACGGAGACUGGUUGCGUAAAGGGAAGGUAUUAGCACCCCAACUACGCCCUACCUAAGGUAGGCUGCAUUGUUUUAAUGUCUGAUAAAAUCUAAAAUCGUGUUGUGGUUUUUUUGAAUCGUUGGUUCGUUUACGGUUUAAGAAAAGUCCUCCUCUGUAAGGAGGUCUUUAUCUUUAUCGGGUAAAAAAAAACUAAUUAUUCGAAGUCGUCAAAAGAAAAUAUCUUUUUAAUAUCAGGAAUACGAUUUACGUAUAAAUUCAUAAUCCCUGAUACUAAAAUCAAACAAAAUAAAAUAUUUUGUUGUUUUGAGAUUUUGGCCAAUGUUCUCUUGACUUUAAUAAACUGGUUAUUAAAGCCAAAAUGCAUGCUAAAAUAUUGUUUUUUGACAUAUGAAAAAUACGAUAUGAUUUUUAGAUUUGAGACACUUGGCCGUAUGCACAAAAACAUUUUUUUCUUUUAAUUUGUUUUUUUAUUUUUUGAAGUUUUUGCCGAAAACCGAGUGUUUUAAUACCGGAUUUAUAUUUUUACGAUGUAAAAAUACUGCCCGAUAUUAAUCAAAAUGACAUAAAAAACUACGCGGGAAAAUUAUAAAAUGCUGAAACAAAUAUUUUUGAUUUUUUUUUUUAUGCUGUGUGAACAGUACUGUAUGAACAGUACCGCGGGACGAAAACCGGGUAUUUUAAUACUGAAUUUAUAUUUUUGCGAUGUAAAAUACAGACCGAUAUUAAGCAAAAUUGAUAAAAACAUGUGCUGGAAAAAUUAUAAAAAUUCUAUAAAAAAAAAAUUGAAAUGGACCGGACCCGGCCCAAAUGCGUGGGCUGGGCCGGCCAGACCCAUUUUACAUGGGCUGGGUUGACGGCCCAGCCCAGCCCACGCUGCAUUUUGCAGCAGAACGUGAAUUAUUCACGUUCUGCAUGCAAGUGCAGGCAGGGACAGCGAGGGCGAGAAGAAAAAAAAGUGAUGGCGAGGGAGCAGGAGGUUACCUGACGCGGUGGAGCUUCCAACUGGAGCGGUGGCCGGCGGUGCUGCUGGUGAUCGAAGGGUGGCAGAGGCGACGAUUUCUUCUCUCUUCUCCCCUGCUUCUUUCUUUCUUCUUCUGUUUCUGUUUUUUUCUUUCUUUUCUUUUCCUCUCUUCUUUCUCUUCUCUUCUAUUCUCUCUUCCCUCUCCCUCCUGUUGUGUUCUCCCCUUCUCUUUUUUUCUCUUUUUCCUCCCCUGUUUUUAUAGGCGAAAAACAGGGGGGGGGACGUCAUGGUGGUGGCCGGUGUGCUACCGCCCGUCCAACGCCCGUCCAACACGUGGAAAGUGGUCGGCAAGUGGUGUCCUUGUUUCGGCGUCUUUUUGAGCAAAAAGAAGGAAAGUAAUAGGCGAAAAGGGAAGAAAAAAUCUUCUUCUUCCCCUGCCGCGUGUCCAGGGGAAGAAGAAGAGCUACAGUGCCGUCAAAACGGCACCGUUUUGGGCUUCUGUUUUUUUUUUUUUUUGCAACAGUGAAUGAAACGGCGCCGUUUUGGUCAAAACGCGCCGUUUCAUUUAAAAGGAAAAGGCGCCAAAAGCAUCAGAUUCAAAUUUCGGCCCUCCAUUUUCGCGCGUUUUACAAUGUAGUCCUUGGUCUCGGAUUUCUUCAAUUAAGUCCCUAAUUGGCCAUAAACUUCAAUAUUUAUGCAAUUAAGCCCCUGAUUUGACCAAAUUAACUUCCAAAAAUUAUAAUUUGACCCCAGAAAAUUAAUUUCUCCUAAUUAAAGCCCAAAUUAACUCCAAAAUCAAUUUUUCUUGCAAUUAAAAUCUCCAUAAAUUCAAUUAAACCUUCAAUAAAAUUUAAUUGAGUCCAUAAACUUCUGAUUUUGCAUUUUUCUUCCACAAAUUGAAUUUUCUUUAUCAUCGGGGCUCUCAUCAGUUAAUGAUAUACUGUCAAAAAAUAAUUUUUAUAUUUUUGAAAAUCCUCAAACAAUGUUUUUAGCAUGUUUAUGGCGCUCUGGCAUUUUUCACUGUUAUAUUUUUUUUUGUAAUAUAUUUUUUUGAAUUUUUUUUGUAUUUUGUUAUUUUAUAUGUGGGGACCCAAAAAUGGGUUACAACAAUAGGGUACAUUUAGGUUUUGAAUUUCCUCCAAAAUCAUGGCUAGAUUUUUUUCUAUUUUUUUUUUAAUUCUUCUCGACUUGUUUUCUUAGCUCUUAUUUUAUUUUCUGAUUUUUAUUUUAAAAAAUAACCGACCGUGUAAAUUGCUGACUUUGAUUGCCUUUUCUUUUGUCAAUCAUUUGGCCUUUGUAGUGUGGCAGGCCACAACCAAUUCAUUACACUAAUCAUUCGGACCAUUUUUCCUGCUUGCAAAUCACACCCCUAAAAUCAUUUGUUAUAUAUAUAUAUAUAUAUAUAGACACACACACUAAAGAAGAGAGUCUAAAGCCAAGGUAUAUUAAGGCAGUUGGUACCUAACCUUGCAUGACAUGUUUUGGGGCCUGUGAGCUGCCAGGAACAAAAUCGUAAGGCGUGAAAGCUAAGUUAGACUAAGCCAUAGCGGACAAUAUUCUGCAAGUGGAGUGGGUCGGGCCUUACAUAUGGUGUUAGAGUUAAGGACGACUCAUUCUUAAAGUGAGGGGAUUGUAAAAUCCCACAUUGAAAGAAGAGUGUCUAGAGCCAAGGCAUAUAUAUAGAUACACACACUAAAGAAGAGUGUCUAAAGCCAAGGUAUAUUAAGGCAGUUGGUACCUAACCUUGCAUGACACGUUUUGGGGCUUGUGAGCUGCCAGGAACAAAAUCGUAAGGCGUGAAAGCCAAGUUAGGCUAAGCCAUAGUGAACAAUAUUCUACAAGGAGGAGUGGGUCGGGCCUUACAUAUGGUAUUAGAGUUAAGGACGGCUCAUUCUUAAGGUGAGGGAAUUAUAAAAUCCCACAUUGAAAGAAGAGUGUCUAGAGCCAAGGCAUAUUAAGGCAGUUGGUACCUUACCUUGCAGUACAGGUUUUAGAGCCUGUGAGCUGUUAGAAACAAAACUGUGAGGCGUGGAAACCGGGUUGGGCUGAGUCAUAGCAAACAAUAUUCUGCAAGGGGGGGCGUGCUGGGCCUUACUGUCCAUAAUGCGAAACGAGUAAAUAUUAACAUUUUUUUUAUUUAUAUCAAAUCUAAAUAAAUUAAAUCAGAUAGUCAUGCAAGAUCCAAGAGUCUUAAAUCUGGGAACUAUGCCAAAACCCAAGAGAUUUCAUCAUUAUUUUUUAAUUUUUUGUUUUUGUAAUUGAUCAUUUAGUUUGAUUUACUAGUGAUUAAGUUUUGAGUGUUUUUUAUUUUUAUUUUUUUUCCUUAUGAGGUUGCUCUUUCUCAUUCAAUUUUUCUUUGUUAUCAAAUAAAAUUAUUAACACUUUACAAAAAUAAUUAAAGGGUAUCUUUUUAUGAUAUUGACAAGAAUUUAUAUUUUUAUUAGUCAUUGUUAUUUUUUUAUAAUUAUAUUAUUAAAUUAAUUAAGUUUAUUAAACCAAAUUCUAAAUUUUCAUUAAUCUUCUAAAAACAAUAUCGUCAUUUUUUUUACAUUUAAAAAAAUUAACAUGUCCCGCGACAUUGCGAAAACCAAACCGUUUGUUGAUGAUAAUAUUAAUUCCAUAUUCUAGAACAUCACCAAACUAUGUACCAAACAAUUGGCAGAUAGCCACCCCUUUAAUCUUGAGUACGGGGACACAUGCCAUGUGAUUGGAGCAGGCGUGCAUGGAGCAUAAUUGAACUCACCAAACUAAUGUACCUUAGGAUAGAUACAAUUAAUACAACCUUUAUAUUAGCUGUGUUCAUAAAUAUGAUUUGAUAUUUCCAACACCAUUUUUAACGUUUUGUAAAUUUCACCUAUUUAAUUUUUAUUUAUACACCGUGGAGUUAGAUAUAUCUGAUUAUGUUAAAUAUUUUAUGAAUAUUAUACAUAUUUACAAGUUAAAUUUAUAUUGCUAAUUUUUAUGACUAAGUUUAACUAGAACUAAGAUUUAUACUCAAUAAAUUAGCUGAAAACGUGUUAUAAAUUUUAACAAAAAAUUUAGAUUUAAUACAUCAAAUAAAUCAAUUAACUAAAAUGAAAGAAUCAAUUGCGAAAAAAUAAAAAUAAAUAAAUAACAAAGCAUAUAACAACAAAUAUUUAAGUUUAUUGUUAUAAGAUAUCCAUGCUAGGUUAAAUUUCUUGACCCAUGACAUUUAUUUUUUAGAUUUUUUAACUUGCAAUUAUUUAUAAUAUCUAUAUAAUAUAACCUUAACGGGUUGAGUCAAGUUAGAUAAUAUAAAAUAUUGUAAAUGAAUUAAUUUUUUUAAACACCCCUAUUCUAUAUUAAUUUUUUUUCACAGUAUAGAUAACCAUUUUAUACAUAGAAUGAUUUGUUUAUUUUAAAUAGUCUUAAGAAACAAUCCUUUAUAUUAACCUAAUACAUUAAGAAAAAUAAAUUUUCUUAGUGUAAUAGGGUAACCUUGGAAUUGAUUAACAAAAUAGAAGGUAAGAUGUGCACGUCAAAACCAGUGGCGGAGCCACGUAGGGGCAAGAGGGGGCAAUUGCCCCCUCCCCCCAAUGCAUAAAUGUAAUUCUCUGCUCCUCCUGGUACAACUUUUGCAGCAUAUUGAAAUUCAACUUUGCAGGCUUUAGUACAAGUUUGAUGUGCAGUUCCUCUUUCUUGUAGCUGUUAUUCUACAUUUUAUUUGCUGAUAAUUUUUACUCUGAUGUUCACUUUUCAAAGGGUUGUAACCAAUAACAUAAUAAGGGGUGUCCAAACAAAAACUUUCAUUAAAUAAAGUAGAAUUUUAAGAAUAACAGCUGGGAUCACAUAAGUCCAGGCAUAGUUAUUUAUAACCAGUUUAUUAUAUUAAAAUAUUAAUAUAAUAUUUUUAUUGGGUUAAUUUUUUUUUAGCUACUAAUUGAACCAGGUUCUUUAUUUUUUUUUCAUUAAUAAUCUGCACUCCCUUCCUUCUAUAAAAUUUCUUUUCAGGCCCUAAGCUAUUAAUUAGUUAAGCAAUUAACCUUUUAUGCUUUAUGCUUUAAAAAAGUUUUUUUUAUCUUUUCUAUUUGUUUCAUUAUCUAAUUUUAGUUUUAUUUUUUUUUAUAAUUAGUUAUUGAAAAUAUAGGGUUUAUAAUAAUAUUGAGAAAUAUAUUUUUAAUGAGAUUAAAAAUAAAAUUAUUAUAAAGCAAUUUUAAAAUAUAAAAUCUUGAAGAGAUGUAAGUUUUUUCAUUUUAAAGGCAUUCUUAAAUUAAUUUACUUGACUUGAAUUGAUAUGUGUGUGUAUAUAUAUUUCAAAUUAUUUUAUAUAUAUAACACAUAUAUGUAUAAUUAGUAAUUUGUCCCCUUAUUUAAAAAAUUCUAGCUCCGUCACUGGUCAAAACCAUCUCUUGCUGAUGAAAGAUUGUUGGGUCAGCAGCGACGAUAUUUAUGAUGUCAAGUUUUCACUCCCCCAAGUCCACAUUUCCUCAUCUUAUUAGUCUAAAAAUGCAAGGACAACUAAACUAAGGCCUCACAUCUCUCCUGCUUAUGAUGUAACCAUGCAUUUAUCUUACUUAAAUUAAGCCGCCGCCCCGCCCCCCACCUCUAUAUAUAUACUCCAUAUUUCCAUCGUCUCAUCGGAUCAAAGCAUACACAAAACCAUGAUAGAAACGGUAUGACAUAUAUUUGUGUGUGUUAUUUUAUCUUUUAAUGCAUCAUCUUAAUUUGGCCUUUUCUUCUUUUUACGUGGAGGUCCUAUAUAUGUUACGUACAAGUUCUUGAUAAUCUCUACAGCGGAUUCUUCCGUGUCAGAACAUGUUUUGAGUUCUUCCAAUCUUUCUGUCUAUAAAUUUAUCAUGACAACCUUUUUUUAUGUUUUCUAUUGGGAUUAAUCAUGGUGAGGUCCUAUAUGAAAUGCAUGAACUAACUACUAUCGUUACAGAAAGUCACAACGAUGGUGAUUAAGGUUGACCUUGGAUGCGAAAAAUGCCAGAAGAAAAUCAAGAGAGUACUGUGUGCUAUCCCUCGUGAGUCUUUCUUUUUUCUCUUUAAAAACAGUGAUAGGUUUGAGUUGUUUUUAUUACCAAAGGAAGUGACUAAGUUUUGUGGAUUGAUGAUGUUAAUUAAUGAACAAUAGAAAUCCAGAACCAGACAUAUGACAAGAAGAAAAACACAGUGACAAUCACUGUGGUGUGUUGCUGUCCUGAAAAGAUCAAGACAAAAAUAUACUGCAAAGGAGGUGAAGCUGUCCAGUGCAUUGAGAUUCCACCUCCACCUCCACCUCCUCGUACUCCUACUCCUCCACCUCCACCUCCACCACCACCAUGCCCAUGUUGUGAAAAAUGCCGCCGAGGACCAUGUUGUCAUCACUUUUGUAUGCCAACACCUCCUGCAAAUUGUCAUGUACCUUGUAGAAGGUCAGAGUGUGAUAUAUGGGGAGAUGGAUGUUGUAGUUGCCGAAGUAGAGGUUACUAUGUGUGCAGAAGUGUAUAUGUUUAUGAAGAGUACUAUCCCUCGACAUGCAAAAUCAUGUAAAGGGAAAGUUCAGAAGACCGAUGGUUUGAGUCAACGUCCAGCAUCAACCGUUGGAUUCAAAUCCAGUGGUCAUGAUGCCUGGGCCUUUGUGUUGUUACAUGUUUGAUCAGCAAAUAUGGGAGGCUUUACUACCUACUCUUUGUUUUUUAUGCUAUAUUAUCUUUGUAUAGCACUCCUGGGAUUUUGUCCCUUUGAAUGUUUUCUUCCAAAGUGCUAUUAUAUUGAAGUAAUUUUUUUUAAAAAUAAAAUUAUUCUUAAUAUAGAAUAUU